GUGCUUAUCCAAGGCCCGUAUGCACAGCCCCGACCAAGAAACGUUCUAUAUGUGACUGUGGAUUUUCGCAGUCGGCUUAAACCACCCUUGCCCGGAAGGUAUUUUGGAAAUGCUGUCUUACCUGUACCAGCAAGAGCAUUGCAGGUGAUCUCCAAUCGAGGCCACCAAGCUAUGCUUCAAGCAAAAUUAAGGAAGCAAUAGACAAGGUUACAGAUGAGUAUGUAAGGUCAUAUCUUGCUUGUAUGAAGAACAUGCCCGAGGUAUCUAGCAGUCGACAUUUUCACACUGUUGGUUGUGCAAAGGGGUUGUUCUUUGGAAAUCCCAAUUUGCUUAUUACUAGUUGGGUUGGGCUGGACGUGCACAAAGUCAAUUUUGGGGGGGAGAAGCAAAUUCCAUGACCCCUGGGUCAUUAGGUUAUGAUGGAAGACUCUUCCUUAUUCCUGGUCCUAAUGGGGAUGGAUCGUUGAUUAUCCACUGCGCCUGCAAGUAGAACAUAUUAAUGCUUUUAAGAAGUAUUUCUAUGAAGAUAUAUAAUGAUGUAGACUUACAAGGUUGGUUCUAAUAUAGUUUGUGUAGUUUCAUGGGGCUCACUGAAAAGCUUAGUCAUAUGUAAGCAAACAUUAAUUGCCACUAACAUUUGAAUUUAUUUGCCGGACAGGGAACCAACGAAUUGGCAGCUGCUGGAGAACAGUGUGAAGAGUUAUUAUUGCAGGCAAACGGGACGUGGAUCUUUUCAGAAAUGGAAGAUGGAGUAGACGGAAUCCAAAAAUUUGUCUCUGAAGGUAGUAGCAAAUAAGGAGAUUUUUACUCCCUGAGAUAGCUUGUAUGACCAUUACUAUGUCCUUUUUCUUAAAACAAAUACUAUAUUAAUCUUGUAUGCACUGAAAGUGGAUACACUAAUUCAGUGCAAUUUCCUUUGUGUCCUUUAUGGCAUGUUGGUUCUAUGUAACCAACUCAAUCCAGUUCUUAUCAUGUUCUUUUUCAUGUGUGAGCUUGAAUGGGAUGUAAAUUUUGUUGUAAAUGGAAAUGGAAGUAUAAAAGUGUACGUGCGGUUCCCAUGACUCCUCCGUUAGCUCCUCUAAAUUUACUGUAUAGGAAUUUACAUUUCUAAUUUGUUUGAAGAUAAAAGAUUGAAAACAUUUGGCCCAAGGCCUACCAAAAUGGUCACUUUUCCUUAAUAACAAGAUCUUCUGUGAGAACUGGUCAAUUCUAUAUCUUUGUUGUGCAAUAGAUAUGUUAUAUUAAAAAAGACCCAAACAAGUUACACAAUUGCAAAUCAUACAAAAGCAAAUUAGUUGAUAAUCAACCAAAUAUAAAAAGAAAUAAAUCAAAUUUAGCAAAAAAAGAAACACUCUUAAGUACAUUUUCUAAUACCGUAUCAAAUUCAUCUUUUUCAUUCUUAUUCUUAUUGUUCACUUUUAUGCUUUCCCUUGACUAGCUUGUUUCUUCCUUAGAUACGCUAGUUGUAUUUGGCUAAUUCUUCCAUAUUACUGUAAGCCUAACAUGGUAUUUUUUGACCUUUAUGCAUCUAUUGCCUUUUUUCUUCAUUUUUGAUUUUCUUCCACUUGUUUCCCAUUAUAUCCUGUUUCAAGAACUUCCUUAGCUGUUCAGUUGGAGUCAGGUUCAAGAACUUCCUUAGUUGUUCAGUAGGAGUCAGCAAUCAUUUCACUCCUGGUCCUUGACUUGAGCUUUCCUUGGCCAAACAAUCCACGCUCAUGUUCCCUUCUCUCCAGGUAUGAGUAAACUUCUAUUUUUCUAGAGGGAAUGCAAUAUAUAAGUCUUUGGGCUUGAGUGGGUGCAAACUAUUAUAAUAUUGCUAACAAUAUUUUAAAAGGCAUUCGCGGGGCGAGUCCUCGGCAUGGCGUUCCAAUACUGCCCUUGGGUGAUCGUAUAAGGCGAAAUUGUGUGGCUGUACGUUUGGGCACGCCUCUAAAGUGAGGCAUUAAAAGCGUACACCCCACAAAUUGUUUUAAAAAAAGAAAAAACAGAUUUAACUUUAUCAAUUAAAUUUUUAACUUUUUAAUAUUUAGUUUUAUUACUAAUUUACUAUCUUUAUAUUGAGACAUUGAGUGAAUUUGAUAUUAAUUUAUUUGAAAUAUAAUAUAUGGUUAGGCAAGCAAGGAAAAGGAAAAGAGAUUGUUACCUAUAGAUUGGAUCCGGUGAUGGGAUGGAAAUUCCAGAAUUACCAUCAACUAUUGGAAGAAAAUUACCUAGUAUAUAUACACUAUAUGAAGAUGAUGACAUGAAUGAUAUUGACUUUGAUGAAUAGUAUCAUUUUAUUUGUCAAUUUAUUUCUAAUUAUUGGUGCUAUUCCUUGUUAUGUAUUAUAAGCAAUAUGGUUGCUAAUUUCGGUACUUUUGAUACUAGUUAAGUGUGUUUAUUGAAACAAUUAACCUUUGAAAUUUGUGUCUACUUCAAUUUAUGUGUUUGUAAUUUAAGUGCUUGAUAAUGUGGUGACUUUUGAAUUUUGACUAGUUCAUUUCUAAAAUUGAACUUUUUGUAAUUUUAAUUAUUCUGCUUAUAUGUUUGUAAUUUAAGUGCUUGAAUAUUAACUUUGAUGAUUAUGUAGUUAAUUAUUCUGUUUAUUUAUAUCUUCAAAUGACUUUUUUUGUAAUACAUAUCAUAUUUUUAUAUAUUUUAAAAAAAUUCGCGGAAAAAAAUUCGCGGGGCUUAUGCCUCACACCUCGGGGCUUUCGCCCCGUUGGGCAGAUACUAAAUGAUCCCCUCAACACCUUCACCUUUUAAAACAUUGAGUACUAAAUUAGGACACCACAAUAUUUUUAUAGCGUAAAAAAGAGGUUUUUAAAAAUUUGAGGGGAAGGAAUUGCCCAACCUCAUGAGUAUGCGGCUCUACCCCUGAUCAAAAUUAAUCAGUUAAUACUCGAAAGUAGGCAGAGAUGGAGAGGUAGUAGUAAGUAGGUAUUCCUUUAAGAGGUAAAAUUUGGAAUACAUACGGAAAAAAAAAAGAAGAUAUUUGAUCAUUAGGGUAUUCCAUUUGAUAAGGACCUGGUAGAUAUAAGAGAAGAAAGAACACGAUGGAUUCCAAUUGUGGAGCUGAAAUUGUUAACAUUGCAGUUUAUUAAAAUUGAAGAGGGAAAAACUGGAAGGAUCCAAUGUGAGACAAGCUAAUGGCCUGUUGGGUAAUCGGAAUUUUGUGGAUAAGCCUUGUUUUAGGUGGAGAAAAAAUGGCAGCACCAAUAUUUACUUGUUCAGCAAGAAGUUGAACGUAAAGGCUGUGAAGGUUGUAAAACAGUCGAGGAUUAAUUGUGUAAAGGAUGAAAAGUUACCCAUAGUAAUUAUGAGGUACCUUCUUUGAGACUGGUUUAUGUAAUACUUAUACAUAUCAAGGCAGUUCUCCAAAUGCCUUCUUGCAGUUCCCUUAUGUAAUAAUUUGCACAAAAACGCCCCAUACAAAAUAAAAAAGUGUGUAACAAGGAGAUAUUUUUGUUCAUUCCUAAGUCAAGUUGGAAGCUUGCUUCCAAAUUUGACGAAUGGCCUUGAAGACAGUCAAAUUUGUUUCCGAAAAAGAUUCCAAUAUAAAUGGGGACAACUGACAAGAAGCUCCAAAAUUUGGGCUGGGGUGUAGAAUUUCUGAAUGUGAGGUGGGUAUUUUCUUGUUAUUCAGAUCCAGCAUCCAGCUGUACCAGGUUUGUUGGAUCAUUUGAGGUGGGCAUGGCUUAUUGAAAAUGGAAAUGGUGGCCAUGUAAUGAUUUAUGAGGACAGAUUAACAGAGCUACAAUCUCCUAGACCUGAUUGACGGAACAUGAUGACUGAUGAGAAACAGCCUCCUUGGAAGUGAUUUGCAUCGAAAUAUAUCUCUGGGUCCAUGAGAGUUAUCCACAAAAAGAUUGUAGUAGCUUAUGUUCACUUUGCUAUGUGCGAACCUCGCUUCCACAUACUGUACUACUGCUGACAUUUGAAGUAGAGGUUCCUAUCCAGCAUGAUUAGCCAUCUCGGCUGAGUUCGAUAUGAUUCGACCAAGUCAUAACUGGAACAGAGGCGAGCGAUACGAUACCGAUUCCUGAAUUAUGAAUAUUUUUAUAUUUACAGCGACUCGCUCUGACUCGACCAAUAUUGGCCGAUUUGAAUUGUGAUACAUGAAAUCAGCCAAAAUAUUCGAGUUAACUCGGAGUCGACUCAGAUAUUUGUUCAGAUGAUGUAUUUUAUGUUAUUUUCUAUUUUUAGUAAUUUUUUCAGAAUUUUAAAAAUUUGUAUGUGCUAUAAUUUGUGUAUCGUCCGAUAUUUAAUCGAUAUGCGAUGAUGGAUAUCGAACAACUGUGACCGCGACCUGCAACGGCCAAGCAUGCUAUCCAAGCUGCUGAGCGCUUGAGGGACUAUACUUCUCUUUGAAAACAAUGAACCAACAGAACCACAGGAACCGCUCACAGAAGACAUUCGAUUGGAGAAGGCAUCCUUGCCGGAUACAAAAAAAAGUUCAGUCCUCAAGUUCGAUGAGGAGGAUGAUGGAGCCAAAGUACCCUUGAAGAUCCAACUCGGAAAGGAGCAAGGCAUAGCAGCAAGUGAAGAAGCAGAUCGACUGUCGAGGCAGACCCUUGAGGCUAAGGACAAGAUUUGCCUUCUGUGCACUACAUUCAGGUGGGUGACGAUAUCUACAAAAACCACCAACUUUACAGUCCCCAGUUUCCAUAUAUAUAAUACUGGCAUUCAGGUUGGCCAGGUCUCUGGGGAAAUGCAUGUUCCUUCUGGUUGCUUCCUGAAGGACCAGCAGCUGGAGCUGAGGGAGACAUUUGAGUUAUUCCAUAAACAGGACCAGCUUCCACAGCAGGUUGGGUACUUGCACUGGAACAGGAACCAUAUAUACCUGGGGGAAGCAGCACGGGACCAUGCAUUUACCUGUGCAAAACUCAAGGUUUGAAGUAAUUUUCAUGAAACUCCUGUCCAAUUUACUUGCAUUGUGAAGUACACUUUGGAUUCGAUAUUCACUUGAAUUUUGUCAUUGUCAGUAGCUCAAUACCGUAGAAGUCACAGAUGAGAUUCAUAAAAAAUGUACAAAAUCUGGUGAACCAAGUUUUAAACAACUAAUGCCAUGUUUGCGCUGGUUUGACUUGGGAAAAUUAUUAGGUGUUUAAAUAGUUUCUUAUUUAAAAUAAUGUUCUUUAUGGUACAGAAUUUAGUGAACAUUUCUACGUCAUGCAACAAACCUACUUUUAUCCAAAAAAAGAAAGGAAAAAAAAGGAAAUUGAAUACUGAUUUAAAGUCAUCUUGUUUAAUUACCUAUUAACAACUUGUCAAAUUGCAUAGUUGCAUAUUUUAUUUAUGUUCAUUUAAGUUAAAUGUAUGAUCGUGAUCACUAUACUGGGCAAACAACUUGAUUUUAUACAUGUCCUUUUUUUUUGAAAAAAGAAUAUGAAAACGGUUAGAAAAAAGAAUUUGAAUCCUUAGCUCCACAGAUAUUUAAUUGAUUUGGUAAUCAAGCCAGUGCAGAAAAGCGGCUCAAACUUGGACUAAUGAAGCAUCUGAAUCCCAUCCCUUCACUCCCUAACUUGUAGGAUCAAGAUCCUCUACAAUCACAAUCACAAUGGCGAUUGCAGGGAAUAGUUCAUUGUAAAAAAUGUAGUGAUUUAAAAUUAGAUUAUUGGAAUUGAAUUUGUAAGGACAAUUUCAAUAACUGACAAAAAUUGUUGUUCUUUGGCAUGUUGUUGUCUUAAUGUCUACAUUAAUUUGUUUAGUAUUUACAUUUGUUAUAUCUGAUUCUAUACUAUAUAGUGCAAUUGCUACUGGUGACUACAGAAGUCCUGGAUCCUUAAUAAUUUCGUCAAAAUAUCUAAAUCAAUGAUUAAAGUCAAGCCAUUGUAGCUUCAGUCUUCAAUCUUUGCCGGCCUUCGGGCAUGAUCAUGCUUAUUGCCCAUUCAACAGUCCUGCAUACAUUGGAGAGUCUCCAGGCUCAUUACAUUGAGGCUAAACGGGGUGGUGCCACCCCAUUAUAUCCUGGUUCAAGAACUUCCUAGUCCUUGAUUCAAUCUUUCCUUGGCCAAACAAUCUGCGCUCAUAUUCCCUUCUCUCCAGGUAAGUGUAAACUUCUAUUUUUCUUGAGGGAGUGCUAUAUAUAAGUCUUGUAGUUUGAGUGGGUGCAAACUAUUAUAAUAUACCUUGUUUAAGACACCAUAAUAUUAUUUAUAAGGUGAAAAAGAGGUUUCUAAAAAUUUGAAGGGAUGCAAUUGCCCACCCUCCUGAGUAUGUGGCUCUACUUCUCAUCAAAAUGAAUCAGUUAAUACACGAAAGUAGGCAGAGAAGGAGUAGUGAGUAGGUGUUCCUGUAAGAGGUAAAAUUAGGAAUACAGAUGGGGCAAAAAAGAUAUUUGAUCCUUAAGGUUUUGAUAUCCUCCUUCACUUAUGGUAUUCCAUGUGAUAAGGACCUGGUGGAUAUAAGAGAAAAAAGGCAAGGUGGACUCCAAUUGUGGAGCUGAAAUUGUUAAUGUUGCAGUUUAUGAAAAUUGAAGAGGGAAAAACUGGAAGAAUCCAGUGUGAGACAAGCUAAUGGCCUGUUUGGUAAUUGGAAUUUUGCGGAUAAGCCUUAUUUUAGGUGGAGAAAAAAUGACAGCAUCAAUAUUUACUUGUUCAGCAUGAAGUUGAAUGCAAAGGCUAUGAAGGGUGUAAAAAAGUCGAUGAUUAAAGGUGCAAAGGAUGAAGAAGUUACCCAUAGUAAUUUUGUAUUAAUCUAUUCAACUCGGUCUAAACUGGAAAUCAAGUUUGCUGGAAAUUAAGUUGUCAAAGAAGGUUGAACUAAAGAAAAUACCAAUUAUACAAUGAUGAGGUUUGCUUAAGUGUUUACCUGUGCACAAUAUUCAUGGCUCGAGGGUAAUUUUCAUACUAAUUAUCUUUCAUUGACACAGUUUAGCACCACAAGAACAAAACAGGGAGCAGCAGCACAUAAAGCAACCAAAAAAGCAUUAAAAAAAAAAACAAUAAAUGACAAUAGCUAUCAAUAGACCAUCGUCAAAAUUACCGUAGAUCGAUACUAGACUAAAGAGUCUAAAAUGUACCAUAGACCACUCAAGGACAAAACAUCAAAACAACAGUUGCCCUUAUUGUGAGUACCAUUCAAUGCAGAGACAAGGAAACCUCCUCUAUUUACUUGAAUUUUGUUCCUUACUGUCUUUUGUGGUGACUGCAAAGGAACUCAAGUAAGGGUCUUUCUUGUUGUGUCUAUUGAGAGAAACUCAAAUGAUUCUUAUAUGUUUCAUUAUAGUUUUUCUUUUGUAAUUUCAUGUGAAUUUGGUAAACAAGAAUAUAUUUUCUAAAACAUAAUAGUUUAAUACCACGUAUGUCACACGUGACAUUGCCCACUUGGGAUCCUCGGUGACAUGUUUUCUGUGCCAAUCCAAUGCCACCUAUAGUAUUGCGCCAAGUGUCCUGUUAUUAUUUACACUUUAAUUUUCUAAUAAUUCAACUUGGUUUGGUUUAACACAAGUGUAAAUAAUAACAGGACACUUGGCGCAAUAUUAUAGGUGGCAUUGAAUUGGCACAGAAAACAUGUCACCGAGGAUCCCAAUUGGACAUUGCCAUCUAAAUGUUAUCUAUAAUUUGCUAUUUUUAAAGCUAAUCUUGAUAUUAAUUUACGAAGAAACUAUACAAAUGAUCAAAAUCAGUUAAACUCCCUCCAUAUUAUUGUCAAUAUCAUGUUUUACAUUUUUACCAUCCCUAAAUUAGAGUCAUGCUACAAAUUUUCCUUCCAACCUUUUCAUCUUUACCCUCAUAGGUGCAUGUCACAGAAGUUACACAAUUGCAAAUCAUACAAGAGUAAAUUAGUUGAUAAUCAACCAAACACAAAAAGAAAUAAAUCAAAUUUAGCUAAAAAGAAACACUAUAAGUCUUUUCUCGCUGUUCAUUUUUAACUAGCUUGUUUCUUCCUUAGAUAUGCCAGUUGUAUUUGGCUAAUGCUUCCAUAUAACUCUAAGUCUAACAUGGUAUUUUUGACCUUUUAUGCAUCUAUUACCUUUUUUCUUCUUUUUUUAUUCUGAUCCAAUUGUUUCUCAUUGAAAAAUUGGGUAUUGAUUGAUCUAGUUUUAUUUUUGGAUGCAUUGGAGAGCCUCCAAGCUCUUCACAUUGAAACUAAACAGGUGUUGCCACCCCCAUUAUAUAAUCCUGGUCCUUGACUCGAGCUUUCCUUGGCCAAACAAUCUGCACUCAUGUUCCCUUCUCUCCAGGCAUCAGUAAACUUUUAUUUUUCUUGAGGGAGGGCAAUAUAUAAGUCUUGUAGUCUGAGUGGGCGAAAAAUAUUAUAAUAUAACUAGUUUAAGACACCACAAUAUUAUUUAUAUCAUAAAAAAGAGGUUUCUAAAAAUUUGAGGGGAUGCAAUUGCCCACCCUCAUGAGUAUGUAGCUUAAUAUUGGAAAGUAAGCAAAGAAGGAGAGGUAGCAGUAAGUAGGUAUACAUCUAAGAGGUAAAAUUCGAAAUACUUAUGAAAAAAAAAAGACAUUUGAUCAUUAGGGUUUUGAUAUCCACCUCCACCUAUGGUAUUCCAUGUGAAUUGUGAUAAGGACCUGGUGGAUAUAAGAGAAAAAAAUAAAACUAGGGUUGAACUAAAGAAAAAAUCAAUUAUACAACGAUGAGGUACCUUCUUUGAGACUGGUUUGCUUGAAGUGUUUACCUGUGCCCUACAUCCAUGGCUUGAGGGUAAUUUUCAUACUAAUUGUCUUUCAUUGACACGGAUUAGUACUAGAAGAGCAAAACAUAGAGCAGCAGCACAUAAAGCAACCAAACAAGCAUUAAUAGACCAUCGUCAAAAUUACCUAAGAUUCAUAAAAUUCUUACAGUCACAUGAUACUAGACUCAGAGUCUAAAACAUACCAUAGACCAGUCCAGAAAAAAACAUCAAAACUACAGCUGCCCCUGUUGGGAGUACCAUUCACAGCGGAGAUAAAGAAACCUAUAUUUACUUGAAUUUUGUUCCUUGUUGAAUCUUUUGUGAUGACUGCAAAGGAACUCAAGUAAGAGUCAAGUGAUUCUUAUAUGUUUCUUCAUAGCUUUUCUUUUGUAAUUUCAUGUGAAAUUUGUAAACAAUAAUAUAUUUACUAAAACAUACUCCCUCCCUUUUUUUAUAACUGACGUUUAAAAAAUUUGCUCUAGUGUACUUUUAUCUGUCGUUUUAUUAUCCCCAUACAGUAUUAAUUAUUUUUUUACAAUUUUACCCUUUUAUCUCUCUUUUCCAAUACAGGGUUGUUAAUUACUACUCUAGUUUGGUGGAAGUUAGUUUGCAUUGCUUUUGACCUAGUAAAACAGCACCAUUUAGUACUCUAGUGAGAAAAAACAUGGGUGAAUUGGACAAUGAAUGAUGGUACAAAAGGAAAAUAGUGUACAGAUUUAAGCAAUGAAAAACUUUUCUUAAUUGGUGUGCAAAACCUUAAACGUCAGUUAUAAAAAAGGGAGGGAAUACUAGUUUGAUAUCGCGUAUGUCGCAUGUAACGUUGCCAUCUCUAAUAUUACUUGUAACUUGCUGCUUUAAAGGCUAAUCUUGAUAUUAACUUACAAAGAAACUACACAAAUGAUCAAAAUCAAUUACACCCUCCGUGUUAUUAUUGUUAAUGUCAUGUUUCACUUUUUUACCAUCCCCAAUUGGAGUCAUGCUACAAUAUUUCCUUUCAAACUUUUCAUCUUUACCCUCAGAGUUGCAUGUCACAGAAGUUACUAAACAUUUUAGUAAGACCCACUAUUAAGUACCCAUUUGGAAAAUCUAGUGGUGUGUACAAAACGACUUCUAAUGGCAAGGCUUAUGUUGGUUUGUAAAAAAUGCAUGUGUGGAGGAUGGACCCUUGGAUUUAUUAUAAAAUAGAAAAAACAAACAUUAUCUGACUACGGGCGCAAAUUUGGAAGCAAAAUCUCAGUUGUCCAUAAUGAUCUACGUAUAUUAAAAAUUUAAAAAAAUCGUUCAAAACGUCUCUCACAUUUUGCAAGAUGAUUUUUUUCGUCUCUCACUUUUAAAAGUGUAAUAUUACGUCCCUUAUGAAUUCACAUGGAUCAAUUUUGGUCCCUACCUAGAUUUUUUACUAAUUUUUUGUUAGAAUCCACCAAGUACCUUAUACAUGAUCAUUUAUUAAGAGCAAAAUUAUCAAAUCAAAUUUUAUAUAAUUCGAUUCAUAGUCCCUUAUAUUUUGCAAAAUGAAUUUUUUCGUCCCUAACAUGUUACAAAAUGAAUUAUUUCAUCCUUCACAUUUUAUAAAAUGAAUUUUUCCAUCCCUAAUAUUUUUCAAAAUGAAUUUUUUCAUCCCUCAUUGAUCAUGUGUAUGAAUAACUUUUUUUUUCUCUUUAAAUCCAUAUAUAUAUAUAUAUAUAUAUAUUUGAUUUCACCUGAACAGUAUGAGUAAUAUGUAAUAUAUCUUUAUUUGAUUUCACUAAAAUAGGCCAAUCGUAGUUGUAUACAUGCUAUUCAACAUAUAUAUAUAUAUAUAUAUAUAUAUAUAUAUACACGGGGGUUUAAAACUAACAAUUUUGUUUUAAACCAUACAUAUAUCUAAAUGAUUUUACCAUGUGAACCUAUUCAAUAUUUGUAACAUUUCUCUUUUGAUAAUAAUUUAUUUAUUGAGUUGUAUAAUAAGGUCAUCUAAUUAAUGGAUCCUAACUUAAAUUCUAUAGUUGUACUAACAAAUUGCAGUUUAAAUUUAAAAUUUCUACUCGCCACUUUUAAAACCAAUAGUUGAAUUACUUGCCUUGUGAUUGUAUUAAAAUUUGAAAGUGCUAAUCAGUUACUUCUUUUUGUCAUACUUUUCCUUUGUUUAUUUUUUGUGUCCAAAUUUAAUUCGACAUAAAUACUCGAUAAUGUUUAGGAUUAAAUGUCUUCUUUGUUUUCAAUUUUUGAGUAAAAUGAAAUGAAUAUGAGUGAACAAUAUGAAUAGCAUGUAAUAUAUCUCUAUUUGAUUUCGUCAGGUGAAAUCAAAUAAAAAUAUAUUACAUGAUAUUCGAACUACUCAGUGAAUUUAAAUAGAUAUAUACAUGUGUUUAAAAAAAAUUAUUCGCACACAUGAUCAAUGAAUGAUGAAAAAAUCCAUUUUGAAAAAUGUGAAGGACGAAAAAUUCAUUUUGUGAAAUGUGAGGACGAAAAAUUUAUUUUGUGAAAUGUGAGGGAUAUGAAUCGAAUUAUGUAAAAUUUAAUUUGACAAUUUUGCCCAUAAAAAAUGAUCACAUGCAAGGCACAUGGUGGAUUCCGAUAAAAAACUAGUAGGAAAUCUAGGUAGGGAUCAAAUUUGACCAAUAUGAAUUUGUAAGGAUGUAAAAUUACACUUUUAAAAUGAGGGAUUAAAAAAGUCAUUUUGUAAAAUAUGAGAAACGUUUUGAACGAUUUUUCCUAAAAAAUUGUAGUCUCAAGAAAUGUCCUAAAUUUGGGAUAGAGGCAGCACAUAAUUGUUUUACUAACAGUGAAAGAAUGGGGACAAUUGACAAGAAGCUCCAAAACUUGGGCUGCGUGAAGAAUUUCAAAACCUGAGGUGGGUAUUUUCUUGUUAUUAAACCAGCAUGAAGCUAUACCAGUUUGUUGGAUAAUUUGAAGUAGGCAUGGCUUAUUGAAAAUGGAAAUGGUGACCAAGUAAUGAUUUAUGUGAGCACAGAUUACUGAGCUACAAUCUCCCAGACCUGAUUGACCAAACAUGAUGACUGAUGAGAAACAACCUCCUAGGAAGUGAUUUGCAUCAAAAAUAUAUCACUGGGUCGAUAAGAGUUAUCCACAAAAAGAUUGUAAUGGCUUAGCUUCACUUUGCUCAGCUUGAUGUUCAAGCCUCACUUCCAUGUACUGUACUACUGCUGCCACAUGAAGUAGAGAUUCCCUGUCCAGGCUGCUAAGCCUUUAGGUGAGGGAGUAUACCGCUCUUUGAAAACAAUGAACUAACCAAACCACUGGAACCCUCACAGAAGACAUUCAACUGGAGAAGGCAUCCUUACUGGAUGACAAAUUAAGUUCAGGCCUCAAGUCCAAUGAGAAGGAUAAUGGAGCCAGAGUACCUAUUGAAGAUCCAACAGCGUAAGGAGCAACAGGCACAUCAGCAAGAGAAGAUGCAGAUGGACUAUAGCUUAGAGACCCCAUUGGGUGAUCAAACAUGCAUGAACGCCCAAAUUUGGAUACUUCAUUUUGUAAAUAGUGAUGACAAACAGCCAACACCCGGACGUAGAGGUAGACCCUUGAGGCUAAGGACAAGAUUUGCCUUCUGUGCACUCCAUUCAGGUUGGUGAUGAUAUCUACAGAAAGGCCAAAAUUUACAGUACCCAGUUUUCAUAUAAUACUGGCAUUCAGGUUGGCCAGGACUUUCUGAAACUGCAUGCUCUUGUGGAUGCUACCUGAAGGACCUGCGGCAGGUGGAAUAGAUAGAUACUGUCCUUAUAUGCUGGGUGUUGAAGGAGACAACUAGUUAUUCCAUAAACAGGACCAGCUCUCACUGCAGGUUGAGUACUUGCAGUGGCUGCAAACUUCAGGCGCCAGGUAAAAGUCCAACCCAAAACAGGAACCAUUCCUGCAUGGGGGGAUAUGAUUGCUCAUAAAAGAAAUCAUGAGAUGCCAAUUUAUUUGCCCUGUAAAGUACAAUUUGGAUUCGAAAUUCAACUGAAUUUUAUUAUUAAUUGUUAGUUGCCCAAUACUGUGAAAUUCUCUGAUGAGAUUUAACAAAAAUGUACAAAAUCUCUUGAACCAAGUUUUAAAGUAUUAAUGCUAUUGUUCAUGCUUGUUUCAUCUGGGAAAAACAUCAGGUGUUUAAAUAGUUUCUUAUUUAAAAUACUGUUCUUUGUAAAAUGGAAGCUAUGGAAUAUUUCUUCUACGUUCAAUAAGCGUGCUUUCAAAAAAAAUAAUCUGAACACUAAUUUAAAGUCAUUUUGUCUGUUAAUAAUCAGUGAACUUGCAUAGCUUAUUUCAUUUACGUUAUGAGUAUAAUUCAGAUCACUACAUUGGCCAAAUCACUUGACUUCAUACAUGUCUUUUUUAUUCCCCCUUUUUUGGUGAAAGGUAUGUGAAAAUGUUCACAGAAAAGAGUUUGAAUGCUUAGUUCCACAGAUAUUAAUUGGAAAUUGGUGGGUUUUCUUUGAACAGUUCUUUAAAUUGGAAAUGAAUGAUAGUUUUAGCUGAGGGGGCUAUUUUUUGGAUUUUGAAAGAUGGCUUGGUUAAGUUCUGGUUUGAUAAUUGGGAUCAUACAGGUCCUUUAUAUAAUACUGCAUCAGUAAUUGCAGAUCAUCGGGUAAUAGACUUUGUUCGAGAUGGAGUUUGGGAUCAAAAUCUGCUAAACCAGUCACUGCAUUCGGUUGUGGUUAGUCAGGUUUCACAGAUUUCUCCUCCCUCCUUUCACGCUAAUGAUGAUAUGGUUUGGUCUCUUUCAUCUGCAGACAAGUUCUCCAUGUCUUCGCUUCACCUAGUGAGAAAAGCAAGGAAAUCCUCCUUGGCGUUUGUGGGUAUUUGGCCCUCGAGUAUUCCUUUAAAGGUUUCUUUUUUCAUCCUUCGGUGCUUAUUUAAUCGUUUGUCUGUGCUUGAUACACUAAGUUUGGGAUCCAUGGUCAGUCUAAGUGUUGGUGUCGGGAAAAUCCAGCUUUAGAGACUUUUGAUCAUGCAUUUAGUGAUAGGCAACUUGCUGCUUUAGUAUGGAGUUUCUUUGAAGGUGUGGCUGGCAUUUUGCCUUUGGGUUCUGCUAGUUAAUUGGUGGUUGCAACCAACUACAAACCCUUCACAGGUUUUUAUAUAUAGAGUAGUACUUAUCUUCGUUUGCUAGCAUUUAUGGAAGGUGGGGAAUGAGGCAUUUUCUGAAGGGCGUUUCUCGACUCAUCAUCAUCUUUGCUAACAAAAUUUUAAGGGUGUUGCUAAUCCAUGUGCUCUCGAGUUCAAAGGAAUUGGAUUUGUCACUACAUCUUGGGUGCAAUUUUACCAGUCAGCCUCUUCUUUCAAGAAGAAACUUAGGCCGAUUCCUGUGAGAUGGAUCAGUCCACCUGCUGCUGAUUUUACACUUAACUCAGAUGGUUUUUCAGAAGGUAAUCCAGGACUUAAGGUGGCAGAGGGGUUGUUUAGAAGUUUCUUUUUUUUUUUUUUUGUUCAGAAGGUGAUUCAGCACAAUUUUCUUUUCCUUAGGAAUCUCAUUUUUGUCAACUUAAAAGAAACUUUUUCAGGGCCGCCUACAUAUCUAUAAUUCAUCAAGUCAUCGCUAACCCGAUCUUCACUUCUUGAUACUACUGCGGUUGAUGAUUCUUUCCUCUUGCUUCUUGCCUUUAUAGUAACUAUCUAUUACGUGCAUAGAACCAAAUUUACAAGCACUUGAAAUAAGAAAAACUAAUGGACAUUUUGAAAAGUACACUGAGACAUUGUAUUAUAUUGUAUCCAACUUUAAUCAUUUCAACCGUAUUACUAUGCUUGUCAAGUCUCUUACAACUAUUCUACCCAAUGGAACAGUUUAUCCUUUUCCAUUAAAAGCGAUCUUUUCAAGUUUUAUAGGUUCUUUAUAGCUCAAUAGUAUAAGGCUCGAAAAAAAAUUCAAUGUCACAUACUUUGGACAACCUACAGCCUAAUUUGAAAGAAGAUCUUAAAGUCGUGAAUGAGGAGUUUUUCGUUUUUGAUUUCCUUCUAUGGAAACAGAAAGAAAAAUAGACUUGUAUUGCUAAAGUUAUAGAAACAUAUAUUAAUAGAGAACCAAAAUCAUGUGUCCAAAUCGCUGAAUGCAUUCCAAGUGAAAGAUUCAUAAGACACCAUAAGAUGCUCGAAAGAAAACUGUUAUUGAGAAUAUGGAUGUGAUUCUAUAGCUUACAAUUGAAUGAAGAACGAUGCAAAUAUUUAAGGAUUCAAGAACUAAGAAACCGGCCCUACUUAUAAACCCUUUAAGCCAUUCAACAAAUUAUUGUUGUCACAUCCUAUGUUGUUCAAAUAAUAUACCUUUACUAUUUCACAAAGUUGUAAACUUCUGUCGAAAUUUUAUUUUACUGAAAGGUUUUCGAAAUAAAUGAAAGGAGAAAUUCCUGAAAGGAAUACACUAAGUUUCUAUUUAAUCGCAAUGGAUCUUCUGUCACAUACCCUGUGCCACUCUCUGUCUCACUUUUUAUUAUAUUGUUAUUUCUCCUACAUAAAUAUCAUGUUUUAGUUCUUUUUUGUUUCCUUAACAUUUAAUAACUAUUAAUUGAAUAAAAAAUAAAUACAACAGGUUCAAAAAAGUAAUAUAUAAUAGAAAAUUAAAAAAUACAAUAGAAAAUUCAUUAAAAAUCUCCUUUUUUAUGUAUUUUAUUUUUUGAGUUUGUUAAAUUUUGUGUAUUAUUUAGUUAAUAGUUAUUGAAUGUUAAGGAAACAAAAAAGAACUAAAACAUGAUAUUUAUGUAAGAAAAAUAGCAAUAUAAUAAAAGGUAGGUAGAGAGUGGCACAGGUUAUGGGACAGAAAAUCCGUUGCGCUAUUUAAUCAAGUUGGCAAAAGAAUUUCUUUGGAAUAAUAUUGCAAAUUUCUAUUGACGGACUCUCCCUCUCUCUCUUUCUGGCACUUUUUUUGGUUUUUUUUCUCUGCACAACUUUUCCCAAAAUAAAAAUAUUGAGUGUUGCCUUCCAAUCUCAAAGAAAAAAGAAAAAUCAAAAUUAAAAAGUAAGUGAAUUUUUUUUGGAUAAAAAGAAGUUUGGGUGAAUUUAAUUCUGAUCACCACCAUAGAUCAGGAUACACCUCCAGACUGUGUUUUCAAACUCGGACCGGACCGACCGGUCUAAUCGAUCGAACCGAAAACUGGCCAAGCGUCCAGUCCGAAUUACCCAAAAAUCGGAUGCAAUAAAACUCGGUCAAAAAUUGGGUUUGACCGGCAAACGGAUGAACCGGUUUGAUAUCAAAGGUCCGGUGGAACGCUGAAAGAAACUUGAUGAGGUGUCAAGUUUCGGCUUUACAUUUCUUCCAAUUUGUACUAAAAGAAGUCUCCAACUUUCAAGUCGCCAACGGUGGGAAUCGUAGUGGGCCCGAUGGAAAGAUAUAAUGGCGGCCUUCUUAAUUGAAGUAGAUACUUGACAUUGGCAUGAGUUGGAGACCUCAGCCUCAGUCCUGCCGCCCAAUUUUUUUUUUAAAGAUCAAAAUAUUUUCAAUAUUAUGUUUUGGCCCCUAUAUUGUUAAAAAUUAUUAAUAUAUUUCAAAUAUUUCAUAUUUUAUAAAUGUUAUCCUAAAGUUCAGUGUUUAUUUUUCAAUUAAAUCCAUAAUUUUAAUUCUAAACUUGUUAAUGUUCAUUAAAUAAUCUAAAAUGUGACUUGAUCAUUCUAAUUUUUUUGUAUUUUCUUGUUAAAUAUAUUUGAAACAUCAAAUAUAUAUGAAUAUAUAUAUUUAUUAAUAUUAACAUGUUCUUAAGUAUUUUACAUAUAAUAUUUUAAUUUUUAAAUAAUUUUUAUUUAUGACAUCAUCCGGUUUAACUCCUAUCAAAUCCGAUCGAACCUAUUGACCCCUGCCUCCUGAAUUCAACCAAGUCAAUACCCGGUCCGAGUAUGAAAACAUAGCCUCCAGAACCAUGGGUCGCUUAUAAAAGUUCUACAAAUCGUCUAUUAACACAAUUAUUACAUCGACAAUAGAUGUGUCCGGAACCAUAAAUGACUUAUAAAAAUUCUUACAAAUCAUUCAUUAGCACAGUCCUUACAUCCACACAAAAUUUGACAACCUCUUGUGAAAAAUUGACCCGUUCUUGUCAACUUGCGUUAACAAAUGAAUAGAUACGUAGGCUGCACGAAAACAACAUAGAUAAAGUUAAUUGACGUUAUCACUUUGUGCAAGCUCAUACUUAUCUGAUCUCUGACCAAGUGGAGCCCGCUCGUGUGAGCCUGGAUAGUUUUUGGCCUUUAAUCCAAAACGAGAAUUUAUAGCCCUUGUCCGGUGGUUCUGUCCCCAUCGAUCCCUUCAUAGGCCCAGUUAGAUCUCCCCCGCAAUUAGAUUAGAAUAGAGUAUGAUAAAAAGUAGGGUUGACGAUUGACAAAAAAAAAAAAGAGAAUUUAUAGCCCUUGUCCCUUGCCACUUUGUGUUGAAUUGGAAAACUCACUACAAGAAAAUUGCGUUUCUGUGACAGGCAAAAGUCGUCACUAAAAAUUCAGAAGUCGUCACAAAAAAAGUCAGUGACGACUUUUACUGCUGUCAUAGAGCUGUCACUAGUUCUAUGUCACAAAAGGGGGUCCAUGUGACGACUGUUGAAAGUCGUCACAAACGAUUUCGCUUUUGUGAUGACUCUUGUCGUCACUCAUUGUUGUAUAUUGUGUGACGACUUUUAUUGUCACUAAGCUGGCUAAAUUCUUGUCAUAGUCAACCCUUGGAGUUGUCACAUUAUGCUUCCGUUCAGUGACGACUUUUGUUGUCAUUGUUUUCCAUCCAUAAAAAGUGACGACUUUCUGGUGUCACUAGUGAAACUUGUUGGCAGUGACAACUUUUUUAUUGUCAUUUAUUUUUUUGUAAAAAGCAAUAAUCUAAUGUUAAUUACGCAACAUAGCUGCCAACAAUCACAAAACGUUCAUUGAGUGAGUAGCAAGGAGAAAAAAAAAGCCAACAUACGAAAAGAAAGCCAACAUUCAUUUCGAAUAGAAGAUCAACCCAAAUACAUAUAUAUAUACUAUGAGGCAUGAACGCGCUUCGCGCGAUGGAAAUAUAAAAUGCCCUGUCCAGUUUUGAAGUAAUAAAAAUAACAAUUUAUUUAGAAAAGUAUAUUUUUUAGUAUAGUUAUUCCACAAGUUAAGUUUUGUUGAUACUUUUUGGCCGUUUCUUUUUGGCCGUUUCUCACAAAGCCUCUAGUCAAUGGCAACCGUCAACUUGCAUUUUUUGCAAAACCAUUUCUGGUGCAAAAAUGGAACCAAUGUAGUAUAUAAUACAUAGCAAGAAAAGAAAGAGCAUCCCACGAGUUGGUUAUUUACUCAUUGAGAAACUUUUGUGGCCUAUGAUAGCAAACACAAUUGGAGUUAAACAAGCCUAUAAUGUGGUCUAAUAGACUACAAUCUUAAGCAUCCAUUCAACACUAUAUCAAAGUUUCACGAUGACAACUGUUUGAGGGGGCCUAUACAGAACAUGAAAUUAUGAAUCUCUUAAAGACUGUAUUCACCUCUUCAGCCAGUGACAGGAACUUUUGAGACUCAUCAGAAGCAUAACCAGAAGAACCUAGAACUAACAUUCCCGGAGCAAAACAUGCUAAAUCAUCCAUCUGCACAUAAUUUUGAAAGACAAAUACUAUAAAUUAAUAAUUACUCCUCCACAAAACAAUUAGGAUAUUUAAUCUUGCAAGUUCACACGUCACCUUGUCAGUUAGGGAAUUUCCAAUCUUUUCACAGAUAUAUGCAAAGGAUGAAGGGGUAGUUCUCUUAACCAAGCUUGAAAGACCUUUCAUUGAUGUCUCCCACAUUUCUCUGCUUGCAGAUUCAUGAGAAGAGUUACUUCUCCAGGAUAUUCUAAGUUUAUCUCAAAGUGUGAAAAAGAACUUAAGAUAGCAAAGUAAAGAAAUCUACUCCAUGCUCAACAACAAUGCAAUAAGCAAUAUGUACAUUAAACUUCAAUGUCAUUAGUCUCUCGCUUUGAGCUCAUAAUACAUUUUUCUAAUCCCAUAUACGUGACGUUUCUUUUACCUAUAUUUUCUCAGGAUAGCUGACACACUUUGAUACAAGUCUAUAUAUAUAUAUAGACACACACACACACAACACACAAACAUUAAAAUAGAAAUGUGAAUGCUUUGCAGAAAGUAUGCCUUUUGGGAAAAGAUCGAUAUAUCUAAGGAAAGAAAUGCCAAUGUUUACCUGUAAUGAUUUACAGAAGCAGUUUUGUUUCCUUGUAUCCACACCUUGAGUAAAUACUCAUAAAAGCUGCCAAAAGAAGAGCUUUUACCAUUAUUCAAAUUACAAAUAAUACAAAGUAAAGAAAAGAAAAAAGUAUAUUUUCAAAGCCAUGGAAAUGAGAUAUACAGGAGGAUAAUUUUGAAGGGACCUAAAUGAAAAACAAAUGCUAUCUAUAGAUUAUGAGAUAAUUACAAAGCAAGCACUGCUAAGGAAUGUAAACAUAUUGAAUAGAUUGUAUCUGUCCCCCAUAGCCCCAGAAGUGAUGGUAGAAUAGGAUGUUGUGCCCCUCUGGGGAUUAACAUAGAUGGGAAGCAAACCAUCAGUAGGAAAGGUCCUGCUAAGAAAUAAAAUAACAUUCUCCACCUGAAAGUAAUGGAUAUGAAUCAUCAGCUGUCUGUCAGAAACUUAUUGGGAAAAAAAGGUCUAUCCUUAUCUAACUCAGCCAAAAUUCUCUCUUGUUCGAGCACCAUAAAAUCUUAAUAUACACUUUGACUCUUAAAACUUUCAUAAAAUGUUCAUCUCUUUUUGUCUCUCUCAGAUGCACAGAAGAAGGAAAAGGGGGAAUGAGCAAGCGAAUUACUUGAAAGUGUAAGGAGCUAGUUUUUGGAUACCUUCUGCCGAUUCUUUGGGUUUCCAGUCCUUUGAGAAAGAACAAUAAACUCCAGUUGCUCUGUACCAGAAUCAGUUAAAAUACUAUCAACCUGAGAAAAGGUAAAGUUUUACACAAUUUGUCAUACAUAUGUAUACUCAAGGCAUAGACAUGACAAUGAGCAGAGACAAUGCAAAUAGUUCAUGCAGAGAAGUAGAAAUACAGAAGUUGAUUGGGAGAUACAUGAUUUAAAUGUAAAGAAAGCCAGGAUUAAUAAGAGCAAUGUAAAGCUCAAUUGCCAUUAUAUAAUUGUGAAGAAUUAGGGAAUAUUCAAAUAAUUAUUGUGGCAGGUAUUGCUAUUAUUAUAUCGUGCAGCUGAGUCUUGAAAGGACCCACAACAAUUUUGUUUUGCUUAAAAGUAUAGCAAAAGUCACAGUUGGACAAUGAACUUGAGUCUAAAUGUUUCAUGAAACAGAAAACAAAUUAACAUAUGUAUCAACUUACACCAGUCCAUCCGGGAUUAUGCAGAUUCUCGUGAGCCAAGCUAAUAACGUUAUAAGGAAUGCCAGAAGGUGUGUCAUAUGUAGGCAGUAGCCUAUCCGCAAUAUCCUGAGCCUUUUCAAGGAAAACCUUAUCCCCAGACAGAUCAUAUGCACUGAGAAGUCCUCCUACCACUCUGGAUUUUGUUAUGAAAAAUUCAUAAGUAACCACCAGUUAUAUGAAUGUCUUGUCUACCUCCAUUUAAAAAGUUGACAAGAAUUUCAGAUGUUAAAACUUAUACAAAGGAAAAGAUGAAAACACAAAACUAAAAACACACGAAACAUUAAACCUUAUAAAACAACCUUAUGGUUGUUUCAAACACACUUGCAUCAUAGUUUUUGUUAAAAUCCAAGGAAUUUGCAACCCACUUGCCACCAAAUGACCAGAUAAGAUUAGAUAGGAAAAAUGGGUAAGCAAAUACUUACUGAUUAAAGACACUUUGCAAUUAAAAAAUCACCUUACUACAGUGAAACUUUCAGGAGGGGGGAGGGAAAGCAAAGUUGGACAAAGAUAGUGACAACUUAUACGUGUGUGAACAAAGACAUAGCAAUCAUUUUUUAACAUGGUGACUACAGAAAAACUAAACAGCAAGUGGAAAUUCUACGACAUUACUACUAAUCCUCAAUGAAGAAAAAGUCAACAAGCAAAAUUUACAUUUACGCAAGUGGCUCAAAUGUCUUAACUUGUUUUACACUGCCAACUUCAUUUUCUUUCUUGAAAUUAAAGCAUAAAGGGUUUUGGACAGAAAUCAAAUCCAGCACCGUGGCUAUACCAAAACGAAAAAAUGCCAAGUAUGGUUGUCUUCAAAUUGGUGUAAUUCCUACCUUCUUAACCCGUACAAAACCUUCAACUCUACAUCCUCCUGCUGAGGGCGCAGGUCUUUUUGGAUCUUUUGUCUUGUCAGAUUUAUCCUCUAAAGCAAGUCUUUUAGACUCCAGUGAAACAGAUGCAACCAAAGUUUCCAUUGUCUGCAAAUAAUUAAAAAACCCAGUAAUGCCACAUAUAUAAUAGGUGACAACAUCAACACCUAUGCAGGACUACACAAUUCAAUCAUAGGUUUCUAGUAUAGAAAAAUGAUAUCAAUUGCAUUGAUAGAGGUGCAGAGUCAUGCUACAUAUACAUUUCCCUUUUCCUUUAUUUAUUUAAUUUUUGUUUUGUUCUUUUACUUCCUUGCUUUUCUUCACCUUAUUUUUGCCUUUCCCUUUUAAAACUUUGGGCAUGCAACUCAAUAUUGUUUCUUACCUAGACCAGACUUUCAGUGUUUUGAUCGCCAAAAUAUGAUUCAUACUCAUGAUGUCCAUGUUCAUCCCUAUAUUAAAACAGACAACAAACUUCUGAUUUGAAUACAGCAAAUUCAAAUAUUACAUAAGGUCAUUAUAAAUGAAAAUUUCUGCUACUUAAAGCUAAAGAAGAGAAAAGUUUGCACUACAGAAGGAAAUUUUUAAUGAGAAAGUUCAGAUUAACCAAGACAAACAUAUAAUAAGCAAACAGUUUUUAACAGGCAACAAAGGUGAAAGAAUCAAAUUUGGACAAAGAUAGUGACAACUUAUACGUGUGUGAACAAAGAUAGCAAAUAAGGUUUAAUACAGAGAAAAAGUAAAAUUCUGGACCAACAUUCAUAUUAGUGCCAUACAGCAGCCUAGCAGAUAUUGCGCAUAGUCCACUUUAUGUCUAGGACCCUUUCCACCGAACCUAAUAAUGCAAGUAUUAUCAAAUUAAAUUCAACUUUAAUGUCAACGAAAAGGAGAACAAGGUAUAAAAAAUGAAACUGAAACAUUAGAAAAUUUCCAACAGGAAUAUUGCAAGCAGAUUCCAAGUAUGAAGCUAUUGGACAAGGCCAACAAAUCAUAAGUAAGGAUGACAAAAAGAGAAUUUAAAAAAAAAAAACUUCUUGAGCAGUUCUCCAUUAAUUUUUUUUAGUCCAAGAGAGAUUUUAAGAUCUUACAAGAAGAAAGGAGAAAUGGAGAAUUAAACCAGUAAUAUAGGCAGCUACCUCCUUUUCAUUAUUUCUUCGGCUGUCUUGAAGUCAUUGCAAAGCUUCUGUCCACAACCGUUACGCCAAACAUCCCGAUCAGGCACAUCUUCAGUAAAAUAAUUUUGCUCUCCUGAAGCAGCCUCAGUCAAAUCUGGAUCUGGAUCUAGAUCAGAAUUUGGAUGUUUAACGUCCAAAAUUGCUGCUGCAGAGCCAUCACCUAAGCCAUCACCAAUUCCGAUAGUGAUAUAUGAUCAGAAAUAUAAUACUAAACUAAUGAAACCAUGUCUUCUCAAAAGAAAGGAAAUGAAAGAAAAAAACUAUAGCUCCCAUUUUGUAGGGCAGAGCAUGUCAUAGCCUUCGGGGAAAAAAAAAAAAGAAAAGAAAAGAAUCAAGAUGACGGGAUAAGCUCAGGUUCCUAUUACCAUGUAGUAUACGCUUUGCUUUACUGUAAAAAAAGAAGAAGAUGGAAGGAUCCUAUUCCCUUACGCAUUGUCACGGAUAUAAAAGGUAGCAGCCUCAUGAUUUUCCAGGUGUUCAGUAUCAACCUGCUAGAAUAUUUCCGGCAUUAAAAAAAAAAGAAAUUCGUCAAAACCAUGUCCUUUUUCUACUGUUUUGUAACUAAAUAAAGUCCAGUUGCCUACUUUGAAUCUUUGCUUUAUUCAAAGUGUUUUUUCGUAUGAUAAAAUCGUGAGUUGAGUAAACUUGACCUAUCGUUUUCUGGAAUAAAAUCGCUUUUUUGGUUGCUGGAGUCUUUUCGAGUCAAUAAUAUGGAUAGGGAAAUGCAGCAAUGAGCAUUGAACGAAUGCCCUGUUACGGCCUGCUGUUAGACCACUUGGGCAUUUCAACAAACAGUAAACGAACAUGAAAAAUUCCAGCAAUUCUUUGCUCAAAUGAAGCCACGGUUGGCCCCAAAAUCAUCAGAAGUACAAGGGAUUUCAAAUUCAAUCAUGAUAUAAACAUGCGCAUGCUAAAAUUUGAACAAUCAACGGGGCAAUUGCAAUAAACGAAGCCAUGGCAGACAUGCUUAGAGGACUUGGGAAGGAACUGAAAUUCAAAGAAAAAGGGGCGACUUAUAGUGCUCUUACUUGAGCGGUGGCGACGGCGAUUAUGACGAAGCUGAAGACGGUGAGUUGGAAUUGGAAGAUGACUAGGUCUGACUUCCUCCGAGAGCCUUCAUCUAGUGUUACAGAGAACGGCAGCAGCCCAGGAGGUUGUGCGCGGUGUUGGCGAUGGCAGACAGCAGCAGAGCGGACGCGGACUGGUGGUGACCUGGUUCUUCCUCCUCUGUCCGUUGCCGCGUCUUUCUCUCCUGAUCUUCCUGUCAGCCGCCACUCUUCCUUCACUCUAUUUUUUUCUUUUCACGCUCAAGGCCUCACUUCCAAGAACCCUAGCUGCUUCUCUGCUCUUCUGUUUCUCUUUUUCUCCUCUAAAACCUAGCCGCCCUUUCUCAGGGCUUCCCCCUCAGCUUUUCUUGCUCACGGGAAGGAAGGGUUAGUUCACCAUAGGAAGGAAAGACUGAGAAUGAAAUUUGUCUAAGUGUUGGAAGAGAGAAGCGGCGAGACUUUUGUUUGUGUGUGUACAACCAAAACGACGUCGUUUUGUAGAGAUUUUAGCCACCCCCCCGCGCCUCUUUCAGAUUUCAGACUGGCGCUCUUUUUUUUUGGCAUCUAAGCACGUCUUUGAGAUUCCAGGAUUCACGCCUUUAGCUUCAUACAUCUUUUUUCUUUUCUUUUUUAGCCAAUUUUUUUUUCAGGUUUCUUUUUUCAUACUUAAUCUCUUUUUUUUUUCCUUAAUCUCAUCUAUAAAUAUCAAAUAAAUUAUUUGAUAUUGGUUUCUUUUUUGUGCAUGUAUAUAUGUGUGCUUGUUUGUGUCUAUAUACAUCUUUUUGGGUUUGGACAACUCAAUAUACAAAUUAUUUAAGAAAUUACCUUACAAUAAAACUUACACAAUAAAACAUGUUUCAAAAAUUUAACAUGCAUAGAAUCGCUUAUAUACAGUAUAACACUUCUUACUCAUGCUUAUCCUACUCUUUGUCUAUUACUUAGUUUUUAUAAUAAAUUAAAAGAAACAUGUAAUCAAAUAUUCUGUUAAAUGUGUUAUAACUCUCAAUCUUAUUGCACGACAGAUAUUUUACUGAAUAAUUUUAAUUUCGUAUAUACCCAUUCCAUAUGAAAAUAAUUAUUACUUAUGAUGUAUUACACGUUAUACUAAUCUUUCACAGUGCUAACAUUAGACUACAAAUUAUAUUCAAUUACACUUUUUCAAAUUAUUUCAGUUAUUGAUUUUUGGGGGUUGUUAUAAGGAAUAAUAAACAAUUCGUGAAAAAAUUUUUAUGCUCAGACAUGUCUAUUAUGUCAACUUAGCAAAAAUUACAAAUAUCUAAAAAUAGUUUGUUAUUAUAUCAUUUGCAUUUUGCUAAUACGUAAUGAAUAGGGGCUAAAUUAUAAAAUUAGGGUGUCAUAUCUUCGGUGCUUUUGCUAAUAUAAACGAAUUGGGGGCUAAAAAAUAAAAUUAGGGUGUCAUAGUAGAAUUAGUGAAAGUUGAUGAAAAUACUGUAGUAUACAGUGAUGCAAAAAGUUGUCACAAAAUUGGAAUCGGGUAGACUUUCAAUGACAACAAGUUAUGUUGUCACUGUAGAGAGAGCGUUUGUGACGACUUUAUUUGAGUUGUCAUAAAUUCAUUUCCCACGGCAUCAAAUGAGAUGCGCGCCAACUAUUUCGUGACGAGUUGAGAAUGACAACUUCCAAUGUUGUCACUGAUUAUGCUUGUGCUGUACUCAUCUGUGAUGACACCUAAUGUCGUCACUGAAUUAGGUUAUCUGUGACAAGAUUUUUGUUGUCACAUAAAUUUUUGUCACUGAAAAACAUAUUUCUUGUAGUGACUAGAGUCCCUUAAAGUCAUUAUCUAGCUGAAAUACAAAUCAAAGUUAUUGAUUAUUCAAUCAGUUCAUUCAAAAUUUGUUUGUCAACUAAUGCUGUUGGACGUGGACUUGAAUUAGUAGUAAUUAAGAUUUUAAAAUUGAUUUGAUAUUGAUGAAACUUGAAAUUCAGUUGUAAGAAAUUUAAGUUACUAGAGAUUGACUUCCUAAAGGUGUGAGACUCGAAAAAUUAACAAAUCAAAUGUAAAUCAAAAUUUUAAACUUGUUAAAAUAAACAAAAAUGCCAGCUAGCUCAUUUUGAUUAGUCUUGUUUACAUGCCUAGUAACCUAGGACGAAAACAUCAAAAAUACACUUGCUCCUAUUAUGAGGUUCCAUUAAAACCAUACACAAACAAACCAGUUUUUACUUGAAUUUUUCUCCUUGUUAAACUUCUAAGUGCAUAAUCGAGCAAAAUACGUCUUGGUGGAUUAAAUUAGGGCUAGAGUAUCGUGGUUUUGUGAUGACCGCAAGGAGGACGCAGGAAAAGGUCUUUGCUUAUUGCGUCUAAUGAGAUGAACUAAAUUGGUUCUUGAAUAUUUCGUUGAACUUUUUGCUUUUGUAAUUUCUUGUGAGUGUGGUAAGACAUUUACUAUAAUUGCAACAACCAAAGUAAUUUCUUAAAAUAUAUUAGUUUAAAAGCACGUACGUGGCAUUACCUGUCUCCAAUAUUAAUGAGUGUGUUUGGAUUGCUGAAUUAUUUCACAUAAUAUUUUGCUUGCAUCAUAAACACAUUUUUCAAUCCACCAUUUUAUAUUCUUAAUUAGUUUUUUUAUCUCACAUACAUCAUAUUACAAAAAGUAUUACAGUAAUUAUUUCAAAUAAUACUCUUUCCAAACACACUCAAUAGUAGUUAUUGUUUUAAUGGUCAAUGUUGAUGUACAUAUACCAAGAAGGUAUCCAUCAAAGGAUCAAAUUUAGUUACAAAAAUACUUUUAUAUCAAAAAUGGUUAUGUUGAGUACCAGCAAGUUCGUGAUCGAUCUUCGUGUGCUACCUUGCUGUGUAUCUUUGGAGUAAACUCUACACAGCCUUGGGGAUUAGUCUAGCCAAAAGGUUGGAAUACUCUUAAGUGAAAAAAACGGUUAUGUUGAGGAAAUUAGUUUUUGGAUACAAUUUAAGAACUAAAGACCAUUGAAAAUAAAUAAUUAAUCGCCACAGAUUCCAUUCUUUGCAAUUUGGCAUCUUUAGACUUUUGAUCAUUUUCUCUGAUAAAACCACAAAGUAAAGAUUUUUUUUUACAGGUGGAUUAUCCAUAGAAAUGUAAUUUUUACCACUUAAACCACAAAAUAUACAUUGUCACUAAAAUCCUAGUUAAUUAGCUAAAAACAUGACUAAAACACACCAAAAUUAAAUAAUAAAAUACGCUAAAACAUGUAAAAUAUACACUUAUCAAUAGACGUGGCAAUCGGGUCAAAAAUAAGGGUAACGGAUUGGGUUGAGAUCCAGGUAUAACAGAAAACCUACUGAUUUAAUCACGACCCGACAACCUGCAAAGGGUAGAAUACUUGACCUAAACCUGAAAUUUUUGGACAUCAUAUGAUUUGAAACACAAUUUUAAUUUACUAAUAUACCACUAUAGUUUCUAACAGAACCAAUUUUGCACAAGGCUAAUUACAUAACGAAGUAAUAAAAGUCUCAAUAAAAUAAUUCCAAAAUAGAUCUGAAAUAAAUUAAAACACUGUAAAAGUGUAAUAUCCCAAACCUGAUAUAAAAUAAAUUAAAUCACUAUAAAAGUAGAAAAAUAAUGUAAUAUAUUAUUUGUCCAAAUAUAUUAAUUCCAACUUCACACAAGUCAAACAAAUUCAUUUAGGAUUAAUGAUUAAUGCCUUGGGAAAAAAGGAAUAACUUAGUUUAGUUAGAUAAAAUAUUUUUAUAUUUAUUAAAUUCUUUUUAAUUCAUAAACGAAUUAUCGGAUCAACCCGUGGGUAACCUAAAUUCGACCUGUUAUCUUUUCAGGUUCACCAGGUUCGACCCGAUUCUGAUCUAAAUCUGCAAAAUCUCAAUUCAAACCCAUUAAUUUCGUAUUAAAUUCGUAUGAUGUUUUCAAGUUGUAUCGAAAAUUGCCACCCCUACUUGUAAAGCAAGUCUUUGCAAUUUUCACAUGUGAUAUUAUAUAAAUCUCGGGUCUAUAUAAGCGUACGCUGGCGGCACUUUGCUACCACAACCAAAAUCUCACCCUCAAAAUUUCCUUUCCUUCUCACAAAGUCUCCCAGCUGCGAUACUUUUUUCCUUCUUACAACUCUCACUCCCAUUAUUCUCUUUCCUUCUCACAAUGGUUAACUUGAUUGCCUCUCACAUCGUCAAACCAGCAAAACCAAUCCCCACAAAAGUAAUGUUUUUAUCUGAGUGUGAUCGAACGUGUGCCCGUGACUCAUGUAACUAUCGUCCAUUUUUACAAGCCAGAAGGUCCAGAAUUGCUAAAAGAUGCCACUGGGGUUUUGAAAGAAUCACUAAGCGAAGCCUUGGUGGCGUUUCAUCCGCUUGCUGGACGUUUAUACCAGAAAGAUGGGGGCCGAGUUGAGCUGCAGUGCAAUUCCAUGGGAGCUUUACUUGUUGAAGCACAAUCUGAGCUCAAAAUACAGGAUUUCGGAGACUUCUGUCCAACCCCACAAAUCCGUGCCCUGAUCCCACCUAUAGAUAACAAUAAUACUCCCCUUCAUGAGAUACCGCUCCUUCUAGCGCAAAUUACAAAGUUUGCCUGUGGUGGUGUUUCUAUAGGCUUGGCCGUGUCACAUGUCAUUGCGGACGGCCACAGCGGGUGUCAUUUUGUUUCCGAAUGGGCAAAGAUUGCACGUGGUGAAAAAUCUGAUGAUCAACCAUUUCUAGAUCGAACAAUUUUUCAGAAAUAUGAAGACGAUCACCCAUCAUCAACAGCCCCAAAAUUACAAUACUCGGACUUUUUCCCACUACCCGUCCUGAUAGGCCAGUCUAGCAGCUUGGAAGAGCGUAAAAAGGCUACCAUCUGCGCCAUGCUUAAGUUAAGUAAAGACCAAAUUGAGCAGAUCAGGAACAAGGCCAACUACCAAGAUUUGAUGAUUCACAAAACUAGCAAUCAAAGCCCCUUUAGCCGGUUUGUAGCAGUAUCUGCACAUAUAUGGAAGUGCUUAUCCAGGCCCGUAUGCACAACCCCGCCCAAGAAACGGUUCUAUAUGUGAAUAUGGAUUUUCGCAAUCGGCUUAAACUACCCUUGCCCGGAAGGUGCUUUGGAAAUGCUGUCUUACCUGUAACAACAAGAGCCAUUGUAGGUAACCUCCAAUCGAGGCCACUAAGCUAUGCUUCAAGCAAAAUUAAGGAAGCAAUAGAGAAUGUUACAGAUGAGUAUGUAAGGUCAUAUCUUGUUUGUAUGAAGAACAUUCCGGAGGUAUCUAGCAGUCGACAUUUUCACGCCGUUGGUUGUCCACAGGGGUUGUUCUUAGGAAAUCCCAAUUUGAUCUUUACAACUUGGGUUGGUCUGGGCUUGUACAAAGCCGAUUUUGGGUGGGGAAAUCAAAUUUUCUUGACCCCUGGGUCAGUUGCUUAUGAUGGAAAACUCUUCAUUAUUCCUAGUCCUAAUGGAGAUGGGUCGCUAUUUAUACCAUUGUGCCUACAAGCAGAACACAUUAAUGCUUUUAAGAAGCAUUUCUAUGAUGAUAUAUGAUGAUGUAGACUUACAAGGUUCGUUCUUGUGUAGUUUCAUGGGGCUCAGUAAAAAGCUUUGUCAUAUGUAAUGUAAAAGUUAGGUGCCACUAACAUUUGAAUUUAUUUGUUGGACAGGGAGCCUACAAAUUGGCAGCUGGUGGAGAACAGUUCAAAUUGUUGGACGUGGAACUUUUAAGAAAUGGAAGAUGGAGUAAAGGGAAGCCAAAAAUUUGUCUCCAAAGUAGUAGCAAAUAAGGAGACUUUUACUCCUUUGAGAUAGCUAGUAUGACCUUUACGAUGUCCUUUUUCUUAAAAAAAAAAAAAGGAUUAAUCUUGUAUGUAUCAAAAAUAGAUACAUUAAUGAGUAUGGAUACUUGUUAUUUCAUUUCAAUUUGAACUAACUCUCAAUUUCAAUUUUUACACAUGUUGUAUAUAUCUAUGUUUGUUAUUGUAUAUACUGUCAAUAUAUAUAUAUGAUUAAUUUUUUUUUCUUAAGCAAGGGCAAUAGCCCCACUUUUUUUUUUUUAGUAUAAACAGGAGGACUCGAAUCUAAGAUCUCUUGCUUACACUCCCUCCCCCGUAUCACCCAACCCACUCCUCCCCCGUAUAUAAGAUUAAUUAAAAAAAAUAUGAUGUAUAAUCUUUUCAUGAUAUUAUUACUUUAAAGUGUCAAUCUAUAAAACUUGUUUCUUACACAGUAAAAUUUGAAUUAUGAUGAGCAUUGUGUAUUGGGUACUUAAUUGUCAUAUUCCAUCCCAUAGCAAAGAAACUUGUAAAUUGCGUGAUGGCAUAUCGACUACUAGCUUAAGCUAGGAAUGGAGUAGCUUUAGAACCACCAUGGACACUUAAUCUUUUUUUUCCCUCUCUUAUGAAAUAACAUUUAUAACCUAUCUUAUCUUAGUCUGAGGGGAAGAAAGAAUUCAAGUGAGCUAUAUGAGGGGUGAGAGGGAAAGAACCCAUAUAAAGCAGAGGAGUACACUAUUAGACAUCUUAAAGCAAAGGACUUAUAGUCCAAGAGGAAUUUUAUAUUCCUUCUCAAUGGCCAACUUCCCAAAUCCAGAUUGGUUCUAUGUAAUCAACUCAGUGCAGAGUUCCCUUCAUGUCUUCUAGCUUCAACAUUGUGCACUUAAGAACCAUUCCUGUUCAUCUUGUCUCAAAUUUAGAGCUGCCUCCAAAAAAAAAAAAAAGAAUAAUCAUUCAAAAUUACCCUUGCUUUUUCGAAAUUUGAUAUAUAGAACUCUUAUGAUUAUUUUCCAAAGUCUUUAAGGCACUUUCCCAUGUCAUAAUUCUCUCUCUGUAUUUUUUUUUUAAAAAAAUUACUUACAUAUUUGUAAAUUCCUUUUGGUUAAUUGCCCUUUUCUUUGAUGUUAAAAUAGGCGAUACAUAAUAUUGCUGGAAUGAGAUUGAUGUCAAAGUAAUGAAAUAUCAUCUUCUUAUUAGCUUGAAAUUUUUGGGUACAUUCUAUCUUUGAUAUUUUAAUUCGAGGAGCCCACCACCCCUUUCAAUAAUUGAUAUUUGUUAAGUGUAAAAUUACAAUCAUUAUUCUUUGUCAACAUCCAUUUUCCAAGAGAAUUCUAUGAAAAGUUGAGAGUAAAUGUAAAUGUCACAAAAAGAUCGCCAUCCAAUUUAUCAACUUAAAAGGAGGUCUUUAUAAUCUCUAUAUUUGAAAAGAAAAAAAGGAAAAAUUUCAAAAAUUUUAAGUACUAUAGACUUGUUCUUUUUUUUUUAUCAACUUAAAAGGAGGUCUUUAUAAUCUCUAUAUUUGAAAAGAAAAAAAGGAAUAAUUUCAAAAAUUUUAAGUACUAUAGACUUGUUAUUUUUUAAAAAAAAAAAAAAAAAAAAAGAUACCGUUAAACCCCUAUAUAAAGGCCUGAGGUCAAUUCUCUUCUUCGGCAAAAGAGUUGAGAUUUUCAAUCCAUCAACAUCUAAUUUGCUGGCACCAUUAAUUCUAAUUGUCCUUCCAAAUCCCCCAUACGAUAUUGGACUUCGGCCUAAUCACAAUUAGCCCAACCAGAUGAAACUUCCUUGAUCUGAAAUUACACGUGGCGGCUUUCUGUGCAGCCCACAUAUAUACAUUUAUUUUUCCCUGGUCGCUGUUGAGGGUGUCAUGGUGCCACUACUUAUGUAAGAUGGAAAACCAAGGAGAGGAGCCAGGAAGAAUUUUCAAACCAAGCGUAAUGCCACAAUUUAGGAGCUAUGUACAUAGAGAUAAUUAACUUCCACAAUGCAUAUAAAAGUGCCAAGUGAUAUAUUAGCUGCUUAAUUAACGAAAAAUUCGAUACUAAGCGACAUCGCAACUAAACAAUAGAAACAAAUUAAAAGAUAAUUCAUCUCUUUGAUUUUAGAAUUCUCAUGUUUGAAUCUAUCAUUUAGUAAUGUCAUGAUUUAUAGUCGCUUUUAUAGGUGGACUCUUAAUUAAUAACAUCUCCUAGAGAUUGGUAUUCCAAUGCUAUUUACUUAUCUAACUUAAAUUUUCUAAGGCACCCUAAAAAAAAAAUCCGACAUUGAUUGACUCCAGAUUAGUCGGGGCACUAUGAGGUCACUAGCCACUGAGAGUAUAAAAAAAAAGGUACAUGUUUUUAAUCUUGAAUGUUUGCUUAUAGCUCUUUUAAUAAGUAUGUAGUUUUACAUUAAAAAAAUAUAUGUAGUUUUAGAAAUAUGAUGGACAACAGUGAUAUUCCACUUUUCCUUUUUGGCAUUCUAUCCUUUCUGUAAUAAAGUAUUAUUCAACGUGCACGAAGCAAAUGCAUGAAGCAAAUGAAAUGUCAGUAACUAUGGAUUCCACUCUUGUGAAUGGAGAAAAUAAUGUUAAGAUAAUCAUUUUCAAAAAAGAAUAUGACAAUACUCAAAUCCUAAUUAGUCAGCUCAAUGCGGUCACUAGAUUAUUGGGAGGUAUAAAAAAAAAAAAAAAGUACAUGUUUGCGGCCCUGAAUCUUAGCUUAUAGCUCUUUCAACAUGUAUGUAGGUUUACAUUAAAAAAAAAUAUUUAUGCAGUUUUAAAAAUAUGACGGACGAUAUUGAUAUUCCACUUUUUCUUAUUCUAGUUACCAACCCCCACUCAUCUUAUUGGCAUUCUACCCUACUUGUAGUAGAGUAUUAUUAAACGUGCAUGAUGCAAAUGAAAUGUCAACAACCGAUAGUUUAGCGCGGAUACAAAUAUACAAUACCCUUCAUAUCCUAACAAAUAUAAGUGUGUGAAUGGGUUGGUGAACAGUGAGUUUGGUCCCUCGUUAACACCUUUACUGCAUAGAUUCUUUCAUCAUUUCACACGUAUUUUAGGUGCAUGGGUGUUAAGUGGCUAAUUGUGCAUAUAAUUGGUGAAUAUUUUUCCCUUUAUUUUGCUAAAAUAUGGCGUUAAUCGAUAUAUUUCGCUUAUAUUUGAAUUUUGGUGUUGCUUUUACGAAUUGUUGGUGAGAAUGAAAUAAAAGGUGCAUUAAAAGUCGAUUUUCCAGAAGACGUCUUGUUAAGCGUGCCCACGCUUUGUCAAACACGAAGUGGUGCUUCUUAAGGUCUAUGUCCAGAAGAACUUUCAUUAUAAAGCGUGCCCACGCCUUAUUUGACAAGACAAUCAAGAGUGCGCAGGACAUGAGAUCAAUUUGUCAAUUGAUCAAGAAACCGGUUGCAUCCCAUGGGCUGACACAUUAGCCACGGAUUGGAGAUCUUGAGGGGCCAUGAUUCGAUGUAAUUAUUUUGGGAAUUCAAUUAAUAGGUCUUGGUUGGUUAGUUUAAUUUAAGUAGGAAUCUUAGAAGGAAAAGGGGAAUCUCAUCCUUAUUAAUAGGGGAUUCUUUCUCUAGCUCUCAUUCUUUUUCCUCUUUUCCUCUACAAUAAACUCUAGUAUUCCUUGUGGCCGCAAAUCCACCAGGAGGAGCGGCUAGUUUCUUUUCUAGUUGAAGAAUAAUUGAAACUUUAGUUCGACAAUACUGUGAGAUCUAAUUUGAUUUGUUUGUUUCAUUUAUUUAUGAGUAUUUAUAUAUUCUCUGUUUAUUCAUGAUUAUGAUUAUUUGCUACAGUUAAAUACCUGAUCAAUAUUUAAUUGUCGAAAUAGUCUAUUGCCACCUGAAAUAUCAAAUCCGUAAUUGUUUGAUGGUUUUAGUAUUUGUGGCGAGUGGUAUAAUUUGAUUGUAAAAAAGACUUUCGAAUUUAUGUCACGGGAAUAUAUAAUCUAACUUAAAUGAACCGAGCGUGUGUGUUUGUUGGUUAGAAUUGGUAGCUUCUCUAAUUAUUAAUGCUGUCAAUAGGUUAAAUCCUAAGAGCUUGUUUAGGGUUGCUUAAUUGGCAAGAGAAAUAGUCACAGAGCGUGUUGUGAUUAUCGAAACAGUAAGGAGAGGCAGGUUGUCAGAGCGUGUUGACAACCAUAACCAGUUUAUUUAUGAAUAAGUGAUUUCACCUUUGCAUCGAUGAUCAGUUAAAUGAACCAAAGUGGAAAUUAGACCUUCAACUAGAGUGUUGCCUAUUCUUAGUUUAGUUUUAUUUAAUUUUGUGAUAUUGUUUUUAUUUUUAUUCAAGUGAGCUAUUUAGCUAAUUUCUCCUAAUCCCCCAUUUUUCACAAAGAAAUAAAUCACUCAAUCCCUGUGGAUACGACCCUACUCACCGCUAUACUCGAAAUCAUAUUUUUAGAGUAGGAAUUUUAUUUUUGCUGGUUUGACAAGCCAACAAUGGGCUGCAGAAGUAGACGUGGCUUUAGGGUCUUUAAAUUGGAAAUGAAUGAUAGUUUUAGCUGAGGGGGGCUAUUUUUUGGAUUUUGAAAGAUGGGUUGGUUAAUUUCUGGUUUGAUAAUUGGGAUCAUACAGGUCCUUUAUAUAAUACUGGGUCAGUAAUUGCAGAUCAUCGGGUAAUAGACUUUGUUCGAGAUGGAGUUUGGGAUCAAAAUCUGUUAAACCAGUCGCUGCAUCUAGUUGUGGUCAGUCAAGUUUCACAGAUUUCUCCACCCUCCUUUCACGCUAAUGAUGAUAUGGUUUGGUCGCUUUCAUCUACAGACAAGUUCUCCAUGUCUUCGCCUUCACCUAGUGAGAAAAGCAAGGAAAUCCUCCUUGGCGUUUGUGGAUAUUUGGCCCUCGAGUAUUCCUUUAAAGGUUUCUUUUUUCAUCCUUCGGUGCGUAUUUAAUCGUUUGUCUUUGCUUGAUACACUAAGUUUGGGAUCUGUGGUCAGUCAAAUUGUUGGUGUCGCAAAAAUCCAGCUUUAGAGACUUUUGAUCAUGCAUUUAGUGACGGGCAACUUGCUGCUUUAGUAUGGAGUUUCUUUGAAGUUGUGGUUGGCAUUUUGCCUUUGGGUUCUGCUAGUUAAUUGGUGGUUGCAACCAACUACUUUUCCUUUACUGGUUUUUAUACAUGAGUAGUACUUAUCUUCGUUUGCUGGAAUUUAUGGAAGGUGGGAAUGAGGCAUUUUCUGAAGGGCGUUUCUCGUCUUUUCAUCAUCUUUGCAAACAAAAUUUUAAGGGUGUUGCUAAUCCAUGUGCUGUCCAGUUCAAAGGAAUUGGAUUUGUCACUACAUCUUGGAUGCAAUUUUAGCAGUCAGCCUCUUCUUUCAAGAAGAACUUAGGCCGAUUCCUGUGAGAUGGAUCAGUCCACCUGCUGCUGAUUUUACACUUAGCUCAGAUGGUUGUUCAAAAGGUAAUCCAGGACUUAAAACUGGCAGAGGGGUUGUUUAGAAGUUUCUUUUUUUUUUUUUUAUUGUUCAGAAGGUAAUUCAGCACAAUUUUCUUUUCCUUCGAAAUCUCAUUUUUGUCAACUUAAAAGAAACUUUUUUCAGGGCCGCCUACACAUCAUAUCCCUGAUUCAUCAAGUCAUCACAAACCGAUUUUCACUUCUUGAUACUACUGCGGUUGAUGAUUCUUUCCUCUUGCUUCUUGCCUUCAUAGUAACUAUCUAUUACGUGCAAAGAACCAAAUUUACAAGCACUUGAAAUAAGAAAACUAGUGCACAUUUUGAAAAAGUAGACUGAGACACUGUAUUAUAUUGUAUCAAACUUUAAUCAUGUUAACCGUAUCACCAUGCUUGUCAAGUCUCUUACAAGUUACAACUAUUCUACCCAAUGGAACAGUUUAUCCUUUUCCAUUAAAAGCGAUCUUUUCAAGUUUUUAUAAGUUCUCUACAGCUCAAUAGUAUAAAGCUCGAAAUAAAAUUCAAUGUCACAUACUCGCACAACCCACGGCCUUAUUUGAAAGAAGAUCUUAAAGUAGUGAAUGAGGAGUUUUUCGUUUUUGAAUAGACUUGCAUUGCUAAAGUUAUAGAAGCAUACAUUAAUAGAGAACCUAAAUCAUGUGUCCAAAUCGCUGAAUGUAUUCCAAGUGAAAGAUUCAUAAGACACUAUAACAUGCUCGAAAGAAAACUGUUAUUGAAAAUAUGGAUGUGAAGAUAAAUCUAUAGCUUACAAUUGACUGAAGAACGAUGCAAAUAUUUAAGGAUUCAAGAACUAAGAAACCGGCCCAGCUUAUAAACCCUUCAGGCCAUUCAACAAAUUAUUGUUGUCACAUCCCAUGUUAUUCAAAUAAUAUACCUUUACUAUUUCACAAAGUCGUAAACUUCUGUCGAAAUUUUAUUUUAUUGAAAGGUUUUCGAAAUAAAUGAAAGGAGAAAUUCCUGAAAGGAGUACACUAAGUUUCUAUUUAAUCAAGUUGGCAAAAGAAUUUCUUUGGAAUAAUAUUGCAAAUUUCUAUUGACUGACUCUCUCUCUCUCUCUCUCUCUCUCUCUUUUUGGUUUUUUUUUUCUCUGCAGAUUCUGCAAAGUAAACUUUUCCCAAAAUAAAAAGGGAUCAUUUCAGAAACCUCCCCUAAAGUUUCUGACAAUUUCACUGAGCUCCCCUAAGGUUUAGAUAAUUGUACUUACCUCCCUUGAUUUGAUAAUUUUAGUAGCAAAACCUUAAAAUAAUAUUGAUUUGGGCAAUUUUUUAAAUGAAUACCUAAAAUGUCCUUGUGGAAUGAGUUUUAAUUUAUUUUUUAAUACAACUAUAAGAUUAUUUAGUAUAAUUAUAAGAAAAAUGUGCCAAAUUUUUCAUGUCCAUAUCUACUAUUUGAUAAACAACUAUAAUAAUAAUUAUAUUACUAUGAUAUGAUAUUUUUUAUGGUAUUUUAUUAUGGAUUUAGAUUUAUAAGAUAGAAAAGAAAAUGUUGAAAUAAUUCAUUUAGAAUUUAUAAAUUUUUGAGUAGUGGGAUUAUCAUAAUUUAGUAGUGCUUUUGGGCCAUUUCUUUUUAAUUUAUUGUUAAUUUUAAUACCAAAAAAUAGAAAGCAAAUAUUAGCAAAAACAUUGGAUUACAUAUAAAAUUAACUCGUCAAAAAAAUUACUAGCUGGACAUUUGGUUAUAAUAGAAACCUAGAGGCAAUAGUGGUAGUUUUACAGUUUUAUAGGCGAAAAAUUUUUAAAAAGGAGUAAGAAGGAAAAAAAUGAAAAAAUAAUUUUAAAACUCAUUCUAAGUAUAAGCAUACCAAAUAAGAGAAUUCUAUUAAAAUGUUUAAGAGUAAAAUUGUCAUUUUAAACCUUGGGUAGCUCAAUGAAAUUGUCAAAACCUUAGGGGAGGUUUCCGAAAUUAUCCCAAAUAAAAAUAUUGAGUGUUGCCUUCCAAUCUAAAAAGAAAGAAAAAUCAAAAUUAAAAAGUAAGUGGAUUUUUUGGGUGAAAAAAAUGUUUGAUUGGAUUCGCCUCUAAUCAUUGCCACGAGUUAGGGUAUGUAUCCGAGACCAUGGGUCAUUUAUUGUUUAUCAAUAUAAUUCUCACAUCAAUAAUAAAUAUAUCUGGGAUCAUAUAUCACCCAUCAAUAUAACACAGUUCUUAUAUCAAUAUUGAAAUUCGACCACACAAUCUUUUGUAAAAAAUUAAGUCCUCGUUAUCAAAUAAGCCAACUUGUUAACACGAGUUGAUAGAUACAUAGGCUGCACGAAAGUAGCAUGAGUAAAGUUUAUUGACGUUAUCACUUUUGUACAAGUUCAUAAUUAUCUGAUCUCUGACCAAUCGGAGCCUGCCAGUGUGGGGCCUGGAUGGUUUUUUUUUUUGGUUUUUUCCUUUCAACUAGAACGAGAAUGUAUAGCCCUCGUCCCUUGCUACUUUGUUGAAUCGGAAAUCAACUUCCAACUAGAGUCCCUUAAAUUCAUUAUCUAGCCGAAAUACAAAUCAAAAUUGUUGAUUAUUCAAUCAAGCUCAUUCAAAACUGGUUUGUCAACUAAUGCUGUUGGACGUGGACUUGAAUCAGUAGUAAUUAAGAUUUCAAAAUUGAUUUGAUAUUGAUGAAACUUGAAAUUUAUCACUAAGAAAUUUACGUUACUAGAGAUUGACUUCCUAAAAGUGUGAGACUGGAAAAAUUAACAAAUUAAAUAUAAAUCAAAAUUUUAAACUUUUUAAAAUAAACAAAAAUGCCAACUAGCCAUUUUGAAUAAGUCUUGUUUACAUGCCUAGCAACUUAGGACCAAAACAUCAAAAAUACACUUUCUCCUGUUAUGAGGUUCCAUUAAAACCAUACACAAACAAACCAGUUUUUACUUGAAUUUUUCUCCUUGUUGAACUUCUAAGUACAUAAUCGAGCGAAAUACAUCUUGGUGGAUUAAAUAAGGGCUAAAAAGUAUCGUGGUUUUGUGAUGACCGCAAAGAGACGCAGGAAAAGGUCUUUGCUUAUUGCGUCUAAUGAGAUGAACUAAAUUGGUUCUUGAAUAUUUCGUUGAACCUUUUUCUUUUGUAAUUCCUUGUGAAUGUGGUAAGAUAUUUACUAUAAUUGCAACAACCAAAGUACUUCCUUAAAUAUAUUAGUUUAAGAGCACGUGGCAUUACCUGUCUCCAAUAUUAAUACUAGUUAUUGUUUCACUGGUCAAUGUUGAUAUACAUACACCAAGAAGGUAUCCAUGGAAGGAUCAAAUUUAGUUACAAAAAUUCUUUUAUAUCAAAAAGGUUAUGUUGAGGAAAUUAUUUCUAGAUACAAUUGAAGAACUGAAGACCAUUGAAAAUAUAUAAUUAAUUGCCACGAAUUCCAUUCUUUACAAUUUGACAUCUCCAGACUUUUGAGCAUUUUCCCUGAUAAAACCACAAAGUAAAGAUUUUUUUUCUUACAAGUGGAUUAUCCCACCAAAUUAAUAAGCCAAUCGGAAACUGAACUCGAAGGCAAUGCACCAAAUCAUGAGCAAUGGAUCAUACACGUAAAUGGGAGUGGCAAUCGGAUCAGAAGUGAGUUGGUGAGUUGAGUUGAGAUCCAGGUAUAAUAGGCAAUAUGCUGACUUGAACACGACCUGUCAACUCACAACAAGUCAGGAUACCUGACAUGAAUCUAAAAUUUUCGAGUUGGCAAGUCAGCCGAAUGACUUGGUAUGACCUGAAACAUAAUUUGAAUUUACUAAUUUACCACUGUAGUUUCUAAUAGAAUCAAUUUCGCACAAGGCUUAUUACAUGAUCAAGUAAUAAAAAUUUCGAUAAAACAACCCCAAAACAAGUCUGAAAUAAAUUAAAAACUGUAAAAGUAAUUUAUCCCAAACUAGAUCUAAAAUAAAUUAAGACAUUAUAAAAGUAGAAAAUAAAGUAACACAUUAUUUGUCCUAACUUAAUAAUUCCAACUUCACAUGAGUCAAACAAAUUCAUUUAGAAUUAAGUGAUUAAUGCCUUUGGGAAAAAAAGAAUAACUUAGUUUAGUUAGAUAAAAUAUUUUUAUAUUUAUUAACUUCUUUUCAAUUAAUAAUUGGGUUAUCGGAUCAACCCAUGGAUGAAUUGAAUUCGAUCUGUUUUCUUUUCGAGUUCAUCGGCUUUGACCCAAUUCUGAUGCAAACUUGCGAAUCUCAAUGCAAACCCAAUAAUUUCAUGUUAGGUUGGUAUCGAAAAUUGCCAUCACUACACGAAAAGCAGAGUCUUCACAAUUUUCAUAUGUGAUACACUAUAAAUAUUGGAAUCAACUCCUUCUAGAGGAGUUGGCCACCACAUUAAUUGUGGGGUGAAAGGUCAAGGGUUCAAAUCUUGCCUCCCAUCAAGGUGCCUCAAUAUAAGGUUUGUUCUAAAUUCAUAUGGGUGUGUGAUGCACUCAUCUGAUCUGAUAGUGGUUCAGUCUUCGCGGCUUAGUUGGCCUUCCCAUACACUAAAUUCCCCCCUCCCCCACCCCUACGACAAAAAAAAAGAAGAUACACUAUAAAUCUUGGUCUAUAUAAGCAUACGCUGGCGACACUUUGCUACCACAGCCAAAAUCUCACCCUCAAAAUUUCCUUUCCUUCUCACAGAGUCUCCCAGCUGCCAUACUUUUUUCCUUCUUGCAAUUCUCACUCCCAUUAUUCUCUUUCCUUCUCACAAUGGUUAACUUGAUAGCCUCUCACAUUGUCAAACCAGCAAAACCAAUCCCUACAAAAGUAAUGUUUUUAUCUGAGUGCGAUCAACGUAAUCCCAUUACUCAUGCAAACAGCGUCCAUUUUUACAAGCCAGAAAGUCCAGAAUUGCUAAAAGAUGCCACUGAGGUUUUGAAAGACUCACUAAGCGAAGCCUUGGUGGAAUUUUAUCCGCUUGCUGGACGGUUAUACCAGAAAGAUGGGGCCGAGUUGAGCUGCAUUGCAAUUCCAUGGGAGCUUUACUUUUUUGAAGCUCAAUCUGAACUCAAAAUCGAGGAUUUUGGAGACUUCUGUCCAACCCCACAAAUCCAUGCCCUGAUCCCACCUAUAGAUUACAAUAAUACUCCCUUCAUGAGGUACCGCUCCUUCUAGUGCAAAUAACAAGGUUAGCUUGUGGUGGUGUUUCUUUAGGCGUUGCCGCAUCACAUAUCAUUGUGGACGGCCAAAGCUGGUUUCAUUUUUUUCCCGAAUGGGCAAAGAUUGCACGUGGUGAAAAAUCUGAUGAUAAACCAUUUCUAGAUCGAACAUUUUUUCGGCAAUAUGAAGACGAUCACCCAUCAUCAACUCCAAAAUCACAAUACUCGGACUUUUUCCCACUGCCCGUCCUAAUAGGCCAGUCUAGCAGCUUGGAAGAGCGUAAAAAGUCUACCAUCUGUGCCAUGCUUAAGUUAAGUAAAGACCAAAUUGAGCAGAUCAAGAACAAGGCCAACUACCAAGAUUUGAUGAUUCACAAAACUAACAAUCAAAGCCCCUUUAGCCGGUUUGUAGCAGUAUCUGCACAUAUAUGGAAGUGCUUAUCCAAGGCCCGUAUGCACAACCCUGACCAAGAAACGGUUCUAUAUGUGAGUGUUGAUUUUCGCAAUCGGCUUAAACCACCCUUGCCGGAAGGUACUUUGGAAAUGCUGUCUUACCUGUACCAGCAAGAGCCAAUGUCGGUGACCUCCAAUCGAGGCCACUAAGCUAUGCUUCAAGCAAAAUUAAGGAAGCAAUAGAGAAUGUUACAGAUGAGUAUGUAAGGUCAUAUCUUGUUUGUAUGAAGAACAUUCCGGAGGUAUCUAGCAGUCGACAUUUUCACACCGUUGGUUGUCCUUAGGGGUUGUUCUUAGGAAAUCCCAAUUUGCUCGUUACAAGUUGGGUUGGUCUGGGCUUGUACAAAACCGAUUUUGGGUGGGGAAAUGAAAUUUUCAUGACCCCUGGGUCAGUAGGUUAUGAUGGAAGACUCUUCAUUAUUCCUAGUCCAAAUGGAGAUGGAUCGUUCUUUAUACCAUUGCGCCUACAAGUAGAACAUAUUAAUGCUUUUAAGAAGCAUUUCUAUGAAGAUAUAUGAUGAUGUAGACUUACAAGGUUGGUUCUUGUGUAGUUUCAUGGGGCUCAGUAAAAAGCUUUGUCAUAUGUAAUGUAAAAGUUAGGUGCCACUAACAUUUGAAUUUAUUUGUUGGACAGGGAGCCUACAAAUUGGCAGCUGGUGGAGAACAGUUCAAAUUGUUGGACGUGGAACUUUUACGAAAUGGAAGAUGGAGUAAAGGGAAGCCAAAAAUUUGUCUCCAAAGUAGUAGCAAAUAAGGAGACUUUUACUCCUUUGAGAUAGCUAGUAUGACCUUUACGAUGUCCUUUUUCUUAAAAAAAAAAAGAUUAAUCUUGUAUGUAUCAAAAGUGGAUACAUUAAUGAGUAUGGAUACUUGUUAAUUCAUCUCAUUUGAACUCACUCUCAAUUUCAAUUUUUACACAUGUUGUAUAUACCUAUAUCUGUUAUUGUAUAUACUAUCAAUAUAUAUAAGAUUAAUUUUUUUUUCUUAUGCAAGGGCAAUAGCACCCCUACUUUUUUUUAGUAUAAGCAGAAGGAUUCAAAUCCAAGAUCUCUUGCUUAUACUCCCUCCCCCCGUAUCACUCAAUCCAUUCCUCCCCCUUAUAUAAGAUUAAUUAAAAAAAUAUGAUGAAUAAUCUUUUUCAUAAUAUUAAUACUUUUUAGUGUCAAUCUAUGAAACUUGCUUCUUACAUAGUAAAAUUUGAAUUAUGAUGAGCAAUGUGUGUUGGGUACUUAAUUGUCAUAUUCCAUCCCAUAGCAAAGAAACUUGUAAAUUGCAUAAUGGCAUAUCGACUAUUAGAUUAAGCUAGGAAUGGAGUAGCUUUGGAACCACCAUGGACACUACAAAAAUGAUCAACCAUGCGCUUGAAUUUAUUUAGAGAAAAAUGGCUUAAUCUUUUUUUUCCCUCUCUUGUGGAAUAACAUUUAUAACCUAUCUUAUGUCAGUCUGAGGGGAAAAAGAAUCCAAGUGAGAGGGAAAGAACCCAUAUAAAGUAGAGGAGUACACUAUUAGACAUCUUAAAGCAAAGGACUUAUAGUCCAAGAGGAAUUUUAUAUUCCAUCUCAAUGGCCAACUUCCCAAAUCCAGAUUGGUUCUAUGUAAUCAACUCAGUGCAGAGUUCCCUUCAUGUCUUCUAGCUUCAACAUUGUGCACUUAAGAACAAUUCCUGUUCAUCUUGUCUCAAAUUUAGAGCUGCCUCCAAAAAAAAAAGAAGAGAAUAUUAAUGCAAAAUUACCCUUGCUUUUCGAAAUUUGAUAUAUAGAACUCUUUUGAUUAUUUUCCAAAGUCUUUAAGGUACUUUACCAUGUCAUAAUUCUCUCUCUCUAUUUGUUUUUAAAAAAUUACUUACAUAUUUGUAAAUUCCUUUUUGGUUAAUUGCCCUUUUCUUUGAUGUUAAAAUAGGCAAUACAUAAUAUUGCUGGAGUGAGAUUGAUGCCAAAGUAAUGAAAUGUCAUCUUCUUUUUCUCUUAAAAAGAAGUAAAGAAUGUUAAGAAAGACCUUUUGGGUACAUUCUCCAAGAGAAUUUUAUGAAAAGUUGAGAGUCAAUGUAAAUCUCAGAAAAGAUCGCCAUCUAAUUUAUCAACUUAAAAUGAGGUCUUUAUAAUCUCUAUAUUUAAAAAAAAAAAAGAAUAAUUUCAAAAAUUUUGAGUACUAUAGACUUGUUCUUUUUAAAAAAAAAAAAAAAAAAAAGUACCGUUAAACCCCUAUAUAAAGGCCUGAGGUCAAUUCUCUUCUUCAGCAAAAGAGUUGAGAUUUUCAUCUAAUUUGCAGGCACCAUUAAUGCCAAUUGUCCUUCAAAUCCCCCAUACGAUAUUGGACUUCGGCCUCAUCGCAAUUAGCCCAACCAGAUGAAACUUCCUUCAUCGGAAAUUACACGUGGCUUCUGUCUGUGCUGCCGACAUAUAUACAUUUAUUUUCCCUGGUCCUGUUGAUGGUCUCAUGGUACUACUACUCAUGUAAGCUGAAAACCAAGGAGAGGAGCCCGAGCCCACCUUUUAAUUAGACAAUGACCUUAAACACGGAAGAAUUUCAAACCAAGCUUAAUUCCACAAUGUAGGAGCUAUAUACAUAGAGAUAAUUAACUUCCACAAUGCACAUAAAAGUGCCAAUUGAUAUAUUAGCUGCUUAAUUAACGAAAAUUCAAUACUAAGCGACAUUGCAACUAAACAAUAGAAACAAAUUAAAGAUAAUUCAUCUCUUUGAUUUAGAAUUCUCAUGUUUGUAUCUAUGAUUUAGUAAUGUCAUGACAUAUAGUCACUUUUUAUAGGUAAAGUCUUAAUUAAUAACAUCUCCUAGAGAUUGGCCAAUGCUAUUUACUGUCUAACUUAAAUUUUCUAAGGCACUGCAAAUAAAAUUAGAACUUGCCAAGUUUUUUGUCAAGUAAAACUAUAAUUCAUGGAUAUGAGCUAGAAGGUUUUUAAAAGAGAAUGAAAUCUCAAGUACAUAAACCUAUACUAUGUACAUGAAGAUAUGGACUAGGGCUGUGACAGGUUGUCAGCCUGUGCAAUAAUAAAUACCUGCUCAAACUAAAAAUAAUUUCUGUAGAUAGCGGUGAGCAGGGUCGAAUCCACAGGGACUGGGAGUAAUUAUUUCUUUUCAAGUUCACGGUGACAAAGGGAGUGUUUUUGUGCAGAAGACAAUUUAAACAAUUCAACUAAAAGUAAAAUAAUAAAAAUAAAAAUAAAAUAACCAACUAGAAAUUAAAUAACAAUUACUAAAAUCUAAUGAGUGAUAAUUAAUCUAGCCAAGAAAUAACUUCAGCAAUGGUGCACCUAAUUGAUCAUCGAUAAGCAAAGGCAAUUCCAAUUAUUUAUCAAUAAAUAUGUUAUAACUACCAAGCAAGCGAUGGCAGUCAACCCCUCCUUACUGUGCGAUGAUUAAGGUACGCCCGUUAAUCACUGCUCUAAUUGAGAAAUAAUCCUAGGUACGCCCAUAGAAUUUAAUUCCCCAAUUGCUUUACGUGUUAGAGGAGCCCUAUUCUAAUCAAAUAACGCACUACCAGGGUUAUUUUAGAUUAGCCCGCGUAUUCCCCUGACACGAACCUAAUCAUGCAAGUUGUCACUAUUUUAGAGCAAUUAAACAAUUACGGAUUUAAUGCCUAAUUGACAAUAGAUUACCAAAUCAAUUAUUAUCCGGAUCCAAGACAAUCAAUUAAUCAAAUAAUCAUAAGUACUGCAACAAGAAAUAUGCGAAUACCAAUAAAUAAAAAAAAGAUAAAAUUAAAUCGAUCUCACAAUUUUUAGGCGAAUCAAAACCUCCGUUGUUCCUUGACUAGAGUGAAGAGAUUAGUUCAUGUUUAAUGCGAGGAACCCACACAAAAGUGAAGAGAAAGCAGCAGCCAUCGUCCUUUGAGAUUGGAAAAAUUCAAUUCAUCCGAAUAUUCAAAAGAUAGCAGGCCACAAAAGGUGGUUGCUAGUUCUCCCUUCGUCUGCCAUACAAAGGAGGAAAAAAACACUACUAAAAGAAGAAAAGUCAAAGGUUUCUCCAAUUUUGCUCCUGACAUGCGUGGAGAGCAGCAACUAAAAACUAAGAAGAAAAGUCAAAGUGAAGCUCAAUAGGACAAGAAUCAAAAGCUAAGCUAAUGAUAGUGCUUUUUCCUCUACAAUUUCUAUUUCGUAUCUCCUGUGCGGCGGCUCUAGCCCCCAGGGGGAAGAAGACGACUCCCACUUCAGCCCUGAGUUCCUCCUUUUAAUGCUGUCCUUUGCGAAUUAUCAAAAAGGAUUUGUAUCUCCUUAUUCCAAAAAUGCCCUCGAUUGUCUGCUAUGUGAACUCUUUCCCGAUAACUAUCAAAUUGGCCUUUAUUGUGAUAUUUUUGUUCUACUCCCUGAAAUAAAUAUAAAUUACGAAAAGUGAGUAGAAUCUAAUAAUUAAUUCACAUCAGGUCAAGUAAUAGGAAAAAUUAAUAAUAAAAUAAAUGAUAAAAUUGCAACCUAUCAAUUUUCCCCACACCUAAACUAUGCUUGUCUUCAAGCAUAAGAAAAGUAAACAAGCACCAAUAUUUGAUAGUGGCUAUUGCUCUAUCCAACAAAUUGCCAAGAUACCAAGAAAAACAAAUAUAUCAAGCAUCAAUGGUCAAGUCCAAGAAACAUCACUCCGGUUAGCUUCUAAACCACAAACUUCUCUAAUUUCAGGUUAACUAAUCUAAAAAAAAGGAAUAACGCAUAACAUUUAUCAGCAAAUGGUCCAACUAUUAACCAAAAUCUUAACAUUAAAUCCAUAAUUCGGCAAGCUGAUUUUUAUUACACACUAACACAACCUUCACUUUUUUUCACGUUUUUUUUUCUACUUUUCUCUCUCUCUUUUUUUUUUUGAAUAGUAACAAAAGACUUAGUCGCUAGCCAUUAGAGCCUUUUGACGCGAACUCCAACAUUGGCCAGAUGAAGGAGCCCGAUUACUUAGUUUCUAUCGCCACGUGACCACGUACUCAUAGCAAUUACUACUUUUUAACGCGAGAAUCGACACUUUUAGGUGCAGAUCCCCGGUUACUCAGUAGUAACUAAUAGUAGAGUACAGUCAAAUUUAUGCAUAGCUAAAAAUCACAAAAACUCAAUAUAACACAAGAACCAAAAGAAAACUUGCAUCAGCUAGCCUCAUUUACAAACAUGGAGAACUAAAGUUAAUAACCGGACCAAUUCACUAAAAAUGCCAAUAAUCAUUCCCUAUGCCUAGGAAAGUUAACAAAAAAUUAUAAGAGUAAAACAAUUAUUAUAUUCACCAAAGAGAUGUUCUUGAAUUCAACCACAUUAACUUGAUACCUUUUUAUUAUUAAAAUUGGCAAUAGUAGAAACAGAGACAAUAAUGCAACAUCAAACCUUGGCAUGCACUUACGAGCCAAUCACUAAAAAGAAAAAAAAUGAACGAGAGGUGGACAAAUAACAAACUAAAAAUAAAGAACUAGUAUAGCUGUCCCCCCCACACCUAGAUCCUACAUUGUCCUCAAUGGAGGGAUUAAAGCAAUUAAAACGAAGAGGGCAACGAAACUUCCCUCACGAGUGGCGAAAGGGUAGGCGGGAAUGGUGCACGGAAACUGAUAUGAUAGAAGUACGCGGCCAAGGUCUGAGAUAUCUCAACUCAAUUCAAUUCAACCAGCAAAUGCAAAACUCUGUCCACCCAAAAUCUCAACAAAGCCUCCAAGUAGAUAGUUAAUUUCUCAACUCAAAAGCAGCAAUUCCAGUAAUAGCAGUAUAGAAGUUGGAGAAUAACCACACAAUCACAAUCAGGUAGCCAACUAAUUGAAAAUAACAAAUGCUAAUCAAAAUACCCCCAACCAGUACCACUGGUGCAAAACGUAGUCCAAAAUCAAUGAAAUUGCUAUAGCAGAGUAAAGCAGUAGUAAAGCAAUAGCCCCGUGUUAAUCUAAUCACAAGAAAGAUUCUAAACCUCUAAAGAAGAGCAACAGGCGACUGGAAUUCCAAUGAAUAGAGCAAGUAGAGGAACCGUAGGUGGGAACCAGUCCACCGAAGUCAAUAAACAAACCCAGGAAACAAAUAAGUCCUCAAAUGAGUCAACAAAUUGCACAAAUGAUCAGACCAAAAUCACAGACACUGUUCCUCCAAAUCAGUAAUAUAAACCAACAUCCAGAAUGUCCUCAAAAACUCGAUUAAAAACUACUAAUGCCAACAAGGAAUGCAGUUGCCGAAUUAAAUCAACCAAAAUUUCAACAAGCACAACACUGGCCGAGAUCCUUCCCAAAAUAUCACAGACAAUUGUUAAAAUUCCAGCCCACCCAAGAACUUCAACAAUUCCCCCAAAAGUUUGAACAAAUGUCCCCCCGGCACUGUGCUAGAGCACAACCAAUUUCAACGAAUGUGCUAAUCAAAGAAGCCAAGAGCAGGGCAACUGUCAAACACCCAAUAACCCAAAACAAUUGAACUCAAAUCCACAAAAAACACAAUAAAUAUUCCCAAGAAAUUGGCCGACCUGAAAUAACAAGUUAGAAUAUAGACCGUAGUAACACAGGCAUAAUCCCCGCACUAUCAAUUAGAUAGGCAAUAACAGCAAAUGAACAAAUCCGGAGUAAAGUAACACAGCCACUAAUGAUACCAAUCAACACCAAAAAUUGGGGAUCGAGGUUGAAAUACCUCUACCGGCUACCAAAUAAAGAACUGGGGUGGUAGUGGUUGGCGUGAGGUGAGGCAAAGCUGAUGAUGGCCGCGGGAGAGAGAGGGAAGCGAGGUGGGGUGGCGUGUCUGGUGGUCAGCCGCUGGUGGCGCACGAGGUUGCAGAGCUGGUGGCCGCUGAGGUUGACCGCACGGCGGUGGUCUUGGGCUGUGGCAGGCAGCGGCGAAAUGGUGGCGGCUGGAGCGCGCAGAUGGAGAUGGCGCAACGGGCUCGCUGGGGAGAGAGCUGCGCGCGAGGGCUGAUGGACUGGUGAGGUUGGCGCGCGUGUCGGUGACGGCCGCGGCGGACAGAGUAGAAGAAAGAAAGAAAAGAGAAAGAAAGAAGAAGAAAGAAAGAAAGAAGAAAGAAAAAGAAAGGAUUUUUUUUUUUGUUUUUACGUUGACAAGUCAAGAACUAGCUACCGGUUAAGGAGAAAGAAAAUUUUUUUCCUUUUGAUUCCGUAUUACUUCCUCUUUUUUUCUUUUUUUAUUUUUUCAAAAAAUUUUUUAUUUUUAUUUUUAUUUUAUUUUAUUUUAUUUUUUUCUUUUGUAACAAAAGAAAAGAGGUAGCUACGGUUAAAAGAAUUUUUUUUUUUUUUUUUUUUUGGAAUCCUUACCUUUCCCGCGAACGUGACGCGGGCGCGCCAUGAGAGCAAGGGAGCUCUCGGACGAUUCUGAUCGUGAGCUUCCUGCACAUCAUCACGCGAGCGCGUCAAGAGGGCAAGAGAGCUCUCAAAAGUUUCUGAUCGUGAGCUUCCUGCUCGUCAUCACGCAGGCGCGUCAUGACUGAAGGUCACCUACAAAUCAGCAAAAACGAAAAUUAACACCCAAAAUCAGUCAAAUUCAAGGAAGACAGAUUUAAACUAACAAAUAAAAUCAAACAAACAACUAAAAGAAAUUGGGUUGCCUCCCAAUGAGCGCCUUUCUUUAAUGUCUUUGGCUAGACAUUAUCAUGUUUUGUUUAUGGAGGAUAAAAUCGUGUGGCUCGUUUUAAUGCUUCAUCCUCUAUAUAGUCCUGAUAACCCUCGUAAAUAGAAUAAUUCUUGAGCAUACGAGCUACGGGUUUCCAUGGACUAGUGAAUGGCGCCAAACGAGUCGAUGAUAAUUUGCAUUCUCCAUUCACUUCUCCCUCACUUGCAUUUAUUGGUUCAAGAUAUCUCACCAUCGCCACUCUUAAUUUAUUCCUGUCAUGAAAUUCAAAAUUGUUUGGUAUAAUAAAGUCAAUUUCGUUAACAGGAAUUGAAGAGUAAGAGUCAGGAGAAUAUUGAUGAAGGAGUGGAGGGAUGUCACCGCAUUUGGAGAUUGUUCACGGGAUUCAUUCACUUGAAUGAGUUGAUCCUGGAGUCUCAUUUUUUGCACUUCAACUUCCUUUUCAACUGCAUCUUUAAAUCCGUUUCCUUGAACUCUUGCAGUUCCAUGUCAUUUGGCCGGAUAAUUGCACUCUCAUCUCCUUCAAGAUUGAUAUUGGUUUGUGAGGGCAAUUCUUCAAGGUGAGAAGCUAAUCGCUCUAUCCUGGAUGUCAAUUGACGCAUUUUAUCCGCCAGGUCGCGAAGGCUCGCUUGUGUCUCCUGAUAAAAUCGAUUUAGGCUCGCUUGUGUCUCCUGAUGAAAUCGAUUUGUAUUAGCAAUUAGUAAUCCCAUCAUUUCUUCAAGAGACAUACCUGACACGGAGGAUGAUUGCUGAGACUCUUGCUGUUGAAAAUCCCUUGGCCCCGUCGCAUAAUUAAAAUUGGAAUUAUCCCACCAUCCUUGAUCAUACCUGUUUGGAUAAGGGUCAUACCACGUUUGAAAUCGAGAUGGAAAAUCUCCAAAAGUAUCAAUCAGAGCACUUAGAUUAUCUUGAAAUGCGGGGCAUGUGUCGGUUGAAUAAUUUGAGGCAAAAUAAGUUUCACAAUUUGCAACAACCCAUUGAUCAUUAGGAAGAACACGAGUCUCAUAACCCCAUUCAGGAAUAAAGUCCAGUCUAUCAUCAAAAUACGGAAUGUUAGCAGCCAUAAAAAAAAAAAAAAAAGGAGAAAAAUAAAUUAAAAAAAUAAAAACAAGAUAAACUCAAAAAGAAACAAAUUAAUCUGGCACCAGUCCCCGGCAACGGCGCCAAAAAUUGACAGGUUGUCAGCUUGUGCAACAAUAAAUACCUGCUCAAACUAAAAAUAAUUUCUGUAGAUAGCGGUGAGCAUGGUCGAAUCCACAGGGACUGGGAGUAAUUAUUUCUUUUCAAGUUCACAGUGACAAAGGGGGUGUUUUUGUGCAGAAGGUGACAAUUUAAACAAUUCAACUAAAAGUAAAAUAUAAAAAUAAAAAUAAAAUAACCAACUAGAAAUUAAAUAACAAAUUACUAAAAUCUAAUGAGUGAUAAUUAAGGAUCUAGCCAAGAAAUAACUUCAGCAAUGGUGCACCUAAUUGAUCAUCGAUAAGCAAAGGCAAUUUCAAUUAUUUAUCAAUAAAUAGGUUAUAACUACCAAGCAAGCGAUGGCAGUCAACCCCUCCUUACUGUGUCGAUGAUUAAGGUACGCCCGUUAAUCACUGCUCUAAUUGAGAAAUAAUCCUAGGUACGCCCAUAGAAUUUAAUUCCCCAAUUGCCUUACGUGUUAGAGGAGCCCUAUUCUAAUCAAAUAACGCACUACCAGGGUUAUUUUAGAUUAGCCCGCGUAUUCCCCUGACACGAACCUAAUCAUGCAAGUUGUCACUAUUUUAGAGCAAUUAAACAAUUACGGAUUUAAUGCCCUAAUUGACAAUAGAUUACCAAAUCAAUUAAUUAUCCGGAUCCAAGACAAUUAAUUAAUCAAAUAAUCAUAAGUACUGCAACCAAGAAAUAUGCGAAUACCAAUAAAUAAAAAAAAAGAUAAAAUUAAAUCGAUCUCACAAUUUUUAGGCGAAUCAAAACCUCCGUUGUUCCUUGACUAGAGUGAAGAGAUUAGUUCAUGUUUAAUGCGAGGAACCCACACAAAAGUGAAGAGAAAGCAGCAGCCAUCGUCCUUUGAGAUUGGAAAAAUUCAAUUCAUCCGAAUAUUCAAAAGAUAGCAGGCCACAAAAGGUGGUUGCUAGUUCUCCCUUCGUCUGCCAUACAAAGGAGGAAAGAAAAAACACUACUAAAAGAAGAAAAGUCAAAGGUUUCUCCAAUUUUGCUCCUGACAUGCGUGGAGAGCAGCAACUAAAAACUAAGAAGAAAAGUCAAAGUGAAGCUCAAUAGGACAAGAAUCAAAAGCUAAGCUAAUGAUAGUGCUUUUUCCUCUACAAUUUCUAUUUCGUAUCUCCUGUGCGGCGGCUCUAGCCCCCAGGGGAAGAAGACGACUCCCACUUCAGCCCUGAGUUCCUCCUUUUAAUGCUGUCCUUUGCGAAUUAUCAAAAAGGACUUGUAUCUCCUUAUUCCAAAAAUACCCUCGAUUGUCUGCUAUGUGAACUCUUUCCCGAUAACUAUCAAAUUGGCCUUUAUUGUGAUAUUUUUGUUCUACUCCCUGAAAUAAAUAUAAAUUACGAAAAGUGAGUAGAAUCUAAUAAUUAAUUCACAUCAGGUCAAGUAAUAGGGAAAUUAAUAAUAAAAUAAAUGAUAAAAUUGCAACCUAUCAGGCUGCAAACGAACCGAGCUACUGUAAACGAAUCGAGUCGCUCGAGAGCGGCUCGAGUCGAGUUCGAGCUCGAGUCGAAAUCGAGUUCAAAAUAUUAAGCUCGUUAGCUCGCGAGAUCGAGUAUAUAUAUAUAUAUAUAUAUAUAUAUAUUAUUUUAAGUAUAUAUAUUUUUUUAUUUUUUAAUUUUAAUAGUAAAAUUACAUAUAUAUCCUUAAUAUUUUAUUAUUUAUUAAGAAAAAAAAUUAUUUUAUUUAUUUUUUAAAAAAUAAAAUAAUUAUAUUUUAUUUUUUUCGACCUCGAGCUCUCAGCUCGAAUCAAGUCGAGCUCAAGCUCGAGUUUGAAAUUGUCAGCUCGUCGAGCUCGAACUCGAGUUCGAGUUCAAUGAAAUUAUGUCGAAACUCGACUCGAUUAGGCCAAAACUCAACUCGUUUGCAGCCCUAAUAUGGACUACACAGCCAACUAAAACACUUCAAAAACAAUCCCCGCACCAAAGCUAGAUGCGAGAUUUCAUGAGCUUAAGGUAUCUUGCGAACAAGAACCAUGAGCUAGACCUCGUAACAAUUGUCCAUAUGAUGGCAAAAGCAAUAACUGAUGCAGAUCCAAAAAACGCUGUAUCGAUCCAUGUUGUUUGCCUCACUUAUGGAACAUUAUUUCUGAUGUGGCCAAAGAACACGUUGUUGGUUGGGGGUUGAUGUGAUGUUGAUUGCUUACUCCUUAGUAUAUAAAUCUAGAAUGCAAAUCCAAUCAGGAAGGAGAUGGACCUAGAUUAUGUUGACUAUUCUAGGUACAUUAGCUCUUCAAAAAACUGAGUAAAUUAUUCAAAGGGUUAAUUACGAAAACUCCCUUUAAGGUAUCAAAUUUGCAGUUUGCUGCAUGAACUUUAUUAGGCUCACAAUUGGUCUACAAUGGACUUUAGUUACUUGGAAUCAGUAGGGAUUUGAGACAAUUGCAAUGCUAUAUUGGAAUUUUUUCUUGUUUGAUCUUCUUACAUGAUUUUAAAUAAUCAUGUUUUUAUGUUCUUGUUUGCUUUUGCAUCUAGAUACUAGAUUUUUUUAAUAGUAAAAAAAUUAAAGUCUAAAAUUUAUCCAAGAAUGGUUUUAGCUGAUUCUAAACAUACUUUAUAUUUAAUUUGAGUUAAUCUUAUAUACACUAACAGUGUAUAUACUAUGACAGCUUGAUGUAUGACUCAUCUAUAAAAUUUGAAUUUCAAAUUUAAAUUUAGAUUAUGUGUCAAACAUUUAAUGAUAAAAAUGUAUAUGUAUUGUGAGUGUAUAAAAGAUUAAUCUAUUUAAUUUUGAUAAGCAGCAUUUUACAAAAUGUACUUCAAGCGAGGACAUACCCAUCAUAAGCCCAAAACUGUGUUACAAUUGCACAAUUAUGACCAUUCGAUAUUUGUUUGGCAUUUUGGACUCCUCAUAGCCUCGGGCCGCCACAGAAUAAUGGUGCAAGAUCCAACAAAACUCGUCAAUCAGUUGCAUGUCAAAUUUAAAUUUGGAUAUAUUUUUUUAAAUAAUUAUUGGGCCAAGUGACAGGAAGCUCGAUACCCUUAAACAUACUUGGGAUUCUCAGUGGCAUGUUUUCUAUGCCAAUCCAAUGUCAUCAAUAGUGUUGCGCCAAGUGUCAUGUUAUUAUUUAAACUUGUAUUAAAUCAAGCCAAGUUGAAUUAUUAGAAAAUUAAAGUGUAAAUAAUAACAAGACACUUGGCACAACACUAUUGGUGGCAUUGGGUUGGCAUAGAAAACAUGUCACCUAGGAUCUCAAGUGCCUUAAACAAAGUUUUGGAUUCGAAAACAAUGUUGGGAAAGCACCCUCAGAAAAAAAAAUCCAACAUUGAUUGACUCCAGAUUAGUCGGGGCACAAUGAGGUCACUAGACACUGAGAGUUAAAAAAAAAGGUACUCCCCCUGUCCCAUUCAUUUGGUUUUGUUUGGGGAAUCCAACUUUUUAGAAAUAGUGAUUUGAUUGUGAUGUUUGUGCUUCUCUUUUCAAUUUUAUUCCUCAAAUUCAAAUUUUAAAUUUGAAUGUAUGAUUAAAAAGAAGGGUUAUAUUGGAAAGAGAGUGUAAAAGUUGCUUUGACUUUUCUUACAUGACAAUUGUUUUGAGACAUCCCAAAAUGAAAAGUAUAACCAAAUGAAUGGGACAGAGGGAGUAUAUGUUUUUAGUCUUGAAUACUCUUGAAUGUUUGCUUAUAGCUCUUUUAAUAUGUAUGUAGUUUUACAUCAAAAAAAAUAUGUAGUUUUAGAAAUAUGAUGGACAAUAUUUAUAUUCCACUUUUCCUUUUUGGCAUUCUACCCUUCCUGUAGUAAAGUAUUAUUCAGCGUCAGGCCAAUUUGAAACAUAAUUUUAAUUUAUUAAUAUACCACUAUGGUUUCUAAAAGAACCAAUUUCACACAUGGCUAAUUACAUUAUUAAGUAAUAAAAAUCUCAAUAAAAUAAUUCAAAAACAAAUCUGAAAUAAAUUAAAACACUGUAAAAGUGUUUUAUCCCAAACCAGAUCUAAAAUAAAUUGAAACACUAUAAAAGUAGAAAAUAAUGUAAUAUAUUAAUUCCAACUUCACACAAAUUAUACAAAUGCAUUUAGGAUUAAUGAUUAAUGCCUUGGAAAAAAAGAAAUAACUUAGUUUAGUUAGAUAAAAUAUUUUAUAUUUAUUAAAUUCUUUUUAAUUCAUAAACGAGUUAUUGGAUCAUCCAUGGAUGAUCUAAAUUCGACCUGUUUUCUUUUCAAGUUCAUCAGGUUCGACCCGAUUCUGAUCCAAACCUGCGAAAUUUCAAUUUAAGUCCAUUAGUACCGUAUUAAGUUCGUAUGAUGUUUUCAAAUUAUAUCGAAAAUUGCCAUCCUUACAUGUAAAGCAGAGUCUUCACAAUUUUCACAUGCGAUACACUAAAUCUCGGGCCUAUAUAAGCGUAUGCUGGCGGCACUGCUACCACAGCCAAAAUCUCACCCUCAAAAUUUCCUUUCCUUCUCACAAAGCCUCCAGCUGCCAUACUUUUUUCCUUCUUGCAAUUCUCACUCCCAUUAUUCUCUUUCCUUCUCACAAUGGUUAACUUGAUAGCCUCUCACAUUGUCAAACCAGCAAAACCAAUCCCCACGAAAGUGAUGUUUUUAUCUGAGUGUGAUCAACGUGUAGCCGUGACUCAUGCAACUGUCGUCCAUUUUUACAAGCCAGAAAGUCCAGAAUUGCUAAAUGAUGCCACUGAGGUUUUGAAAGACUCACUAAGCGAAGCCUUGGUGGCGUUUUAUCCGCUUGCUGGACGUUUAUACCCGAAAGAUGGGGGCCGAGUUGAGCUGCAGUGCAAUUCCAUGGGAGCUUUACUUGUUGAAGCUCAAUCUGAACUCAAAAUCCAGGAUUUCGGAGACUUCUGUCCAGCGCCACAAAUCCGUGCCCUGAUCCCACCUAUAGAUUACAGUAAUACUCCCUUCAUGAGGUACCGCUCCUUCUAGUGCAAAUAACAAAGUUAGCUUGUGGUGGUGUUUCUUUAGGCGUUGCCGCAUCACAUGUCAUUGCGGACGGCCAAAGCUGGUUUCAUUUUUUUUCCGAAUGGGCAAAGAUUGCACGUGGUGAAAAAUCUGAUGAUAAACCAUUUCUAGAUCGAACAAUUUUUCAGCAAUAUGAAGACGAUCACCCAUCAUCAACAGCUCCAAAAUCACAAUACUCGGACUUUUUCCCACUGCCCGUCCUAAUAGGCCAGUCUAGCAGCUUGGAAGAGCGUAAAAAGUCUACCAACUGUGCCAUGCUUAAGUUAAGUAAAGACCAAAUUGAGCAGAUCAAGAACAAGGCCAACUACCAAGAUUUGAUGAUUCACAAAACUAACAAUCAAAGCCCCUUUAGCCGGUUUGUAGCUGUAUCUGCACAUAUAUGGAAGUGCUUAUCCAAGGCCCGUAUGCACAACCCUGACCAAGAAACGGUUCUAUAUGUGAGUGUUGAUUUUCGCAAUCGGCUUAAACCACCCUUGCCCGGAAGGUACUUUGGAAAUGCUGUCUUACCUGUACCAGCAAGAGCCAUUGUCGGUGACCUCCAAUCGAGGCCACUAAGCUAUGCUUCAAGCAAAAUUAAGGAAGCAAUAGAGAAUGUUACAGAUGAGUAUGUAAGGUCAUAUCUUGUUUGUAUGAAGAACAUUCCGGAGGUAUCUAGCAGUCGACAUUUUCACACCGUUGGUUGUCCGCAGGGGUUGUUCUUAGGAAAUCCCAAUUUGCUCGUUACAAGUUGGGUUGGUCUGGGCUUGUACAAAGCCGAUUUUGGGUGGGAAAUGAAAUUUUCAUGACCCUGGGUCAGUAGGUUAUGAUGGAAAACUCUUCAUUAUUCCUAGUCCUAAUGGAGAUGGAUCGUUCUUUAUACCAUUGCGCCUACAAGUAGAACAUAUUAAUGCUUUUAAGAAGCAUUUCUAUGAAGAUAUAUGAUGAUGUAGACUUACAAGGUUGGUUCUAAUGUACGGGCCUGUUUGGAAUCUGAGUUUUUUGGGAGUUUGUCUAAAAUUUUACUGUAGUGCACUGUAGAAGUUUUUGAAAAAAUUUUGUAAAAGUUUUUUAUAAGGUGAAAAAUUUUUUGUAAGGGAAAAACUUUUUUUCCUUUUCUUUUUUUUUUUCUCUUUCUCUUUUUUUUUUUCUUUUUUUUUCUUUCCUUUUUCUUUUCUUUCUUCUUCUUCCCCGUUACCUCUGCCUCCCAGCAGCAACGCAGCCUGCUCCACCCCCUACUCCGCCACCGGCCCCACCUCUAGCACCUCCGGCCACGAUGUUCCUGAUUUCGCACCCCAACAGCUGCUGCUCCACCGUGUGCCUCUCCACACUGUCCGUCCCCAUUCCGUCCUCCAGCACAUUGAAUAGCGCCGAGUAGUAAUGCAGCGCCUCCACGAACCGCCGCAAGAAGCUUCCCCCGUGGCUCAGGUCCUGCUGUUGCUGGCGCGUCGAGACAGUUCAUGGCCACGCACUCGGCGCAUUGCAGGAGGAGGCCCAGGAGACAGAGGCCGGAGGACUUGGUAUCGCCAGCUGCUGCUCCACCCAAGGAGGCGGUUGCGGCGGCGGCGCGGCGGCGGCUUCGAGCUCAGCAACGUCGUCGUCCUAGUUGUCUAAGUCGAUGGUUCUAUCAGCGGAGGUGGAAGGGUUGUCGGGCGAGGGAGGAGUGGCGGCGUUUGAGGAGGAGAGGUCUUCGUGGUGGGCAGAGGAGGAGCGCUUGGACUGCAUAGAGGAGGAGGAGUUGGAGGAGGGACGAGCGUUUCUGCUGGGGGAAGGAGAAUGGGAAUGGGAACGGAAUUAAUGGGGUUGGAAGCAGAAAUAGCAGUGGAAUUGGAGUGGAGCAAACUCUGGAGCAUGAUAGAUGGAUAGAUUGAAUUGGAAGCGGUAAUUGAACUGGAGUCUAGCCCGGAGAGGUGGUGGUGGGUUGGGAUGGGAGAGGAAGAAGAAAAAAAAGGGAAGGAAAAUUUUUUUUUUUGUGUGUUUUGUAUAUUUUGAAGUGGGUAGGUAAAAAACUUGCUUAAAAACCUGACUUCCAAACAGGCACGUAAUUUGUGUAGUUUCAUGGGGCUCAGUAAAAAGCUUAGUCAUAAUGGCAUAUCGACUAUUAGAUUAAGCUAGGAAUGGAGUAGCUUUGGAACCACCAUGGACACUACAAAAAAUGAUCAACCAUGCGCUUGAAUUAAUUUAGAGAAAAAUGGUGACCAUGUAAUCAUUUUUUCCCUCUCUUGUGGAAUAACAUUUAUAACCUAUCUUAUCUUAGUCCGAGGGAAAGAAAGAAUCCAAGUGAGCUAUAUGAGGGGUGAGAGGGAAAGAACCCAUAUAAAGUAGAGGAGUACACUAAUAGACAUCUUACCAUGUCAUAAUUCUCUCUCUCUAUUUUUUUUAAAAAAAUUUACUUGCAUAUUUGUAAAUUCCUUUUUGGUUAAUUGCCCUUUUCUUUGAUGUUAAAAUAGGCAAUACAUAAUAUGGCUGGAAUGAGAUUGAUGUCAAAGUAAUGAAAUACCAUCUUCUUAUUAGCUUGAUAUUUUUGGGUACAUUCUAUCUUUGAUAUUUUAAUUCGAGGAGCCCACCAUCCCUUUCAAUAAUUGAUAUUUGUUAAGUGUAAAAUUACAAUCAUUAUUCUUUGUCAACAUCCAUUUUCCAAGAGAAUUUUAUGAAAAGUUGAGAGUAAAUGUAAAUGUCACAAAAAGAUCGACAUCCAAUUUAUCAACUUAAAAGGAGGUCUUUAUAAUCUCUACAUUUUUAAAAAAAAAAAAGGAAUAAAUUCAAAAAUUGUAAGUGUUAUAGACUUGUUCUUUUUUUUUUUUUUUUUUUUUUUACCGUUAAACCCCUAUAUAAAGGCCUGAGGCCAAUUCUCUUCUGCAGCUAAAGAGUUGAGAUUUUCGCAUCUAAUUUGCUGGCACCAUUAAUGCUAGCUGUACUUCCAAAUGCCCCACGGCAUUGGACACAAUUUGCCCAACCAGAUGAAACUCCUUUAUCGGAAAUUACACGUGGCGGACUUCUGUGCAGCCGACAUAUAUACAUUAUUUAUACAUUAUUAUUAACUUCUGCAAUGCAUAUAAAUAAUGUACAUAUAAUGCAUACAGAUAAUUAUUUCAGUUAGACAAUGACCGACAUACAUACUUAUAUUAGCUGUUUAAUUAAUGAAAAAUUCGAUACUAAGUGACAUUGCGACUAAAUGAUAGAAACAAACUAAAAAAUAAUUCAUCCCCUUGUUUUUAAGAUUCUCACGCUUGUAUUUAUCAUUUAGUAAUGUCAUAAUUUAUAGUCAUUUUUUUUAAGAUGAACUCUUAAUUAAUAACAUCUCUUAGAGAUUGGUAUCCCAAUGCAAUUUUUUUCUAAGGCACUGCAAAUGAAAUAUAAGUAGUCUUAGAAAUAUAUGGUUUCAACAAUAUUGAUAACAUUCCACUUGUAGCAGAGUAUAAUUAUUAAACGAGCAUGAAGCAUAUGAACUGUCAACGACCGACAGUGUAGUGUGGAUACAGUGCCCUUCAUAUCCAAACCAUAUAAUAUGUCUGUGAAUGGGCUGGUGAUUUUGGGUCCCUCAUUGUUCAUUAACACGUGGAUUCUUUCAUCAUUUCACUUGAUUUUUAUGUUCAUGGGUUGCAGAAGUAGACCUGGCUUUAGGGUCCAUUGGUUCCAUCAAAGUCAGCAAGACACCUUCUGUAUUAUCACAUGGCCUAGUAAAUAUACAAGAAAUCUUUCUGCAGCUGCUUGGAUGAGCCUAGUAAAUACGUAUCUAUCUAAUCUAUCUAUCUAAUCUAAUCUAACUAUAUAUAAAAGCGGGAGUUGGAGAAUGAACAGUGCCAUUUUGGUCGAGCGGUUAUCACGUAAUUUUCAGCAACUUUGAUGGCUCUUGUAUUUGUUAGUUUUGUCGGCUUUUCGGCAACUCCAUUUGCAUCGGUCUCUGGCAGUUCAAAGCGGGAGUUGGAGAACGAACAGAGCAAUUUUGGUCAAGCGGUUAUCACGUCAUUUUGGGCAACUUUGAGGGCAAUUGUCAAGCGGCAUUUUGGUCUUUUGUCAUGUGGCUGGCUCUGGCUUUAGGAAGAUGUGGCUAAACGUCAGAAUUGCCGAUGCUAUUUCAUUAUUGAUUCUCUUUUGCUGGAAAAAGACAACAAUUAUUAAGAUGGCUCUUGGCAUUAUAUUUCAAUAAAAAAAGGGCUGGCUCUGGCUAAGGCUUGUUAGCUGUAUUAUUGUGCUAUGUGGGCUACAGAGCUAGGACUCACAAAAGAGAGCUGUACCCGUACGCUCUCUAUUGCAAGUAAUACUGCAGGCCUUGCAUAUAUAAGUAAGCAAAAUCGGUUAAGAUGCUAUGGGUUUUCAACUAAAAAUGGUUUCUAAUUCUAUAGCUUUUUCAAACGUACAAUUAGAAGGAUAUAUAUUAGUCUAUAUAUACAUAUUUAGUCUAUAUAAUUAUUGGAAAAAUUUUAAUUCCCUUAUUUUUUAUUAUUAUACUUUUCAUUCUAUAUAUAUAUAUAUAUAUAUAUUCUAUAAACAUGAGCUUACUUUUGUCUUCUAUGUGUGCUACAUUAUGAGUCUAUUUCCUUUUUAAAAGAAUAAUUAGUUUGCUAUUUUACUAAUAUAUCCAUGUUUAGUGUAUAUAUAAUUAUUAUAAAAUUUUUUACAUAUUUGUUUUCUUUAAUAGCUCUAAAUUGCUGUAAAUUGAAAAGCGAUAUUGUGUGCUAAUCUUGUUAUAUUAUUUAUUUAAACAUGUAACAUUAAUUAGACUAUUUCUUACAUUUGAAAAUUAAAGUACUCUAAAUUUGAAAAAUAAUGUAAUAAUACAUGUCUUUUACUGUGGAUUAAUGAUCUAAUAUUAAUGGAAAAAGAAAUAGGCCUAUAUUUAUUGAACUUAGUGAGUAAUAGAGAUAUACAUAUCUAACAAUAUAAAGGAAAAGUUGCCCUAUGUUAGGGCUAUUUUCAUCAAUUAUUUGUUUGUUUUUUAACAGCUGCUAUAGUUUUGGUAUAUUUAUCGGACAUGUUGACUGAAUUCAUAAUUGGUGGUAUAAAAAGUGAAAACUAUGAAAGUUAAUUUUUUGUGGUUAAUUAUUUGCUUUUGAAGUAUUCUGGAAAUGCAAAAUUACCAAGAAAAUAAUUGAUAAAUUGUUGUUGGCUUUAGUGACUUUAAAAAUGGAUUUUAUUAUUGUGACAUAGAAUAAAAUUGAUAAUUGUUCUAUAAAUGCACAAUUAUUGAGGAAACAAUUAAUAAACUAUUGUUGGCUUUAGUAACUUUAAAAAAUGGGUUUUAUUACUGAGACAUGUGGUGAUUAAUUUUUAGCAAUGUCAAGUUCUAUGGUUCAAGUGUUUAAUUGAUUUUCAAGAUCUCCUAUUUUUUGUGUCGUGUCAAUAAUGAUUAAUACUUUUUGGGAAUGAUUUAUUUUAUAAUUUUCUAAUUAUCCUGAUCCAAAUGCAAAAUAACCUUAUACAAUUUUUCUAAUUUAUCCUUAUGCAUUCUAUAUAUUAUUGUUUUCAUGCAUUCUAUAUAUUUCAUAAUCGUUAACUUUUAAUAAAAAUUAUAAUUCCCUAAUGAUCCGCAUGAAUUAAAUAAUAACAGAGAUAUAUACUAAUAAACUCAUACAAUAAAAAAUAAUUAACACGGGAAAUAUUAGUCCUCUUGCGCAAUGCGCAGGCCGUCUCACUAGUACUACCUAAAAACGACGAAAACCUUUAUGGUAGGAACGCUUUGACCGUGUCUAUGGCAGGAAGGCCUGUAGAGAGCGACACAUAUUAGAGUUGGAUAGAGUGCAAACGCAGACGUUAACCUAUGAAAGAUCGCGUGGAGAGCAAACAUUAAAUUUUUGUCGUGGCUGCAAGCAAAAAAGCACACAUUCGGACUUCCUUUUUUCCAAUGUAGUAGGUUGGGCCAGGGAAGGGUAAUUGCAGGUCAGAAUCACUGGCAUUUAUGCAUUUGCAAAUCUACCCGUUAGUAAUGGAAAAAUGCUGCAAAUGCUUGCGACAAAAAAAUGUGCAUAAAGAAGGUAUCGAAGUUUUAACAAAUAAUAAAUGUAAAUCUCACACGUGUGGGGGAUAAUAACUUGGAAGAAAGAAGGAAAAGUGGAGCAGAGGUAAACGUAGUAGUUCCGCGGCAAUGCGAAACACAAAGGGAUUGAAGGCUUUAUUAUAUUUAUAUACAUAUAUAAAUUUAGUACCCAAGUUUUCAGCUUAAGCAUCUGGGAAAAUGGUGCCAUAACUAUCAUUAUAGUAAACAAAACAGUUUUAGACAUGAUGUAAUAGGUUAUAAAAAUUUUAGUGACCAUUUGAUUACACGUUGGACCUAUCUGCUUGAAUAGGAUUAUGGGUAAAAAUAAGAAAGUAAGUUUCUCAUCUAAAAUAGUAAGUUAACGUAAUAAAUUAGUAACUUUUGCAGUCAAAAAGGUAAAUUGAAAGUAAUAUGAAACAUAUUUUUAAAAGAGAUAAAUUACAAUUUUAUAUAUCAAAUAUACUUUUGAGCGAGUAAGUUUAUUUGAAGUAAAAGUAUGUUUUUAUACAUAAAUAGUGAUUUUUAAUUGUAACAUAGUAAAUUUGAUUAAUGACAAAAAUAUGCUAAUUUAUUGCAAAAAUAUUCUAUUAUGCUAAAAAAACUUAUACCAAGCCCAUAUUUUUUUGUGUUAUUUGAAAUAACACUAAAAUGUAUUAUUAAUGAUUAAAAUUGAGUACCUUACUUAGUAAAUACUGUUAAUAUACUUGUAUACAUACUUGAUCGUAUGUGAAUAAAUAAGUAUUUUUGGAAUUUAUAGGAAAAUAAAUUUUUCCUUUUGCAGUUAAAAAACAAGUAAGUAAAAACUUUUUUCCUGGAGCACAAAAAUUCACAAGUCAAAAUAGUUAGCCUAAAAGGGAAAGAAACAUCUAAAUAUCAUUGUUUAAAGCACAAAAUAAAUUAGAUGCAAAAUGCUCGUUAAAAGUAGGUAUCUUGACAUAUAAUAAAGGAAAGGUAUAAAGAACAGGCCAUUUACGGGAAAAGUUAUCAUUCAUAAAAAUAGCAGCUCUUCACGGUUUUCUUACCAGUCGUCCAACGUAUGAGCAAAGUGGCAAUAAUUAAAAUAGUAUAUUUUUCAAUUUAUACAUAUUUUCAUUAAUUUUUUUUGCAUUUAAAAAAAAUUAAUAAAAAUCUUUUAUCAGAAAGCACAUAAGUCAAAAGGAAUGGUCUAAAAAGGAAAGGAAUAGCAAAUACGUACAGUACUUAUAGUUUACGUUCGAAGUUUGAAAAAUACUCCGAAAAAUAUCUAAUUCAAACGGAACCGAUUCUUCAUUAUUUAAAAUGUCAAAUAUGUGAUUGUGUUUUAACUGUUAUCCAUUGGUAUCCUAAAGUAUCAUUUUUUCAUCAAAUACCACCUUUUUAACACUCAUUUUCCUAUAAACAAAUUUAUUUAUCGGAUAAAAUACAUAAAAAUCCAUUUUUCAAUAAAACACUAGCUAUUUAUCGGAUAAAAUAAAAAUAAAUCCGUUUUUUAAUAAAACACUAACUCUUUAUGGUUAUCCUCCAUUAUAACAAAAGAGUACCCAUUUGUGGGCAAAAAACAAAUUUGUAUAUCAGAUAAAAUAGAAAAUGAAACCUUUUUUUGGGCAAAAAUUUCAGUCUUUAUGGCUUUCCUCCAUUAUAACAAAAAAGUACCCAUUUUGGAGGUGAAAAACAAAUUUGUUUAUGGAAUAAAAUAAAAAUCGAACCCGUUUUCAAAUAAAACACCAGCUCUUUACGGUUUUCCUCCACUACAACAAAAUAGUACCCAUUUUGGAGGCGGAAAACAAAUUUAUAUAUCGGAUAAAAUUAAAAAAAUGGUGUUUUCUAACAAAACACUAGCUCUUUUUGGCUUUCCUCCAUUAUAACAAAAGAAUACCCAUUUUGGAUGCGUUUUGACAAAUUGGUUAACAGUUAGUUAUUACUAUGAGUAAUGUGGUAAGUGUGAGAUGUGAAUGUUAAUAAUAACUGUUAGUUAUUACUAUCAGUAAAGUCAGCAGUAAAUGUGAGACAUUAAUUGGAAUUUGCAAAUAUCAUUUUCCAUAGGUGGUUAUUAUCUGUUAGUUAAAAUUUAGGAGUUUUAAUUUUAUGGGUUAGUGAGGAAAAUGUGAGGGAAAUGUGGGAAAAACAUGAGCAUGAUUAUUGGAUUUGUACGAGCAGUUAUAGGAUUAGUUGUGAGAUAAACAUUUCAUAAUUUUAGAAAUGUAAAAUUCUAAUAAAAUAGUAUUCAGACUUUUGACAAUUUGGAAAGCUCUUUAUCCAAAAUUUUCUCUGUAAUACAUAUAGAUAGAUAUAGAUGUCUUUUUUUUAGUGGUUGAAUCUCACAUUCGUGAACUAUCUGCAGAAAAAAAUAAAAUUCUAGACUAUACUAAUUUUGUUAUACCAACUAUGUUAUUCCUAUUAUUGCAUUAAUUGUUACGCUAUUUCUCUCAUUUUGUUAGGUCUACAUUAAUACAAGUUUAAUUCUUAUUAUGUCUCGUGUCCCAGAAAAUACAUAUUAUCCUAUUCAGGUGGAUACGUCCAACAGAUAAUCAAAUUGAUGCUAAAAAUUUAGAAUGAAUAAGUUGCUUUUGCAUAACGGUUAUAAAGGUUUCUUGAGACUUUAUGAAUUAGGUGUCUUGCAUUUGCAAAAAGAAUUUCUAGCAUAUUUUUGUAUUGGAAAUAGAGUUAAAACUUGCUAUAGGUUACUUUCAUGUAUUUCAAUUUUAUCAUACAGGGUAAUUUGCUGUUCAACCUAGUUUUAUUCUGAUUUUAUCCCACUAAUAAACUAACUUAUGAAAAUAGAUAAUUUACAGAGGAAAGCCAUAAGUAGCUGGUGCUUUAUUGAAAAAUGAAUUUAUUUUUAUUUUAUCCAAUAAAUAAAUUUGUUUAUGAAAAAUGGGUACUCUGUUCUUAUAAUGGAGGAAAACCAUAAAGAGUUAGUAUUUUAUUGGAAAGCGGAUUUAUUUUUAUUUUAUCCGAUAAAUAAUUUUUUUUUUAAAAAAUGGGUAUUCUGUUCUUAUAAUGGAGGAAAGUCAUAAAGAGCUAGUGUUUUAUUGAAAAAUAUGUUUAUUUUUAUUUUAUUCGAUAAAUAAAUUCUUUUAUGAAAAAAUGGGUACUCUGUUUUUAUAAUGGAGGAAAGUCAUAAACAGUUAGUAUUUUAUUGGAAAAUAGAUUUAUUUUUAUUUUAUUCGAUAAAUAAAUUUUUUUAUGGGAAAAUGGGUACUCUGUUCUUAUAACAGAGGAAGCCAUAAAGAACUAGUGUUUUAUUGAAAUAUAGGUUUAUUUUUAUUUUAUUCGAUAAAUAAAUUUUUCUAUAGAAAAAAUGGGUACUCUGUUUUUAUAAUGGAGAAAAGUCAUAAAUAACUAGUAUUUUAUUGAAAAACGAGUUUAUUUUUAUUUUAUCCGAUAAAUAAAUUUUUUUAUAGAAAAAUGGGUAUUCUGUUCUUAUAAUGGAUGAAAGCUAUAAAGAGUUAGUGUUUUAUUGCAAAAUCGAUUUUUUUUAUUUUAUCCAAUAAAUAAUUUUUUUAAGGGAAAAUGGGUGUUAAAGAGGUGAUAUUUGAUGGAAAAAUGAUACUUUAAAAUAUCAAUGGAUAACAGUUAAAACACAAUCACAGAUUUGGUAUUUUAAAUAAUGAAGAAUCGGUUUCGUUUGGAUUACAUAUUUUUCGGGGUAUUUUUCAAAAACAGCAUUGUAAUCCUCCGAACGUGAAAUAUAAAUACUGUACAUAUUUGCUAUUUCUUUCCCUUUUAGACCAGUCCUUUUGACUUAUGUGCUUUCUGAUAAAAAAUUUUCAUUAUUUUUUUAAAAUGCAAAAAUCAAAUUAAUUCUGUUUAAAUCGAAAAAAUUACUAUUUCAAUUAUUGGCACUUUGCUCAUACUUUGGAGGACUGGUAAGAAAGUCGUGAAGAGUUGGUAUUUUUAUUAAUAAAAUUUUUUUCCAUAAAUGGCCUGCUUUUUAUGACUUUCCUUUAUUAUAUGUCAAAGUAACAGCUUUUAACCAGCAUUUUACAUCUAUUUAUUUAGUAUUUUAAACAAUGAUAUUCAGCUGUAUCUUUCCUUUCAGACCAACUCUUUUGACUUGUGGAUUUUUGUGCUCUGCGCAAAAAAAAAUCGCUUACUUUUUUUUAAACUGCAACAGAAAAAAUUUAAUUAUGUAUGAAUUUCAAAAAUACUAAUUUAUUCACAUACAAUCAAGUAUUUAUACAAGUAUAUUAAUCGUACUUACUAAGUAAAGUACUCAGUUUUAAUCAUUAAUAAAACAUUUUAGUGUCAUUUCAAAUAACAAUAAAAUAUGGGCUUGGCAUAAGUAUUUUAAGCAUAAUAGAAUAUUUUUGCCAUAAAUUAGCAUGUUUUUGUCAUUAAUCAAAUUUACUAUGUUAUAAGUAAAAAUGAUUAUUUAUGUAUAAAAACAUACUAUUACUUCGAAUAAACUUACUCCCUUAAAAGUAUAUUGAGGAUAAAAAUUGUAAUUUAUCUCUUUAAAAAGUAUAUUUCAUAAUACUUUCAAUUCACCUUUUGGGCUGCAAAAGUUACUAGUUUAUUAUGUUAACUUACUAUUUUAGAUGACAAAUUUACUUCCUUAUUUUUACGCAUAAUCCUAUUCAAGUGGAUAAGUCCAACAGGUAAUCAAAUGGUUGAUAAAAUUAUUAUAACCUAUUAUAUUAUGUCUAAAACUGUUUUUUUUACCAUAAUGAUAGUUACUACUCCAUUUUCCCACAUGCUUAAGCUCAACACUUGGUACUAAAUUUAUAUAUGUAUAUAAAUAUAAUGUAGGCUUAAAUCCUUUGGUUUACCUCUACUUUUCCUUCUUCUAAAUUAUUAUCCCCCACGCGUGUGCGAUAAUCAUUUAUUAUUUCUUAAAAUUUCGGUACCUUCUUUACGUACAUUUUUUGUCCAAGGCAUUUGCAGCAUUUUUCCAUUGGUAAUGGGUACAUUUGCAAAUACAUAAAUGCCUCUGGUUUUAACCUGCAAUAACACUUCCUGGCUCAAUUCGUACGGAAGUCAGUAUGCUUUUUGGCUGUAUCCGCAGAUGGUUCUCGUAUAUUUCCUCUCCACACGCUCUGCAACAAUUUAACAUCUCCGUUUGGAUUGUAUGCAACUCCAACACGUAUCGCUCUCUGUCGGCUUUUUUACCAUAGGCAGGUUCCUACCAUAAAGGUAUUCACCUAACGACACCCCUUUCUUGAGAACCAUUGAGCUUGGCUCAGUGGCCACCGGGCUGUCGGUGGGAUUUCUGCUGCAAAAAAAUUCAAGUAAGAUGCCAUAGCGCUUUCUUGAUCAAGUCAGAUUUAUAUACCUACUAGUUCCUAACACACAAGUUUUUUUAGACUCCCUCUCCCUGUAAAUUAGGGUAGAAUAGAUUAUACAACUAUUAUCGAUAUCGGAAAAAAAAAAAAAGACAUCCCUUUUUUGAGGCCAAACGAGCCUUGUAACUUUUGAUAGCCUUCCAAUCCGACUUAAUGAAGGCCACAUGUAAUUAUCCUUCAUGAAUCAAUAUAAAUAUAUGUAAAUACUAGAGGUUCGGGCACCCUAGAAAGUUAAUUGAAUACAUAGUAACAAAUCAUUUUGGUAUGUAAUGAAUAGAGAUAUAUGAGAAAAUUGAGUAUCAAAAUCAUUUUGGAUUUUGAAAGAUGGCUUGGUUAAGUUCUGGUUUGAUAAUUGGGAUCAUACAGGUCCUUUAUAUAAUACUGCAUCAGUAAUUGCAGAUCAUCGGGUAAUAGACUUUGUUCAAGAUGGAGUUUGGGAUCAAAAUCUGCUAAACUAGUCACUGCAUUCGGUUGUGGUUAGUCAGGUUUCACAGAUUUCUCCUCCCUCCUUUCACGCUAAUGAUGAUAUGGUUUGGUCUCUUUCAUCUACAGACAAGUUCUCCAUGUCUUCGCCUUCACCUAGUGAGAAAAGCAAGGAAAUCCUCCUUGGCGUUUGUGGGUAUUUGGCCCUCGAGUAUUCCUUUAAAGGUUUCUUUUUUCAUCCUUCGGUGCUUAUUUAAUCGUUUGUCUGUGCUUGGUACACUAAGUUUGGGAUCCAUGGUCAGUCUAAGUGUUGGUGUCGGGAAAAUCCAGCUUUAGAGACUUUUGAUCAUGCAUUUAGUGAUAGGCAACUUGCUGCUUUAGUAUGGAGUUUCUUUGAAGGUGUGGCUGGCAUUUUGCCUUUGGGUUCUGCUAGUUAAUUGGUGGUUGCAACCAACUACAAACCCUUCACAGGUUUUUAUAUAUAGAGUAGUACUUAUCUUCGUUUGCUAGCAUUUAUGGAAGGUGGGGAAUGAGGCAUUUUCUGAAGGGCGUUUCUCGACUCAUCAUCAUCUUUGCUAACAAAAUUUUAAGGGUGUUGCUAAUCCAUGUGCUGUCGAGUUCAAAGGAAUUGGAUUUGUCACUACAUCUUGGGUGCAAUGUUACCGGUCAGCCUCUUCUUUCAAGAAGAAACUUAGGCCGAUUCCUGUGAGAUGGAUCAGUCCACCUGCUGCUGAUUUUACACUUAACUCAGAUGGUUUUUCAGAAGGUAAUCCAGGACUUAAGGUGGCAGAGGGGUUGUUUAGAAGUUUCUUUUUUUUUUUUAUUGUUCAGAAGGUAAUUCAGCACAAUUUUCUUUUCCUUAGGAAUCUCAUUUUUGUCAACUUAAAAGAAACUUUUUCAGGGCCGCCUACAUAUCUAUAAUUCAUCAAGUCAUCGCUAACCCGAUCUUCACUUCUUGAUACUACUGCGGUUGAUGAUUCUUUCCUCUUGCUUCUUGCCUUUAUAGUAACUAUCUAUUACGUGCAUAGAACCAAAUUUACAAGCACUUGAAAUAAGAAAAACUAAUGGACAUUUUGAAAAGUACACUGAGACAUUGUAUUAUAUUGUAUCCAACUUUAAUCAUUUCAACCGUAUUACUAUGCUUGUCAAGUCUCUUACAACUAUUCUACCCAAUGGAACAGUUUAUCCUUUUCCAUUAAAAGCGAUCUUUUCAAGUUUCAUAAGUUCUCUAUAGCUCAAUAGUAUAAGGCUCGAAAAAAAAUUCAAUGUCACAUACUUUGGACAACCUACAGCCUAAUUUGAAAGAAGAUCUUAAAGUCGUGAAUGAGGAGUUUUUCGUUUUUGAUUUCCUUCUAUGGAAACAGAAAGGAAAAAAGACUUGUAUUGCUAAAGUUAUAGAAACAUAUAUUAAUAGAGAACCAAAAUCAUGUGUCCAAAUCGCUGAAUGCAUUCCAAGUGAAAGAUUCAUAAGACACCAUAAGAUGCUCGAAAGAAAACUGUUAUUGAGAAUAUGGAUGUGAUUCUAUAGCUUACAAUUGAAUGAAGAACGAUGCAAAUAUUUAAGGAUUCAAGAACUAAGAAACCGGCCCUACUUAUAAACCCUUUAGGCCAUUCAACAAAUUAUUGUUGUCACAUCCUAUGUUGUUCAAAUAAUAUACCUUUACUAUUUCACAAAGUUGUAAACUUCUGUCGAAAUUUUAUUUUACUGAAAGGUUUUCGAAAUAAAUGAAAGGAGAAAUUCCUGAAAGGAAUACACUAAGUUUCUAUUUAAUCACAAUGGAUCUUCUGUCCCAUACCCUGUGCCACUCUCUGUCUCACUUAAAUAACUUAAAGGAUGUGUCCGGAACCAUAAAUAACUUAUAAAGAUUUUUACAAAUCAUCCACUAACACAAACACAGUCCUUACAUCCACACAAAAUUCGACAAUCUCCUGUGAAAAAUUGACCCGUUCUUGUCAACUUGCGUUAACAAAUGAAUAGAUACGUAGGCUGCACGAAAACAACAUAGAUAAAGUUAAUUGACGUUAUUACUUUGUGCAAGCUCAUACUUAUCUGAUCUCUAACCAAGUGGAGCCCGCUCGUGUGGGCCUGGAUAGUUUUUGGCCUUUAAUCCAAAACGAGAAUUUAUAGCCCUUGUCCGGUGGUUCUGUUCCCAUCGAUCCCUCCAUAGGUCCAGUUGGAUUUCCCCCGUAGUUAGAUUAGAAUAGAGUAUGAUUAGAAGUAAGGUUAAAGAUUAACAAAAAAAAAAAAAACAGAAUUUAUAGCCCUUGUCCCUUGCCACUUUGUGUUGAAUUGGAAAUCAACCUCCAACUAGAGUCCCUUAAAGUCAUUAUCUAGCUGAAAUACAAAUCAAAGUUAUUGAUUAUUCAAUCAGUUCAUUCAAAAUUUGUUUGUCAACUAAUGCUGUUGGACGUGGACUUGAAUUAGUAGUAAUUAAGAUUUUAAAAUUGAUUUGAUAUUGAUGAAACUUGAAAUUCAGCUGUAAGAAAUUUAAGUUACUAGAGAUUGACUUCCUAAAGGUGUCAGACUCGAAAAAUUAACAAAUCAAAUGUAAAUCAAAAUUUUAAACUUGUUAAAAUAAACAAAAAUGCCAGCUAGCUCAUUUUGAUUAGUCUUGUUUACAUGCCUAGUAACCUAGGACGAAAACAUCAAAAAUACACUUGCUCCUAUUAUGAGGUUCCAUUAAAACCAUACACAAACAAACCAGUUUUUACUUGAAUUUUUCUCCUUGUUGAACUUCUAAGUGCAUAAUCGAGCGAAAUACGUCUUGGUGGAUUAAAUUAGGGCUAUGAGUAUCGUGGUUUUGUGAUGACCGCAAGGAGACGCAGGAAAAGGUCUUUGCUUAUUGCGUCUAAUGAGAUGAACUAAAUUGGUUCUUGAAUAUUUCGUUGAACUUUUUGCUUUUGUAAUUUCUUGUGAGUGUGGUAAGACAUUUACUAUAAUUGCAACAACAAAGUAAUUUCUUAAAAUAUAUUAGUUUAAAAGCACGUACGUGGCAUUACCUGGUUCCAAUAUUAAUGAGUGUGUUUGGAUUGCUGAAUUAUUUCACAUAAUAUUUUGCUUGCAUCAUAAACACAUUUUUCAAUCCACCAUUUUAUAUUCUCAAUUAUUUUUUUUAUCUCACAUACACCAUAUCACAAAAAGUAUUACAGUAAUUAUUUCAAAUAAUACUCUUUCGAAACACACUCAAUAGUAGUUAUUGUUUUAAUGGUCAAUGUUGAUGUACAUAUACCAAGAAGGUAUCCAUCAAAGGAUCAAAUUUAGUUACAAAAAUACUUUUAUAUAAAAAAUGGUUAUGUCGAGUACCAGCAAGUUCGUGAUCGAUCUUCGUGUGCUACCUUGCUGUGUAUCUUUGGAGUAAAAUUCUACACAGCCUUGGGGGAUUAGUCUAGCCAAAAGGUUGGAAUACUCUUAAGUGAAAAAAAUGGUUAUGUUGAGGAAAUUAGUUUUGGAUACAAUUUAAGAACUAAAGACCAUUGAAAAUAAAUAAUUAAUCGCCACAGAUUCCAUUCUUUGCAAUUUGGCAUCUCUAGACUUUUGAGCAUUUUCUCUGAUAAAACCACAAAGUAAAGAUUUUUUUUUUACAGGUGGAUUAUCCCAUCAAAUUAAUAAGCCAAUCAGAAACUGAACUUGAAGUCAAUGCACCAAAUCAUGAGCAAUGGAUCAUACACAUAAAUAGGUGACGUGCGCGGGUAUACAUACAACAUUUAGCUCAUUCACAAUCAAGUUUUUUAUUUAUAAAUUCCUAAAUACCUCAACACACGAUUUUUCUGCAAGUAUACAGGUCGUUUAUUGAGCAUAGGGGAAGAUUUUCAAUUAUAGGUGAUUUUCAUAACUCCUUUAUUAUUUAGACUAUAAGCAUGAUGUAAAAGUAAUAAAAUUAACACUAAAAAGCUCCUAGAGGUAUGGAAUUCCUUACUACUUUUGCAAAUGAGAUACCGGUUAAGUGAAUACUAUUAUUUUGGCUAGUUAUAGCGUAAUUUUCUAAUGUAUGUGAAAUCUACUCUCGUAGUGAAUCAACUAUACUUGUAGCUAAACCAUACCCACUUUCGUGGUUAUGAAAUUAACUACAAUCUCAUUUCUUUUAUGAAAUUACAUGAAACAAGUCACUAAAGCCAUAUCGGUGAUCCUCUACUCUCGUGAGUAAACUCCCUAGGUUUAUCACUUUCUUGAACUAGUGUUAAAUUCUAAUUCUCAUUGUAAACCUAACACCUUAAAAUUAUCACAACUAAUGGGCGGUUAAUCAUGAUUAGAAAAGCAAAAGUGAUAAACAACUUGUUCAAAAUAAUAUCAUCAAAUAACCAAGUAAAAUUCACUAACAAGAUAUAAAAAGUUCAUCCAUACUCUGGGCAUAAACUUUAACUAAACACGAAAACAAGAUCCAAACUUGUAUUAUAGUUAAACAUAAACUUAAAUACAAAAGAGAAAGUAUAGAAGAGAAGUUACUCUUAUCACAUGAGCUUCAAACUCUCCAUAUUUGUUCUUCAAUCUUCAUCCAAAUCUAACUACAAAUAUAAGACGGAAAAAUUACACUAACUAUUCUAUACUACUCUAACUAAUGAACUAAGAAAAUUCUAGUGAAAGCUAUAUUUUGGUGAGUUUCUCUAGUCUUCCAUUUUUAAAAUGGUCUCCAAAAGCUAUAUUUAUAUAGGAAUUCAAGGGCCAAAGGAGUUGUUUCUAGUUGUCAUUUUUUACUCUUGAAACUCUCAAAAAUUGCUUCUCAAAGUUUCCAUGCUCACCUGAUCAUUUUCAGCCAGAAUCUUUGCAAAAAAUAGUAGUCAAAACGGUUGUGUGAAAAUAGCACAAGUUGCAGAGUAAGUUGCAGCCAAAAUCCACUAAAAUGCGGUAGAAAAUGCAGCUUGUGUCCGCAUUUUGACUCCUGUUUCACUCUUUGCAGGUUUUCACUUUUCUGGGCAGAAUUCAUCCUUGCUCUGUUUUUUGUCCAAUUUCAACUGAUAUUUUCUCAAUGUUAGAAACCGAAAUAGCUCUUGUGUAAAACAUGAAAGUUGUAGACCUUUGCGUUAUCUUUCCAAUGAAUCAAGAAUAAUCCAAUUUGGAAUUUUGUGGACAGAUAAAUGACCAAAAUAUGCUUGACUGGUCAGAACCUUGUUUCAGCUUUCGACCAUAAACAUGAACUUCUAUAUACCAACUUUUUUACUAGGAAAACAAUUGCACUGGAUUUUGAUGUCUCCAUACAAAAUAUAGAUCUAUCUCUUAGCUUCAAAAUGGUAUAUGAAUCACCUCAAUCCGAUGCUUGUAGCUCCAGAUAUAGCCGAAAUACCAUAAGAUGUCAAAGCUGUCUUCACUUGCAUUUCUUCCUUUGAAUGUUUUGCACUUCAUGUCUUCUUUAAACCACUGCAAACCAUCAUCAAUCAUCCAAUUAUCUUCUCAAUACACUCCAUUAGAUGAUUAAAUCAUUAAACCUACCAAAAACAUGAAGUUUUCACCAUUAAAAUCCAUAGAAAUGUAAUUUUUACCACUUAAACCACAAAAUAUACAUUGUCAUUAAAAUCCUAGUUAAUUAGCUAAAAACAUGACUAAAACACACCAAAAUUAAAUAAUAAAAUACGCUAAAACAUGUAAAAUAUACACUUAUCAAUAGGCGUGGCAAUCGGGUCAAAAAUAAGGGUAAUGGAUUGGGUUGAGAUUCAGGUAUAACAGAAAACCUACUGAUUUGAACACGACCCGCCAACCUGCAAAGGGUAGAAUACUUGACUUAAACCUGAAAUUUUUGGACAUCAUAUGAUUUGAAACACAAUUUUAAUUUACUAAUAUACCACUAUAGUUUCUAACAGAACCAAUUUUGCACAAGGCUAAUUACAUAACGAAGUAAUAAAAGUCUCAAUAAAAUAAUUCCAAAAUAGAUCUGAAAUAAAUUAAAACACUUUUACAGUGUUUUAUCCCAAACCUGAUAUAAAAUAAAUUAAAUCACUAUAAAAGUAGAAAAAUAAUGUAAUAUAUUAUUUGUCCAAAUAUAUUAAUUCCAUCUUCAUACAAGUCAAACAAAUUCAUUUAAGAUUAAUGAUUGAUUAAUGCCUUGGGAAAAAAGGAAUAACUUAGUUUAGUUAGAUAAAAUAUUUUUAUAUUUAUUAAAUUCUUUUUAAUUCAUAAACGAGUUAUCGGAUCAACCGUGGGUAACCUAAAUUCGACCUGUUAUCUUUUCAGGUUCGACCCGAUUCUGAUCUAAAUCUGCAAAUCUCAAUUCAAACCCAUUAAUUUCGUAUUAAGUUCGUAUGGUGUUUUCAAGUUGUAUCGAAAAUUGCCACCCCUACGUGUAAAGCAAGUCUUUGCAAUUUUCACAUGUGAUAUUAUAUAAAUCUCGGGUCUAUAUAAGCGUACGCUGGCGGCACUUUGCUACCACAGCCAAAAUCUCACCCUCAAAAUUUCCUUUCCUUCUCACAAAGUCUCCCAGCUGCGAUACUUUUUUCCUUCUUACAACUCUCACUCCCAUUAUUCUCUUUCCUUCUCACAAUGGUUAACUUGAUUGCCUCUCACAUCGUCAAACCAGCAAAACCAAUCCCCACAAAAGUAAUGUUUUUAUCUGAGUGUGAUCAACGUGUGCCCGUGACUCAUGUAACUAUCGUCCAUUUUUACAAGCCAGAAGGUCCAGAAUUGCUAAAAGAUGCCACUGGGGUUUUGAAAGAAUCACUAAGCGAAGCCUUGGUGGCGUUUCAUCCGCUUGCUGGACGUUUAUACCAGAAAGAUGGGGGCCGAGUUGAGCUGCAGUGCAAUUCCAUGGGAGCUUUACUUGUUGAAGCACAAUCUGAGCUCAAAAUACAGGAUUUCGGAGACUUCUGUCCAACCCCACAAAUCCGUGCCCUGAUCCCACCUAUAGAUAACAAUAAUACUCCCCUUCAUGAGAUACCGCUCCUUCUAGCGCAAAUUACAAAGUUUGCCUGUGGUGGUGUUUCUAUAGGCUUGGCCGUGUCACAUGUCAUUGCGGACGGCCACAGCGGGUGUCAUUUUGUUUCCGAAUGGGCAAAGAUUGCACGAGGUGAAAAAUCUGAUGAUCAACCAUUUCUAGAUCGAACAAUUUUUCAGAAAUAUGAAGACGAUCACCCAUCAUCAACAGCCCCAAUAUUACAAUACUCGGACUUUUUCCCACUACCCGUCCUGAUAGGCCAGUCUAGCAGCUUGGAAGAGCGUAAAAAGGCUACCAUCUGCGCCAUGCUUAAGUUUAGUAAAGACCAAAUUGAGCAGAUCAGGAACAAGGCCAACUACCAAGAUUUGAUGAUUCACAAAACUAGCAAUCAAAGCCCCUUUAGCCGGUUUGUAGCAGUAUCUGCACAUAUAUGGAAGUGCUUAUCCCAGGCCCGUAUGCACAACCCGCCCAAGAAACGGUUCUAUAUGUGAAUAUGGAUUUUCGCAAUCGGCUUAAACUACCCUUGCCCGGAAGGUACUUUGGAAAUGCUGUCUUACCUGUAACAACAAGAGCCAUUGUAGGUAACCUCCAAUCGAGGCCACUAAGCUAUGCUUCAAGCAAAAUUAAGGAAGCAAUAGAGAAUGUUACAGAUGAGUAUGUAAGGUCAUAUCUUGUUUGUAUGAAGAACAUUCCGGAGGUAUCUAGCAGUCGACAUUUUCACGCCGUUGGUUGUCCACAGGGGUUGUUCUUAGGAAAUCCCAAUUUGAUCUUUACAACUUGGGUUGGUCUGGGCUUGUACAAAGCCGAUUUUGGGUGGGGAAAUCAAAUUUUCUUGACCCCUGGGUCAGUUGCUUAUGAUGGAAAACUCUUCAUUAUUCCUAGUCCUAAUGGAGAUGGGUCGCUAUUUAUACCAUUGUGCCUACAAGCAGAACACAUUAAUGCUUUUAAGAAGCAUUUCUAUGAUGAUAUAUGAUGAUGUAGACUUACAAGGUUCGUUCUUGUGUAGUUUCAUGGGGCUCAGUAAAAAGCUUUGUCAUAUGUAAUGUAAAAGUUAGGUGCCACUAACAUUUGAAUUUAUUUGUUGGACAGGGAGCCUACAAAUUGGCAGCUGGUGGAGAACAGUUCAAAUUGUUGGACGUGGAACUUUUAAGAAAUGGAAGAUGGAGUAAAGGGAAGCCAAAAAUUUGUCUCCAAAGUAGUAGCAAAUAAGGAGACUUUUACUCCUUUGAGAUAGCUAGUAUGACCUUUACGAUGUCCUUUUUCUUAAAAAAAAAAAAAAGGAUUAAUCUUGUAUGUAUCAAAAAUAGAUACAUUAAUGAGUAUGGAUACUUGUUAUUUCAUUUCAAUUUGAACUAACUCUUAAUUUCAAUUUUUACACAUGUUGUAUAUAUCUAUGUCUGUUAUUGUAUAUACUGUCAAUAUAUAUAUAUGAUUAAUUUUUUUUUCUUAAGUAAGGGCAAUAGCCCCACUUUUUUUUUUUUAGUAUAAGCAGGAGGACUCGAAUCUAAGAUCUCUUGCUUACACUUCCUCCCCCGUAUCACCCAACCCAAUUAAAAAAAUAUGAUGUAUAAUCUUUUCAUGAUAUUAUUACUUUAAAGUGUCAAUCUAUAAAACUUGUUUCUUACACAGUAAAAUUUGAAUUAUGAUGAGCAUUGUGUAUUGGGUACUUAAUUGUCAUAUUCCAUCCCAUAGCAAAGAAACUUGUAAAUUGCGUAAUGGCAUAUCGACUACUAGCUUAAGCUAGGAAUGGAGUACCUUUAGAACCACCAUGGACACUACAAAAAAUGGUGACAAUGUAAUCUUUUUUUUUUUCCCUCUCUUAUGAAAUAACAUUUAUAACCUAUCUUAUCUAGUCUGAGGGGAAGAAAGAAUUCAAGUGAGCUAUAUGAGGGGUGAGAGGGAAAGAACCCAUAUAAAGCAGAGGGGUACACUACUAGACAUCUUAAAGCAAAGGACUUAUAGUCCAAGAGGAAUUUUAUAUUCCUUCUCAAUGGCCAACUUCCCAAAUCCAGAUUGGUUCUAUGUAAUCAACUCAGUGCAGAGUAAUUGCAGAUUGGUUCUAUGUAAUCAACUUCCCAAAUCCCUUUUGUACAAGUUCAUAAUUAUCUGAUCUCUGACCAAUCGGAGCCUGCCAGUGUGGGGCCUGGAUGGUUUUUUUUUUUUUUUUUUUGGUUUUUUCCUUUCAACUAGAACGAGAAUGUAUAGCCCUCGUCCCUUGCUACUUUGUUGAAUUGUAAAUCAACUUCCAACUAGAGUCCCUUAAAUUCAUUAUCUAGCCGAAAUACAAAUCAAAAUUGUUGAUUAUUCAAUCAAGCUCAUUCAAAACUGGUUUGUCAACUAAUGCUGUUGGACGUGGACUUGAAUCAGUAGUAAUUAAGAUUUCAAAAUUGAUUUGAUAUUGAUGAAACUUGAAAUUUAUCACUAAGAAAUUUACGUUACUAGAGAUUGACUUCCUAAAAGUGUGAGACUGGAAAAAUUAACAAAUUAAAUAUAAAUCAAAAUUUUAAACUUUUUAAAAUAAACAAAAAUGCCAACUAGCCAUUUUGAAUAAGUCUUGUUUACAUGCCUAGCAACUUAGGACCAAAACAUCAAAAAUACACUUUCUCCUGUUAUGAGGUUCCAUUAAAACCAUACACAAACAAACCAGUUUUUACUUGAAUUUUUCUCCUUGUUGAACUUCUAAGUACAUAAUCGAGCGAAAUACAUCUUGGUGGAUUAAAUAAGGGCUAAAAAGUAUCGUGGUUUUGUGAUGACCGCAAAGAGACGCAGGAAAAGGUCUUUGCUUAUUGCGUCUAAUGAGAUGAACUAAAUUGGUUCUUGAAUAUUUCGUUGAACCUUUUUCUUUUGUAAUUCCUUGUGAAUGUGGUAAGAUAUUUACUAUAAUUGCAACAACCAAAGUACUUCCUUAAAUAUAUUAGUUUAAGAGCACGUGGCAUUACCUGUCUCCAAUAUUAAUACUAGUUAUUGUUUCACUGGUCAAUGUUGAUAUACAUACACCAAGAAGGUAUCCAUGGAAGGAUCAAAUUUAGUUACAAAAAUUCUUUUAUAUCAAAAAGGUUAUGUUGAGGAAAUUAUUUCUAGAUACAAUUGAAGAACUGAAGACCAUUGAAAAUAUAUAAUUAAUUGCCACGAAUUCCAUUCUUUACAAUUUGACAUCUCCAGACUUUUGAGCAUUUUCCCUGAUAAAACCACAAAGUAAAGAUUUUUUUUUUCUUACAGGUGGAUUAUCCCACCAAAUUAAUAAGCGAAUCGGAAACUGAACUCGAAGGCAAUGCACCAAAUCAUGAGCAAUGGAUCAUACACGUAAAUGGGAGUGGCAAUCGUAUCAGAAGUGAGUUGGUGAGUUGAGUUGAGAUCCAGGUAUAAUAGGUAAUAUGCUGACUUGAACAUGACCUGUCAACUCACAACAAGUCAGGAUACCUGACAUGAAUCUGAAAUUUUCGAGUUGGCAAGUCAGCCGAAUGACUUGGUAUGACCCGAAACAUAAUUUGAAUUUACUAAUUUACCACUGUAGUUUCUAAUAGAAUCAAUUUCGCACAAGGCUUAUUACAUGAUCAAGUAAUAAAAAUUUCGAUAAAACAACCCCAAAACAAGUCUGAAAUAAAUUAAAAACUGUAAAAGUAAUUUAUCCCAAACUAGAUCUAAAAUAAAUUAAGACAUUAUAAAGGUAGAAAAUAAAGUAACACAUUAUUUGUCCUAACUUAAUAAUUCCAACUUCACAUGAGUCAAACAAAUUCAUUUAGAAUUAAGUGAUUAAUGCCUUUGGGAAAAAAAGAAUAACUUAGUUUAGUUAGAUAAAAUAUUUUUAUAUUUAUUAACUUCUUUUCAAUUAAUAAUUGGGUUAUCGGAUCAACCCAUGGAUGAAUUGAAUUCGAUCUGUUUUCUUUUCGAGUUCAUCGGCUUUGACCCAAUUCUGAUGCAAACUUGCGAAUCUCAAUGCAAACCCAAUAAUUUCAUGUUAGGUUGGUAUCGAAAAUUGCCAUCACUACACGAAAAGCAGAGUCUUCACAAUUUUCAUAUGUGAUACACUAUAAAUAUUGGAAUCAACUCCUUCUAGAGGAGUUGGCCACCACAUUAAUUGUGGGUGAAAGGUCAAGGUUCAAAUCUUGCCUCCCAUCAAGGUGCCUCAAUAUAAGGUUUGUUCUAAAUUCAUAUGGGUGUGUGAUGCACUCAUCUGAUCUGAUAGUGGUUCAGUCUCCGUCAGGUUCCCCCGGCUUAGUUGAGCCUUCCCAUAGAGUAAAUUCCCCUCUCCCCCACCCCCUACGACAAAAAAAAAAAGAUACACUAUAAAUCUUGGGUCUAUAUAAGCAUACGCUGGCGACACUUUGCUACCACAGCCAAAAUCUCACCCUCAAAAUUUCCUUUCCUUCUCACAAAGUCUCCCAGCUGCCAUACUUUUUUCCUUCUUGCAAUUCUCACUCCCAUUAUUCUCUUUCCUUCUCACAAUGGUUAACUUGAUAGCCUCUCACAUUGUCAAACCAGCAAAACCAAUCCCUACAAAAGUAAUGUUUUUAUCUGAGUGCGAUCAACGUAAUCCCAUUACUCAUGCAAACAGCGUCCAUUUUUACAAGCCAGAAAGUCCAGAAUUGCUAAAAGAUGCCACUGAGGUUUUGAAAGACUCACUAAGCGAAGCCUUGGUGGAAUUUUAUCCGCUUGCUGGACGGUUAUACCAGAAAGAUGGGGGCCGAGUUGAGCUGCAUUGCAAUUCCAUGGGAGCUUUACUUUUUGAAGCUCAAUCUGAACUCAAAAUCGAGGAUUUUGGAGACUUUUGUCCAACCCCACAAAUCCGUGCCCUGAUCCCACCUAUAGAUUACAGUAAUACUCCCCUUCAUGAGGUACCGCUCCUUCUAGUGCAAAUAACAAAGUUAGCUUGUGGUGGUGUUUCUUUAGGCAUUGCCGCAUCACAUAUCAUUGUGGACGGCCAAAGCUGGUUUCAUUUUUUUUCCGAAUGGGCAAAGAUUGCACGUGGUGAAAAAUCUGAUGAUAAACCAUUUCUAGAUCGAACAAUUUUUCAGCAAUAUGAAGACUAUCACCCAUCAUCAACAGCUCCAAAAUCACAAUAAUCGGACUUUUUCCCACUGCCCGUCCUAAUAGGCCAGUCUAGCAGCUUGGAAGAGCGUAAAAAGUCUACCAUCUGUGCCAUGCUUAAGUUAAGUAAAGACCAAAUUGAGCAGAUCAAGAACAAGGCCAACUACCAAGAUUUGAUGAUUCACAAAACUAACAAUCAAAGCCCCUUUAGCCGGUUUGUAGCUGUAUCUGCACAUAUAUGGAAGUGCUUAUCCAAGGCCCGUAUGCACAACCCUGACCAAGAAACGGUUCUAUAUGUGAGUGUUGAUUUUCGCAAUCGGCUUAAACCACCCUUGCCGGAAGGUACUUUGGAAAUGCUGUCUUACCUGUACUAGCAAGAGUGACAGGUGUCGAACCUGUGCAAUAAUAAUAAAUAAAUCCUAACUACCACCUGAAACAGCUAAUAAUCAAUUCGAGUACUGGAGCAGGGACUCUAGGUGUGCAAUGGGUUACUUGAUUCACCCUGUUCCCGAAGAGUUUGCUUAAUCCGAUAUACCUGAAUUAAUUAUUUAACUGAACUCCCUAACUAGCAGACAGUGGUAAGCAGGGUCGUCUUCUCAGGGACUGGAGAAAUAUUUGUUUCUUUUCAAAUCAAGAUUAAUGGGGGGGUUUUGGUAUCAAAAGCCAACCGAACAAAUUAAAUGCAGAAAAUAAUUAAUUAAAAGAAAUAAUUAAGAGAAACUCUAGCCAAGGGUAUACUUCAGAAAUGGUUCAUGCACUGAUCAUUGAUGCAAAAAAUAAUCCCAACCUUUAUUAAUAGAUUGGUUCUAGUUGUCUCGCACGCGCUAAACAACCAACCCUUCCUUAAUUUAUCGAUAGCUAAGGUACGACCGUUAGCUAUUUCUCUAACCAAAAAACAACCCUAGGUACGACCGUAGGAUUCAAUUUCUAGAUUGCAUUAGUAAUUAGAAAGGCCCAAUCCUGACUAACAAACACGCUACGAGGGUUCAUUCAAGCCAGAUCAAAUAUUUCCCUGACACAAAUCCAAUUGUGCCAGUUGCUACUGGAAUAGAAGUAACGAACAAUUACGGAUUCAAUCACCCCUAUAUAGCAAAAUAGCCUAUAUGAACAAUUAAUUAUUGCGCACUAAUCAAUCAUACAUACGGCUAUAACACUUAAGAACAGGAAAUAUAUAAAUAGUAAUAAAUGGAGUAAAUAGUUAAAAUAAAUUCGAUCUUCAGUAAUUCUGAACCAAAUCGUCAGUUGUCCCCUUGACUAGAAUUAGGGGUUUAGUUCCCCAUUAGUGGAGAGUAGGCCGCGCGUGGAAAAUCGGGCGAAGUCACCGUAUCUGACCUUUUGGUCAAGAGCAAAAGACAAGAGCAAGGGAUCCGAGUUUCCUGCAAAUGUGCAGCCCUAUCGUACAAGAGUCAACAACGGCGGCUUCCUUUUUGCUUCCUUUCUUUCCUCACAAAAACAACAUACGAGAGGUUGCUUUGCUUGGUUUUGUUUCAAUCAAUUCACACAAGAUAGAAAAAGCAAGAUACAAAGUCAACAAUUGCGGCCCUCUUGUCUCUUUUCCUGAUUGCUAAGUAGAAGACAUACGGGAGAAAAGGUUUCUCAAUUGUUUUCUUCUACAAUUCGGUCAAGGCUAAUAGAAAAAUUCACAGGAAUCACCAAAGUCCACAAGAGUGGUUAAUGUCUGCUGCUCUCUCUUCCCCUCUGCCAAGAUGCGGCGCACCGUGUCCUUUCCCCCAAAAACAAAGAAAAAAACUCUCCCCUCUAACCUAAGCCGCGCAGGAAGAUAAAUUACAAAAUUGUUACUGCUUCCCCCCAAUUGCAGCCAGACUCCCUAGACAUAUAUUAAAAUAAAAUCUAUUACAAUUAGGUUCUUCAGCUUCUCAAACGGGCCCCACGUCCGAUGAAUCUUCUAAAAGUUAAAUUUAAGCACUUUUCAGCAACCAUUCCUGCAAUUAGCACCAAAACAAAUAUCAGUAGAAUCCAUCCAAUUAGCGAAAAUAUUUAGUCAAUUAAUUAUGCAAUAACGCCCAAAAUACCCACUAAAAUGCAACCUAUCAAUCUCCCCCACACCUGAACUAUGCUUGCCCUCAAGCAUAAUUAACUCAGAAGUACAAUCAAGAUGCUAAGCACAUCACAACAGUUCAUACCAAGGAUGGCAUUCCAAGCUCCCCAACAACCUUAUCGAAAUCAGAAUAUACCAAAUCAACAAUUCUCGCAGUCUAAAGUGCACUCAUUCACUCCAAAGUGUAUAUGAAAUGUAUAUAAGAUGGCUCUCAAAUCAACACAAUAGAAUGGCACUACCAUAAGUUUGCUCUUAUAUCAUAUCUCCACCACUUACUCAUGAAUUUAAAUGCAGCAAUCAAGGGACUUCAAAAGGUUGUACUGGGGCUAGGGUGAGAAAGUAGGAUGAAAAGGAGUAAAAAGGGUGCAAAAGUAUAAAGAAAGUGCUCAGAAAUUCAUUACACAGAUUCUUGCACAUUGGGAACUUCAAGGCAUCUCAACCAUUACACAAGUGAAGCAAAUUAGCACUUGCCCCAACCUUCGACUUUUCUUUUCAUCUUUUGUUCAUUCAUCUACUUCCCUUUUUGCUUUUGUCUUUUUUCACAUUGUCCUCUUUCUUCUUUGUCUUCUUUUCACAUUGUCCUCUUUUUCUUUUUUUUUUUUUUUUUUUUUUACAAACAUAAAUGAGUGUAAUGCCCUUCGAAUAAUACUCCAAGAGUCUGUAUAAUGAAAUCAAAGCACUUCUUCACACGAGGUUCAAAAAGAAAGUCUAACAAGCGGUUUCACGGCUAGGAGCUGGGGUUUCAAGCAAAGACUAGGAUGGGAAGCUCAACUUGGCUCCCUAAUGGUAAUAUAAUCCAAGGGUGAGGUUUGAGAAAGUCCAAAACGGCUCAUUCCUAGGUGCCCUAUCAUUUCAAUGCAUUAAAUUCAUUUAAAUGUGAUUUUGACAUGCACAACCGAGCAAGUUCUAGAAUGACAAACCAUGUGCACUAACCACUCAAAGAAACGAAAAAUUAGGCUCAAAAAUCGCACGAGUGGUCAAAUUUAUGUCAAGUUCAGCAUAUUCAUCAAUCAAUUCAUUAUCGAGGAAAAUAUAACACCCCAUGGCAUGAACUUGCUACGUACACUCAUAUCUUAAUUGCAUUCAUCACAGUUUAAAGAAGGGACUACUACGGCAACUAAAAAAGACAACCACAGCAUAAUUAACCCUCCCCUCACCUAAACCUGACAUUGCCCUCAAUGUAAGCAAAGUAAGACCAAAUUAGAGGUAUUGGGGCAACAACACUUUCCUCAAAACGGAGGAGGGCAGAAAUGAAUCACGGCUGCGGAGGAAAAGGCGGGCGGAAGCCCACGUGGUGGAGAUACUGCGCUAUAUUCUGGGCCACCCCGCCCAUUUGCCGCUCCAUCCGAUCCAUACGAGUGUCCAUGUGCUGCAUCUGGAACGGAGGGCUGCAAGCUGGCUAUCGACGGAGGAAGAUGGUGGAGGUGCUGAAGAGGAUGGUCCGGGGGCACCCGUGGACGGACCACCAGCCCUGGAGGGACGGAGAUUGGCCCUGGAGGAGCAAACUGGAAAGCACCAUUCACCUGUCGCACAAGACCCAUUUUCUCCAAACAAACCAAAUCAAGAGGCUCCAUAAUACACGCACGAUGCAAGUUAUGAUUAUUCAAGUCCAAAACCCCAAGAUUUACAGCUAACUGAGUGAUAAAGGAGCCUAAGAUUAAUGGUUUAUUUUUCUUACUUAGCACAGUGCGGAGGUGGAGGGCAAACCAGCUACCUAGAUUGACCAUAGUCCGAGUCACCAUGCACCAUACGAAAAAGAACUCGGGCUUAGUCAGAGUACCCGAGCUAUCCUUCCUACCUGAGAAACUAUAGGCCAUGAAUCUAUGUAAAUAGCGGUAGACGCACUCUUAAGAUAAGAAGCCUUAGACUGACUGGGGUCAUAGCACUGCUGGUCAACUGACAAGCCACUCCAAUAAUCGAGGUAAUGAGAGAAAAAUGGCUCUAUAUACUCGCACGCACUGUGCAUAUACUCCUCACUCUGGGAGUAAGGAAUAUCAAUAAACCCAAGAGCCAAAUUAAACUCAGUGAUAGAUUGGUUGAACUCUCUACCCAUUAAUCGAUACCUCACAAUCCCAGGAGUGGUAACGGAGAAUUCCUCAGGAAUAUUAAAUUCAAAGGUAGCAUAGAAUUCCUACGUGAGUUCAGUAAAAGCAGGUUGAUUUAUAGAAGCAUAGCGGGCCCAAGCUACAUUAGUCAAGUGCUGUGCGACCUCAUCCCUCAGGUUUAGCAAAUCAAGUGUAGGGCCAUGAAGGUAUUUACAAGGAAUUAUUUUCCUUGUGCAAGCCGAAGCAUACCGCUCCUUGUCGGCAGCCCGGGUGAAGGUCAAAUGACCGCCAAAAUGGGCGGAGAGGAGAUAUGAACCUCCCUAUUCCGUCCAAGGCGGGUACGAGGCCCUCCAGACCCAGUCGAUGGGGCAGGUCCCUCUAAGGGGACCGUAGGCUGAGGAGAUGAAGUGGAAGGCUUAUUCUUGCUUUUGGUUUUCGGUUUAGUCAUUGGGGGUUGGAAAAGAAGGCAAAGUCAAGGUGAAGUCGGAUAAAACGGAGCGGUGGUUAAUGAAUAAAGCAAAGGGUCCCCAAACACAGCUCCAAGCCCCAACAAUUGAACAAAUAGCAACCAAAUAACCCAAGAAUCAAUUAAGUAGAUAAACAAUAAAAAUUGCACCCAAAAACUAAUUAAACACGGAAACCACGAAAACUUCCCCAAAUUCUAUCAAACAACUCAAAAAUUACUUAAUUAAACAACCGUAGCAAAAUUCCCCCAAAAACUAUUAAAGAAACAACCAGAGUGAAAACUUGCCACCAACAUCUCUGAUUGAGCACCAAAUUUCAACAAUAGAUCACAAUCAACCACAGAUAUAUCACAGCACCCAAAAUCAAGCAAGAAAUUGAAAAUCUGGCCUCAGCUAAGAAAUUAAAAUCUGGCAUCAGCUAAGAAAGUAAAAAUCUGGCCUCAGCUAAUUAGUGACAGAAAAUUAAAGAAAGAAAUCACCGGAGGUUUGGAGGAGGCAGUGGUUGCGAAGUAGAGAGUAGGGGAGAUCCUGUGCUGCUGGCUCAGAUGGGGCGCGGGCAGGCUGCGCGCGCGAUGUGGCAUGCGGCAGGCUGCUGGUCGCGGGCUGUGUUGGAGUGGCUGCUCUGUACGCGCGGAGGAGGAGCGGCCUUGGUCAGGUUGCGCGCUGGAGCGAGUCGCGCGCAGGGGCGGUGUCGCGCGAGGUUUUGGGCUGGAGAUGCUGAUGCUGCGCGCGGCGACUGCUGCUUCGCGCGCUGUUGCUGCUGGGUCUGGACCAGCGCAGGGGGACGCGCGCGGUUUGGUUCUGGCUGCGCACUGGCGCGCGGCAGACGAGGCUGGCUUCGCGCGGCGCUGGUGCUGUUGGGCAGCGCGCAGGUGCGGAGGCUGCUGGUGGCGCGAGACGCGGCUGGGCAGCAGCGUGGUGGGCGGCGAUCCAGCAGCGUUCGAAGUGGCGGCGGCGGCGGCCAAGGAGAAAAGAAGAAAGAAGAAGAAGAGGAAAAAGAAAGAAAAAGAAGAAGAAAGAAGAAAGAAAGAAAAGAAAGGAAGAAAAGAAGAAAUAGGUCUACGGAAGUUUGUUUUUUUUUUUUUUUUUUUUAACGUGACCACCUGGCGUGGGCACGCUCAAUUGCUAUGAAGUCCGCAGAACCUGAUCGAAAAUUUCUUCUCCUCAGGCGUGACCACCUGGCGUGGGCACUCUCAAUUGCUAUGUAGUCCGCAGAUUCUGAACGAAAAUUUCCUCCGUCAGGCGUGACCACCUGGCGUGGGCACGUCUAACUACUAUGGAGUUCGCAGAACCUGAGCGAAAAUUCCUUUUCUCAGGCGUGGCCACUGGCGUGGGCACGCCUAACCACUAAUCUCCUGCCGCAAAACAUCAAACCAUCAAUUGACACUAAUACAUAACUAAAACUUCAAAAAUGCAUAAAAACUAAAACAAAUAGUCUUGGGUUGCCUCCCAAGUAGCGCCUUUCUUUAUGUCUUUGGCUAGACAUGGCCAAAACCCUCAAGCAUAAUAAAGUGGAUCUUGGAGGUGUUCAACUUCCUUCUUCAACAUAGAAACCCUCAUAAUAAGGUUUGAGACGAUGGCCAUUCACCACGAACUUUUUCUCCGUUUUCAAACUUUGGAUUUCUACUGCACCAUAAUGGAACACAUUAGAAACGACAAAUGGACCAAUCCAACGAGAACGCAACUUACCGGGAAAAAGUUUAAGCCUUGAGUGAUACAAGAGGACUUUUGCCCCACUACAAAAGUUCUCCUAGAAACCUGCUGAUCAUGAAAGAUUUUACUCUUUUCUUUAUAGAUCGUGGCAUUCUCAUACGCCUCAUUUCUUAUUUCUUCCAACUCUUGUAGCUGCAAUUUCCUUUGGACCCCUGCUUCAUCUACUCCCAUGUUACAUUGCUUCACUGCCCAAAACGCCUUGUGUUCGAACUCCACGGGGAGAUGGCAAGCCUUACCGAAGACAAGUCUAUACGGAGACAUCCCAAUCGGCGUCUUAUACGCGGUUCUAUAAGCCCAUAGUGCGUCUUCUAACUUUAAACUCCAAUCCUUCCUAUCCGACGCACCAUCUUCUCCAAGAUCGACUUGAUUUCCCUGUUUGACACUUCGGCCUGACCGUUCGCCUGCGGGUGAUACGGUGUGGAUACCUUAUGCAGUACACCGUAUUUUCGAAACAAGCCGUGAUAGUCUUGUUGCAAAAUGUGUCCCUCUAUCACUAACCACAGCUCUUGGCAUUCCAAAACGGACAAAGAUAUUAGAUUUUAAGAAAUCUGCAACCACUCUAGAAUCAUUAGUACGGGUGGCUUUAGCUUCCACCCAUUUAGAAACAUAAUCUACAGCAGUAAAAUGUAUAGGAAACCAAAAGAUGAGGGAAAAGGACCCAUAAAAUCUAUCCCCCAAACAUCAAAAAUUUCAACAAAUAACAUGGGGGUUUGAAGCAUUUGGUCCCUACGAAAAUAUUCCCUACCCUUUGACACCUAUCACAGGAUUUACAGAAUAAAUAAGCAUCUUUGAACAGGGUAGGCCAAUAAAAGCCACUCUCUAACACUUUGCGAGCUGUUCGCUUGGGCCCAAAAUGCCCUCCACAUGCAAAUGAAUGGCAAAAAUUUAAAUGGAGUGAAAUUCACCUGCACUUACACACCUCCUGAGCACUUGAUCCGAACAUUGCCUCCAAAGGUACGGGUCGUCCCAAAUGUAAUAUUUGGCAUCACUCUUUAACUUGUCUCUCUUAGCCUUCGGCCACCCUGCAGGCAGUUGAUUAGUCACUAAAAGUUUACUAAAUCGGCAUACCAGGGUACAGACGCGUUCGCAGCAAGUAGUUGUUCCUCUGGAAAUGCCUCCCUCAAUGGUGGCUCCUCCUUAUGAGCAAGUAGGCGGCUCAAGUGAUCAGCAACUAAAUUUUCUGCCCCACUUUUAUCCUUAAUCUCCAAGUUAAACUCUUGAAGAAGCAGGAUCCAUCUGAUGAGCCUUGGUUUAGCAUCCUUCUUCGUCAUCAAGUAUCUCAAGGCUGCAUGAUCAGAGAAAACUGUUAUUUUUGCACCUAACAAAUAAGGUCUAAAUUUUUCUAAUGCAAAAACCACAGCUAGCAAUUCUUUUCUGUUGUAGAGUAGUUGAGCUGAGCUCCAUUUAACGCCUUCGAUGCAUAGUAGAUUGCAUGUGCAGCUCUGCCAAUCCGUUGCCCCAGCACCGCCCCACUGCAUAGUCACUCGCGUCACACAUUAUCUCAAAUGGGAGGCUCCAGUCUGGAGGUUGGAUAACAGGCGGUGAUGUCAAUGACUCCCGCAGCCUGUCAAAUGCCACCUUGCACUCUUCGGUGAAGUCGAAUGCCACGUCCUUCUGCAAUAGCUUGAACAGGGGCGCUCCAAUUUUGAGAAAUCUUUGAUGAAUCUCCUGUAGAAACCUGCAUGACCCAAAAAGGAGCGCACCUCCCGCACACUCGCGGGGUAAGGUAGAGCAGAAAUAAUAUCGACUUUUGCCUUGUCUACUUCUAUACCUGGCCGAACUACAUGCCCUAAAACAAUACCAUGAUCCACCAUGAAAUGACAUUUUCCCAAUUUAAAACUAAAUUUGUUCAAUGCAUCUCUUCAAAAUUAAAGCUAAUUAUCAAGGCAUUCAUCAAAACUAUCUAUACACUAAAAUCAUCCAUAAACACCUCAAUAAUCUUUUCUACAUAUUCAGAGAAUAUACUUACCAUACACCUCUGAAAAGUAGCUGGGGUGUUGCAGAGGCCGAAAGGCAUCCUCCGAUAUGCAAAUGUACCGAAGGGGCAGGUGAAGGUAGUUUUCUCCUGAUCCUCUGGUGCUAUUGCAAUCUGAAAAUAACCAGAGAAACCAUCAAGAAAACAAUAAUAGACACGGCCAGCUAACCUUUCUAUCAUCUGAUCAAUAAAAGGCAGAGGGAAGUGGUCCUUCUUCGUCACAGCAUUCAGACGCCGAUAGUCAAUGCACUGGCGCCAUCCUGUGGGUUUCCUCACCGGGACCAUCUCACCCUCUUGGUUCUCUUCAACUGUUACUCCCGCCUUUUUCGGGACUACUUGCACCGGCUCACCCAGGGGCUAUCUGAGAUGGCGAAAUGAUCCCCACUUUAGGAGUUUAAGUAUCUCCUUCUUGACCACUUCCAUCAUUAGUGGGUUCAAUCUCCGUUGCCCUUGUCUAACUGGCUUCGCAUCAUCCUCAAGCCGGAUCCGAUGCAUGCAUAAGGAGGGGCUAAUUCCUUUGAUAUCUGCUACACUCCACCCAAUUGCCUCCUUAUGAUCUCGAAGAAGACGAAGAAUCUAUCUUCUUGCCCUGGUGACAGGUGUGCAGAUAUGAUGACUGGCAGUGUCUCAUUGUCCCCGAGAAAAGCAUACUUCAAAUGCUUUGGGAGAGGUUUGAGCUCCAACUCAGGCGCCUGCACAAUAGAAGGCAACAAUUUUGCCUGAGUUUCUGGUACAAAAACAGAAGUAAGCUCAUACCUUGGGAAAUUGGUGGGAGCGAAUGCAGUGCUCCAACAGUGGUAUAGCUCAUCACUUAUUUCUACAUCAAGAGUUGCUCCCAACUCAAGAUGUUUGGCCAAUGCCACUGCCAGUGCAUCAACCCCAUCCAAUUCAAAUAUUUCCUGUACAAGGGGCUCAACAACACUUAAAGCAUAAACAGAGUUAGUCUCAUCUGGGUACUUCAUCGCCUCAAAAAUAUUAAAAUUUACAAUUUUCCCAUCAAACUCCAUCGACAAGGUACCCUCAUUUACAUCUAUUUUCGUCCUAGCAGUGCUUAAAAAUGGCCUACCUAACAGAAUAGGAGACGGAUUUAGUGCCCUUUCAUCCCCCAUGUCUAGGACAUAGAAAUCUGCAGGAAAAACUAACUCAUUGACCUGUACCAAAACAUCUUCAACUAACCCUUCCGGGUAAGCAUUGGUACGGUCUGCAAGUUGAAUUAUGAUGGCCUGUGCCUUUUAACGGGCCAAGAUUUAGAGAUGCAUAAAUUGUCUUAGGCAUAACAUUAAUUGACGCCCCCAAAUCCAACAUUGCUUUCCUAAUUGGAGUACCUCCUAUCUUGCAGGGAAUGGUGAACAUACCUGGAUCUCCACAUUUUUGUGGGAGCUUCCUCUGGAGUAUAGCUGACACGUUUUCUCCCACCGCCACUCGUUCAUCUCCCCUUAGCUUCCUCUUGUGGGUGCACAAGUCCUUCAAAAAUUUGGCAUAUUUCGGUAUCUGCUUGAUUGCAUCCAGUAGGGGAUGUUAAUCUCUACCUUCCUGAAUACAUCCAAAAGUUCCUUUUCCUUCUCUACUUUCCUUGUCUUUUCCAACCUGCAAGGAAAAGGGGGUAAGUUAGAGCUAAUAGUGACUGGAGAGGUGGAGGUUACCUUAGGAUCUUCACGAACACGUCCUUCCUCCUCAAUUUCCUUUUCUAUCUCCUCCUCGCUUUUGCUUUUUGAAUUCUUCACUUUAGGUUCUUCCAGCUCCUUGCCACUCCUCAGCGUCAUGGCACUUACAUUCCUGGGAUUUACCUCGGGUUGCGAUGGCAGUUUCCCAUAAACGUGAGAUUCCAAGCGGUUGAUGGCAGUUGCCUGUUGACUUAUUCGAACAUCUUGGUCCUUCUUGUCAGCUUUCGUGUCCUGCUGGAGCUGCUCGGUUUUCGCGGCCAAGGAUCUGAUCUCCUGUUGAAGCUGUGUAGUAGUUGCGGCCAGGUUGGUAGUAGUCGUGGCCAGGUUCUUGACUAGGUCCUCCAAGGAGCUUCCUGUAUUGGAGGAUGAGGGUUGAGGUUUUGGUUGCCAAGGCUGGUAGAAUCCUGGUGGACGAUUCGGGAAUGAACCUUGUUGCCUGUUCCCAUAACUGAGAUUGGGAUGGUCUCUCCAACCGGGUUGUAUGUGUUGGAAUACGGGUCAUACUGCCUGCGGGCCGCGGGCACGCCUCCGGCCAUAUUUACCUGUUCCGCCCCGUCCUCUUGCAGAAUGGGGCACGAAUCCGUGCAGUGGUCCAUGCUAGUACAGAUUCCACACACCUUCGCUCGCGGUGUGUCUCUCAUGGCCAAUUGCCUGACGACCGACGUCAACUCUGACAGUUGCUGCUGGACGGAUGACGUCUCUGCCUCAUUGACUCUACGGGUAGGAUUGCUCUCACGGAAGCCGAACUGCUGAGAAUUUUCUGCCAUGGCUUCAAUAAGGUCCCACGCUUCCCUCGGUGUCUUGUUCGCCAGGGCUCCUCCACUCGCAGCGUCAAUAAUACUCCUGUCAGUUGACUGGAGUCCUUCAUAGAAGUACUGAAUCAGCAGUUGUUCACUAAUUUGAUGCUGUGGGCAUCUCUUGCACAACCUGUUGAACCUUUCCCAAUAGUCAUACAAGGACUCCCCGGAGUACUGCUUGAUGCUGCAUAUCUCCUUUCUCAAACUCGCAGCCCGGGAUGCAGGGAAAAAUUUUUCAAGGAAUUUCUUCUUCAAUUGUGCCCACGUGGUGAUACUACCUGCAGGUAGGUAGUAUAACCAAUCCUUCGCUGCAUCCUUGAGAGAGAAUGGGAAAGCUCUAAGUCUUAUUUGCUCCUCAGUGACCGCAGGAGAUUUCAUGCUAGAGCAAACUACUUCGAACUCCUUGACAUGUUUGUGGGGUUCCUCGCCAGAAAGGCCAUGGAACGAUGGUAGGAGUUGAAUCAAUCCCGAUUUCAGCUCGAAGGAGGUAUUCUCAGCCAGAGUUGGGAACGUGAUGCACAAGGGCUGAUGAGUCAGCUCCGGGGUAGCCAGCUCCCUUAAUGUCUGGGUGUUGGCCAUGCUAAAUUCGUCUCUUACUGACUCGUUUGCAGAAAAUAAGUGCCCUUCUUUCCGUCUCUUGGUCUCUUGCCGUCGCCUACGCGCUGCCUUCUCAACCUCAGGAUCGUAUACCAAGUCACCUGUGCGAAAAGAACGGGGCAUAAACUAGCAAAAAUACCAAGAAAAAAAAGAAUAAAAUAAAACAAAAUAAACACUGAAUUCAAAAGAAGCAAAUACUUCAAACGCCAGUCCCCGGCAACGGCGCCAAAAAUUGACAGGUGCCGAACCUGUGCAAUAAUAAUAAAUAAAUCCUAACUACCACCUGAAACAGCUAAUAAUCAAUUCGAGUACUGGAGCAGGGACUCUAGGUGUGCAAUGGGUUACUUGAUUCACCCUGUUCCGAAGAGUUUGCUUAAUCCGAUAUACCUGAAUUAAUUAUUUAACUGAACUCCCUAACUAGCAGACAGUGGUAAGCAGGGUCGUCUUCUCAGGGACUGGAGAAAUAUUUGUUUCUUUUCAAAUCAAGAUUAAUGGGGGGGGUUUUGGUAUCAAAAGCCAACCGAACAAAUUAAAUGCAGAAAAUAAUUAAUUAAAAGAAAUAAUUAAGAGAAACUCUAGCCAAGGGUAUACUUCAGAAAUGGUUCAUGCACUGAUCAUUGAUGCAAAAAAUAAUCCCAACCUUUAUUAAUAGAUUGGUUCUAGUUGUCUCGCACGCGCUAAACAACCAACCCUUCCUUAAUUUAUCGAUAGCUAAGGUACGACCGUUAGCUAUUUCUCUAACCAAAAAACAACCCUAGGUACGACCGUAGGAUUCAAUUUCUAGAUUGCAUUAGUAAUUAGAAAGGCCCAAUCCUGACUAACAAACACGCUACGAGGGUUCAUUCAAGCCAGAUCAAAUAUUUCCCUGACACAAAUCCAAUUGUGCCAGUUGCUACUGGAAUAGAAGUAACGAACAAUUACGGAUUCAAUCACCCCUAUAUAGCAAAAUAGCCUAUAUGAACAAUUAAUUAUUGCGCACUAAUCAAUCAUACAUACGGCUAUAACACUUAAGAACAGGAAAUAUAUAAAUAGUAAUAAAUGGAGUAAAUAGUUAAAAUAAAUUCGAUCUUCAGUAAUUUCUGAACCAAAUCGUCAGUUGUCCCCUUGACUAGAAUUAGGGGUUUAGUUCCCCAUUAGUGGAGAGUAGGCCGCGCGUGGAAAAUCGGGCGAAGUCACCGUAUCUGACCUUUUGGUCAAGAGCAAAAGACAAGAGCAAGGGAUCCGAGUUUCCUGCAAAUGUGCAGCCCUAUCGUACAAGAGUCAACAACGGCGGCUUCCUUUUUGCUUCCUUUCUUUCCUCACAAAAACAACAUACGAGAGGUUGCUUUGCUUGGUUUUGUUUCAAUCAAUUCACACAAGAUAGAAAAAGCAAGAUACAAAGUCAACAAUUGCGGCCCUCUUGUCUCUUUUCCUGAUUGCUAAGUAGAAGACAUACGGGAGAAAAGGUUUCUCAAUUGUUUUCUUCUACAAUUCGGUCAAGGCUAAUAGAAAAAUUCACAGGAAUCACCAAAGUCCACAAGAGUGGUUAAUGUCUGCUGCUCUCUCUUCCCCUCUGCCAAGAUGCGGCGCACCGUGUCCUUUCCCCCAAAAACAAAGAAAAAAACUCUCCCCCUCUAACCUAAGCCGCGCAGGAAGAUAAAUUACAAAAUUGUUACUGCUUCCCCCCAAUUGCAGCCAGACUCCCUAGACAUAUAUUAAAAUAAAAUCUAUUACAAUUAGGUUCUUCAGCUUCUCAAACGGGCCCACGUCCGAUGAAUCUUCUAAAAAGUUAAAUUUAAGCACUUUUCAGCAACCAUUCCUGCAAUUAGCACCAAAACAAAAUAUCAGUAGAAUCCAUCCAAUUAGCGAAAAUAUUUAGUCAAUUAAUUAUGCAAUAACACCCAAAAUACCCACUAAAAUGCAACCUAUCAAAGAGCCAUUGUCGGUGACCUCCAAUCGAGGCCACUAAGCUAUGCUUCAAGCAAAAUUAAGGAAGCAAUAGAGAAUGUUACAGAUGAGUAUGUAAGGUCAUAUCUUGUUUGUAUGAAGAACAUUCCGGAGGUAUCUAGCAGUCGACAUUUUCACACCGUUGGUUGUCCGCAGGGGUUGUUCUUAGGAAAUCCCAAUUUGCUCGUUACAAGUUGGGUUGGUCUGGGCUUGUACAAAGCCCAUUUUGGGGGGGAAAUGAAAUUUUCAUGACCCCUGGGUCAGUAGGCUAUGACGGAAGACUCUUCAUUAUUCCUAGUCCUAAUGGAGAUGGAUCGUUCUUUAUACCAUUGCGCCUACAAGCAGAACAUAUUAAUGCUUUUAAGAAGCAUUUCUAUGAAGAUAUUUGUAAUUUGUGUAGUUUCAUGGGGCUCAGUAAAAAGCUUAGUCAUAUGUAAUGUAAGAUUUAGGUGCCACGAACAUUUGAAUUUAUUUGUUGGACAGGGAACCUACAAAUUGGCAGCUGGUGGAGAACAGUUCAAAUUGUUGGACGUGGAACUUUUACGAAAUGGAAGAUGGAGUAAAGGGAAGCCAAAAAUUUGUCUCCAAAGUAGUAGCAAAUAAGGAGACUUUUACUCCUUUGAGAUAGCUAGUAUGACCUUUACGAUGUCCUUUUUCUUAAACAAAAAAAAAAUUAAUCUUGUAUGUAUCAAAAGUGGAUACAUUAAUGAGUAUGGAUACUUGUUAAUUCAUCUCAAUUUGAACUCACUCUCAAUUUCAAUUUUUACACAUGUUGUAUAUACCUAUAUCUGUUAUUGUAUAUACUAUCAAUAUAUAUAAGAUUAAUUUUUUUUUCUUAUGCAAGGGCAAUAGCCCCCCUUUUUUUUAGUAUAAGCAGAAGGAUUCGAAUCCAAGAUCUCUUGCUUCUACUUCCUCCCUCCGUAUCACCCAACCCAUUCCUCCCCCUUAUAUAAGAUUAAUUAAAAAAAUAUGAUGAAUAAUCUUUUUCAUAAUAUUAUUACUUUUUAGUGUCAAUCUAUAAAACUUGCUUCUUACAUAGUAAAAUUUGAAUUAUGAUGAGCAAUGUGUGUUGGGUACUUAAUUGUCAUAUUCCAUCCCAUAGCAAAGAAACUUGUAAAUUGCAUAAUGGCAUAUCGACUAUUAGAUUAAGCUAGGAAUGGAGUAGCUUUGGAACCACCACCGCAGCGAUGAACCAGCACGGCAGGACACAGCCGACAGGAGACGUAGAGUGCGGCGGACUGGCGGAUGCCGGAGAGGCGGAGAGCAGCUUCGAUUUGGGAAUUGGGACUUGGGAGUUGGGAGUGUUAGUGAGAGCCCUAGGCGACGGCAGUCACGGGCACUAUGCAAUAUUGCAAAUUUGCAAUGGUUGUUUUCUCACUUUUCAUCAGCUGAAGAUGAAAUCCGAAUUUUCCCAAAUGAAGUGAUUUUGUAAUUUUUAAUUUAUAAAUUGGGGCUCCUAAAUUAUAAUACAUUCAUUAUGCUCCUCAAUGAUUUAAACAUUUAUUACUGAUUUGAUCCCCAAAUUUAUUCAUAAUUGAACACAUUACUUAUGUUCAAAUCAUUUUAUGGUUUAAUUGGCAUUUAUUUGAUCACUUAUACCUAAAAUCCUUGGUCUAUGAUUUAAGAAACACAUAAAAAGUGAUUAAUUUAAACUAAUUUAGUUAGAAGUUAUAAUGAAUUUAUAAUUUACACUGAUUAAUAAUAAGUAAUAUUAGUUACAAACUUACAAAUUACCAUGAAUCAAUGAUUAGUGAUAAGUUACAUUAGUUACAAACUUAUAAUUUAUUUCAAAUCAAAAUAAAACUUAUUUACUUGAUUUGCAACUUACAUGCAUUCACUUAUACUGUUUAGUUAUUUUGUCUAUACUUAAAACCUUAAGAUUAGUAAAUAGAUAAUAUGAAUUUUAACUUAUUUGAUCACUUAUACCUACAAUCAUUAAUCUAUGAUUUAAGGAACACAUAAAAAGUGAUUAAUUUAAACUAGAAUCAACCUUAGAUUAUACAAUGAUUAGUAAUAAUUUAUGAAUUUAUAAUUUACAAUGAAUAAUACUAAGUAAUAUUAGUUACAAACUUACAAAUUACAAUUAUUAGUGAUAAGUUAUGUUAGUUACAAAUUUAUAAUUUAUUUCAAAUCAAAAUUAAACUUAUUUACUUACAUAUAUUAUUGUGAAAGUCAAUAUACUAAUACAUUGAUGUGCAAUUAAUAUACAUUCACUUACACUGCUUAGUUGUCUUAUUUAUACUUAAAGCCUUAAGAUUAGUGAAUAUGUAAUGUAAAUUUAGAGUACAAUAAUACUUGCAAGUUAUAGAUUACGCAUUCAAAUAUUCAAUAAUUCAAAUAUGAAUGAUGUAUCAAAUUACCAAUAUCUAAAUUCUAAUUACUAAUUAUGUUUAUUGUUUAAUAUUUAGUAUUAUACAUAUAUGUAUUAAUUAUUAUCUAAUUCUAGUCAUGUUAGUAUGUUACUCAUGUAUAAAAUAAUUAGUUAUCUUAUAUUGUAAUGUAUUACUAUGCAUUAUUGUAGUCAUAUAACAAUUAAUAAAUACUAAAAUAAUAUAAAUAUAUUGUACAUUAUUAUAUAUUAUUAGUAUUAUAAGUACAUGAUAUGAUGAUAAUAUCAUUUACUAAUUAUUAUCAAUAGCAUUUACCUAUAUAAUAUAAUAAAGUAUUAGUAGUAUAUACUAAUACUAAAUAGCAUUUAUCUAUAUAUUAUAUAAUUUUAUAUAUCAAUUUGGUAUUCGAAUGCGCGGUAAUGCGGUACCCGAUUUCAAUUACCGAAUUUUGAAUUCGAAAUCGGUUAUUACCAAAUUUAUAAUUUCGUUACGUAUUUUAUACCAUAUUAGAAUUCGGUGAAUUCGGUAUGUACCGAAUUGAUACCGAAUUACCAAAUACCCGAUUUCAAAUUACCGAAUUGAAUUUGAAAUCGAUUAUGAAUUCGGUUCAAACCGAAUCUGCUCACCCCUACUUUUAAUGCCAUGUUAUGCAGUAGACUCGUGGGUUACAGCUCCCAAACACUACUAUUGUUCUUCCAGCGGACUUAUUUGCUUGUGUUUGUCACAUGAUUUAGAGACAUUUUGAUAAUGCUCUAGACGGUGAUGACUUUGGAUUGAGUUUGUACUUCAGUUUGUGAAAAUUCAUGACUGGGAAUGGAACCAAUCCUUUAUGCCUCUGCCAAGUCAUGACAAACUUGUCUACAUUCAAAAUAGAUUCCUGGAACCUUAAUGUAUUGCAGCCUUCUUUAUGUGCAGAUUUUGUCCCACAACCUGCUAACCUUUCGUCACUGGAGUGGCGGUUGCUGCCUGUAGUUCUUUACUACUUAUUGGAUUAGCAGUUGCUUUCAUCCCAAAAAAGGAAAGCAGCCAUCUUUUUGUUUUUUUUUUUCUUUGAGCGAGAAGAAAGUUGCCAUCUACUAUGUAGGAAGUCUAAAUUGUGGAAAAUUGAGAAAGGUUUUCAAAAUAAUGAUUGCGUUGACUGAUGAUAGUUGCAAGAAUUUUAGAAGGAAUAUAUGAACUUGAAAACUAAAAAUAAUUCUUUGGACAAACUACUUACAAUUUGAAGCUUUUUUUUUUUUUUCCACUCAUGGAAAAUUGGCCAUGUUUUCUUGUACAAUUUACUCUGUCAUUCAAGUCGAAUGCUUUUAUAAUAACCAUGAAUUAUUUGACUGCUAUUAUUAUUUUUUAAUCUUGUUCAAGUAUUCGCAAUCACACUUGAUGAUCAUAUUGAAAGAAAUUUUAAAGUUUAAAAAAUCAUGUAAAAAUUUGUGGUGAUAGUGUACGGAUUGAAAAUUGUACAAUUAAAAGAUCUUGAAAAACCUUAAACAGAAUCAUCAAAAUUAAAUUAUAGACUUACUAAAGGUUAAACAACUCAAGAAGAAAAAUUAGAGCUAGUAUCCUGUCCACUUGUAAUCUGACUCAAAAAAAUUUAGGGGGAAUUGACUUUAGUAAAAAAAUGUCCAAGAAUGUAUUACUAGUAGAUAGCCUUAUAAAGUUUUAUAAAAAAAAAUUUAAUUAUUUAGAGAAAAAUGAUCAACCAUGCGCUUGAAUUUAUUUAGAGAAAAAUGGUGACCAUGUAAUCUUUUUUUUCCCUCUCUUGUGGAAUAAAAUUUAUAACCUAUCUAUCUUAGUCUGAGGGGAAGAAAGAAUCCAAGUGAGACGGAAAGAACCCAUAUAAAGUAGAGGAGUACACUAUUAGACAUCUUAAAGCAAAGGACUUAUAGUCCAAGAGGAAUUUUAUAUUCCUUCUCAAUGGCCAACUUCCCAAAUCCAGAUUGGUUCUAUGUAAUCAACUCAGUGCAGAGUUCCCUUUCUGUCUUCUAGCUUCAACAUUGUGCAUUUAAGAACCAUUCCUGUUCAUCUUGUCUCAAAUUUAGAGCUGCCUCCAAAAAAAAAAAGAGAAUAUUAAUGCAAAAUUACCCUUGCUUUUUCGAAAUUUGAUAUAUAGAACUCUUUUGAUUAUUUUCCAAAGUCUUUAAGGUACUUUACCAUGUCAUAAUUCUCUCUCUCUAUUUGUUUUUAAAAAAUUACUUACAUAUUUGUAAAUUCCUUUUUGGUUUAUUGCCCUUUUCUUUGAUGUUAUAAUAGGCAAUACAUAAUAUUGCUGGAAUGAGAUUGAUGUCAAAGUAAUGAAAUGUCAUCUUCUUUUUCUCUUGAAAAGAAGUAAAGAAUGUUAAGAAAGAACUUUUUGGGUACAUUCUCCAAGAGAAUUUUAUGAAAAGUUGAGAGUAAAUGUAAAUCUCAGAAAAAGAUCGCCAUCUAAUUUAUCAACUUAAAAGGAGGUCUUUAUAAUCUCUAUAUUUAAAAAAAAAAAAAGAAUAAUUUCAAAAAUUUUAAGUACUAUAGACUUGUUUUUUUUUUUUUUUUAAAAAAAGGUACCGUUAAACCCCUAUAUAAUGGCCUGAGGUCAAUUCUCUUCUUCAGCAAAAGAGUUGAGAUUUUCCAUCCAUCAACAUCUAAUUUGCAGGCACCAUUAAUGCUAAUUGUCCUUCCAAAUCCCCAUACGAUAUUGGACUUCGGCCUAAUCACAAUUAGCCCAACCAGAUGAAACUUCCUUCAUCGGAAAUUACACGUGGCUUCUUUCUGUGCUGCCGACAUAUAUACAUUUAUUUUUCCCUGGUCCCUGGUAUAGCGGUUUGUACCAAUACGUUGGUAAGGAGCACAGAUCACGUGUAAGGUACGAAUGCAAUUACUGACAUCAAAGCGGUUUAGAUCAGGCACAUGAGGGGUAAAUUUUACCGGGGUAAAUUUUACCGGAAAACAUAAGGCUUUUGUAAGACGCAGAUUGAUUGGACAUAAAGAUGACUGAGAGGACAGAAACUGCAGAGCUUUUGUUUUGGAAAUAAUUUCAGAAGUCUCCCUGCAGUUUCUAACAAUUUUAUUGAGCUUCUCUAAGAUUUAAAAAAUUAUACUUAUCUCCCUUAUUUUGAUAGUUUUACUAACAAAACUUUAAAAUAAUAUUGACUUGAAUAAUUUUUUAAAUGAACACCCAAAAAUACUCUUGUGGAAUGAGUUUAAUUUAUUUUUCUAUACAAUUAUAAGAUUAUUUAGUAUAAUUAUAAGAAAAAGGUAUCAAAUGUUUCAUGUCCAUAUCUACUAUUAAUAAACAACUAUAAUAAUAAUUUUAUUACUAUGAUAUGAUAUUUUUAAUGGUAUUUUAUUAUAAAUUAAGAUUUAUAAGACAGAAAAGAAAAUAUUGAAAUAAUUCAUUUAGAAUUUAUAAGUUUUUGGAAAAGUGAGAUUAUCAUAAUUUAGUAGUGCUUUUGGGUUAUUUCUUUUUGAUUUAUUGUUAAUUUUAAUACCAAAAAAUAGAAAACAAAGAUAAAAAAAUAUUGGAUUAUAUAUAAAAUUAAUUUUUCAAAAAAAUCACUAAUUCGACAUUUUGUUAUAAUAGAAAUCUAGAGGCAAUAAUCGUAGUUAUACAGUUUUAUUAGCAAAAAAUUUAAAAAAAAAGGAAUAAGAAGGAAAAAGAAUGAAAAAAUAAUUUUAAAACUCAUUCUAAAUACAAGCAUAUCAAAUAAGAGAAUUUCAUAAAAUAUUUGAGAAUAAAAUUAUUAUUUUAAAUAAUAAGAGAGAUAUAUAUAAUUUUUUAAAUUUUAGAGGAACUCAGUAAAAUUGUAAAAAAUCUCAUGAGAGGUUUCGGAAAUAAUCCGUUUGUUUUGUUAUGGUGGGCAGAGUUGGGGAAGUAAAAAGGCAACUUGUUAGUGGUUGAAGCAAUUAACGAAAACAAUUUGACUUGACGUGCGGCAGAAUACCAAGUACAAUUGUGUCAGCUUUUUACCUCAAAAAUGGUAGAGAGUAUUAGAGGAGGGUAGCAACUGUUUCUAAAUGUUUAUUGUCAAAAUUUGGUAAAAAAAAAAUGUAAGGUCUAGAUUGUAUUUUGUACAUUAUUUUUUAUAUUAUACGUGAAACUUAUAAAAUUUUAUUCUAUAAUUAUAUAUUAUUGAAAGUAAGUUACACUUUAUGAAUACAAAGUUAUGUUUUAUGUAUUUUACACAAAAUCAACUCGAACAAUUUUUCUGAUAACUGUUCAGCCCCGUGUCUUGGACUACCAAACAAUUUUUCUGAUAACUGUUCAGUCCCGUGUCUUGGACUACCAAACGAUUUUUCUGAUAACGGUUCAGCCCCAUUUCUUGGACUACCAAACCAUACUGUACACUAAUCUUUAAACAAUAUCCUUGUACUUUAUAAGAUUGAAUUUUAGUCAAACUCAUCUUUGAAUUUCAACUGCAUUAAGGGUUAUGUUUGUAUUUUAAAGUAGGUAUUGAUAUGUGGUGAAACUUAGAAUACAAAUAAUGGAAGCAUGAAAUUUUGUUAACUUGGCAGUAUUAUCUUGCUUGUGCUUUGAAUGUGUGGUUAUGCAUGUGACAUUUAAUUAAUUAGUACACUAUUUAUGUGUGAAAUUACUUUGCCAUUUGAUAUGGCAAUUAACACUCAAAGGUUCUACAACUUCGUGGAUUUUAUGUCAUUUUGAAUUGGUAAUUAAAAUUGCAAUAUCCUGAUCAUUAUGUGAAGUAAAGAUAUAACGGUUAAGGGAAACUAGAAUCCCUCUAAUUAUCAUAUAAUUACCUCUUAAUAACAUUAUGAUAAUAUGCAAUGGUUUUUCUUCCUCUUUUAUUUCUUUUUGUUAUUGCAUAAUAGAUGUUGCCUUUGGGUUUUGAUAAUCGGGCAUCUUUUAUUCCAGGUAUGACUAAUUGUUUUCUUUUUUGUGAAAAAUCUCCCUCUUUUGGCAUGCUUAUUGAUUUUGAUUUUGAGGAAAGAUCCCGCUGCAUAAUCCUGUGAUCCUUGGAUAUUGAGCAUAGCAUGAAUAAAGAAAGAAUUUUGUUCAACAUACCAUUAUUUCAAGUUCCUAAUGGACUCAUCAUUAUUGUCUCAAACCCCGCUACCUCGGAGCUAAUUAAUAAACUUCAACUAAUCAAAAUUCUUUCUUUUUAUCUCCCAUAACCUACAAUCAAUUGAAUUAAUUAUUAUUUAAGUAACAAUUGUUUCUAAUUUUACACAUUUAUUCAUUUGCUUCUUGCUCUUCCAUUUUUCCCCAAACAUUUACGAAUGUAGGAUCUUUCUUCUUCAUAACCUUAAAUUGGGCCAGUUAUGUAUAUUACUCUAUAAAACUAAGAUCAGUUUCUUGUCUUUUCCAAUUUUUUUCUAAAGUCAUAUAUUUCUUUGUGUUUCUUAUAAGGGUGAAAAGGCCAAUUGGAAGGAAAGAUAUAAAGGUAAAAUUAAUGCAAAUUAUUAUGAAACUUUAUGUUGGAUGAUCAUUAUCACAAUCACGGCCAAUUUGUUCCAAUUCAUCUUCUUUAUUUCCGAUUUAAUUGUAUCAAAGUUGUGAAGCUUAUAAAUUAGAAUUUUGCUGAUUUAACUACUCCCUUCACUUUAGUACAACCUUCCAAUGAGGUAUUUUCUGUUCCACCAAAUUUUCAUUUGCUUGCUUUCACAGAACUCUGUGUAUGAUUGUUUUCCACUAGCAAUUUCAUUAUUCAUAUGGAAUUUUUGAAAUAUAUAGUGAAUGUUUGAUCAUCAUUGCAGGGUUAGUAGUGAAAAUACUGCAUUUGCAAGCAAAUAUUGGGAAAUAUCAUUAACCACUUUCUACCUGUGGCUUCCAACUCCAAUUUAUGUGUACAAUUUCUUCUCAUUUUUGGUUUCGUGAUGGGGUUGAUCUACCAAAUAAGCUCUUUUCACAUGAGGGUGUUUUUCUAUUGUAUUUUACCAUUACAAUUGAGAUGUGCUAUCAAAGUAGAAACAAAUUUUCACAUUUUCCUAUAGUGUGAAUCUUUCAAGAGAGUAUGAAGUGCAUUCUCUUUAGAGUUAAAUUGUGACAAUAUGUCACUUAUUCCUUUCAAGAAUGCAUUAUGAAAUAGACACCUUGAACUCCCAAAGAAGUUUUACUCAUUUUUGUUUGUCCAAUGCAACAAAUUUGGUGCUGACAUUACCGAUUGCUUUAGGAGAGGCAAAAGUGCAAAAAUUAUCCUCAAUAAAUUCUAUGAGCUAGCUCUUAACUUCAAGUUAUUAGUUCUCAAUGGAUUUCCAUCAAUAUGAACUCAUAAAUUUAUUUCCUUCUAAAAAUCCUGUUUUUGGAUCAUGUUAUGUUCUAUUUUCCUAUUGAUCAGAACAAUUAUGAAUUCUAUGCUCCAAUCCACAUCAUGCUUGACGAGACCAAAAAUAUAUUAGGCAUCAACUUGCUUGGAUUUUGGAUUCUAUGUGGACAAAAAACUUAGGGACUUCCUCGAUCAUAGUUAAGAUAGAUUGUCUAAUACUUCCAAAUUAUUUGUGUGAUACUUUUGAGCUUUACAAGGUUGACUCUUUCUUUUUGAGUGUCAGGUUUGUCAAAAUUGAUGUGGAUAAAAUAAAACUGGCUAAGAACAAAGCUAAGGGUUAAAACUUUUUUAAUCUUAUAAUGAGUUGUAGUAUAAGGAUGAGAAUUAUCUAUUUGACAUAAAAAAAAAGUUUUUGCUCUCGUUUGUUAUGUUGAUGUUAAAUAAUAAAAGUAAUAUAUUAUAGCUUCAACUUUGGAUGUUCUCUUAUUAUGUUAUUCAGUUAGCCUUUUUGACAUUUCCUUCUAGUUUCUUAAUUAACGUAUGUAGAAGAAAUACUAUGUGCAUUUAGAAAUUAACUUUAUUUUUAUGUAGAGUAUAAAAUGAUUUGUUUAUGGGUAAUUCUAUUUCAACUGAUAUGAUACUUACUUUAAAUACAUGUUUUUUUAAAAAACUUAUAUCUGCAAUACAUUCUAUUUUCUCAAUUUUAUUAUAUUUUUCUUAAAAAUUAUUUAAAACAUUUUAAAUAGAGGCACCCAAUACCCGCGCGUUGUGCGAGCUUUCAUCUUCUAGCAUGAGAACAUAGAAAUGAGCGCAAACCAUCGCAUCAUGAACUUGAGAAAACCAUUUGCCUUCAAGUUUGCCUCCAAUCUUUCAAGCAUCUCAUGAGUCAUACCAAGCAUGUCUUUUCUCUAGAAAAUAUUUAAACUGCUUGCUAGAAAAUAUUUGUUUAAAACUGCUGUGCUGAUAUCCCGGCCUAAUUAAGUUGUGAACCUUUCCAUCAUGUACACAAUGAAGAGAGGGGUCAACCACUGAGCUUCAGUGGCAAUAAAAAGGGAUUAAAUUUCUAUUUGGGUUGUAGGUCGGAGGUUUGAAUCCCACUUAUUUUGAAAAAAUUCAAAAAAGAUGAUAGAACACCCCUUUGAUCUAGUCAGAUUUGCAUGCCUACUAAUUUUUUACACAGCCUCUUUAGACUCCCCUUUUCUAUAGAAUAUGAUAAAUUAGAUUAUAUAAAUAUUAUUAUUGUUUGAAAAAAAAAAAAGAGGAGAGGGGUCACCUGACUUUCCAAAAUAAAAAAACCAUUGAUUUUUUUUAAAAUUUUUUCUCUCAAAGUAGUUCUACUUCCCACGAGAACAACUAUGACAUCAGCUAUCCCCAUCCAAGGGGCCCCAAAAAUAAAAAGAGCAAGCAAAGCAAAUGACAAAACAACAGCAAUACAAAUGUGGAGACCAUAAUAGUAUCAUAGUCUCCUGAAAUAGAAGAUCAAAAAUAAAAUGUUUUAGGGUAUAAUUUUUUUUUAUGACACUGGGAUAUCUAGGCUUUCGACCCGACUAAUCCCCUGCGACUCGGGAGAGGGCGCCUCAACCCACUCAAAGCACGAUAAUUACGGGACUCGAACACUGAUCAAUUUUUAAAGAAGGAUUACAUGAUUGACCAAGUUGCCCUGCAGGGGCUUUAGGGUACAAAAAUAUUUGCCAGACAAUAACUUGUCAGAACAUUGUUUGAAUCCCACUUAUUUUGAAAGAAUUCAAAAGAGGUGCUAGAACAUCCCUUUGAUUUAGUCAGAUCUGCAUAUCUACAAAUUUCUUACACAGCCUCUUUUCCCCAUUUCUAUAAAAUAUGAUAGAUUAGAUUAUACAAAUAUUAUCAUUGUUUGAAAAAAAAAAAAAGACAAGAGGGGUCACCUGACUUUCCAAAAUAAAAAAACCAUUGAAUUUUUUAAAAAAAUUUUCUCUCAAAGUAGUUCCACUUCCCACGAGAACAACUAUGACAUCAGCUAUCCCCGUCCAAGGGCCCCAAAAAUAGAAAGAGCAAGCAAAGCAAACGACAAAACAACAGCAAUACAAAUGUGGAGACCAUUAUAGUAUCAUGGUCUCCUGAAAUAGAAGAUCAAAAAUAAAAUGUUUUAGUGUAUAAUUUUUUUUUUAUGACACUGAGAUAUUUAGGCUUUCAACCCGACUAAUCUCCUGCCCCUUGGAAGAAGGCGCCUCAACCCACUCAAAGCACGAUAAUUACGGGACUCGAACACUGAUCAAUAUUUUAAAGCAGGAUUACAUGAUCGGCUAAGCUGCCCGCGCAGGGGCUUUAGGGUACAGAAAUAUUCGCCAGACAAUAACUUGCUGGAGCACAAGCUUUGACAAAGCCUAACCAAGCAAUCACAUAGUAACCAAAACGCCCACAAAAAUUUGACCGGAAUACUUUCGUAAAAUAUUUCGUUGAAUAUUUCGUAAAAUAUAUUAGCAGAGUCUACACAAGUUUCACAUGUGAUGUAGUACAAAUCUCGGGUCUAUAUAAGCGUGCGCUGGCGGCACUUUACUAGCACAACCAAAAUCUCGCCCUCAAAAUUCCUUUCUCACAAAGUCUACCAAAACUUUUUUCCUUCUUACAACCCUCACUCCCAUUAUUCUCUUUCCUUCUCACAAUGGUUAACUUGAUAGCCUCUCACAUUGUCAAACCAGCAAGGCCAAUCCCAGGAAAGUAAUGUAUUUAUCUGAGUGUGAUCAAUGUAAACCUUGACUCAUGCAACUACCGUCCACUUUUACAAGCCAGAAAAUCCAGAAUUGCUAAAAGAUGCACUAAGGGUUUUGAAAGACUCAUUAAGCGAAGCCUUGGCAAGCUUUUUAUCCUCUUGCUGGACGUUUAAUACCAGAAAAUGGAGGCCGAGUUGAGCUGCGUUGCAAUUCCAUGGGUGCUUUACUUCUUGAAGCUCAAUCUGAACUCAAAUCGAGGAUUUUGGAGACUUUUGCCCAACUCACAAAUCCGUGCCCUGAUCCCACCUAUAGAUUACAAUAAUACUCCACUUCAUGAGGUACCGCUCCUUCUAGUGCAAAUCACAAAGUUUGCCUGUGGUGGUUUCUUUAGGCUCGGCCGUGUCUCAUGUCAUUGUGGACGGUCAAAGCGGGUGUCAUUUUGUUGCCGAAUGGGCAAAGAUUGCACGCGGUGAAAAAUCUGAUAAUCAACCAUACCUAGAUCGUACAAUUCUUCAACAAUAUGAAGAGUGCCCAUCGUCAAUAGCUCCAAAAUUACAAUACCCCGACUUUUACCCACUACCCGUCCUGAUAGGCCAGUCUAGCAGCUUAGAAGAGCGUAAAAAGGCUACUACCUGUGCCAUGUUUCAGUUAAGUAAAGAACAAAUUGAGCAGCUCAAGAACAACGUCAACAACCACAACGAUUUGGUUCACAAAACUAGCAAUCAUCCGCCAUUUAGCCGGUUUGUAGCUGUAUCUGCGCAUAUAUGGAAGUGCUUAUCCAAGGCCCGUAUGCACAGCCCCGACCAAGAAACGGUUCUAUAUGUGACUGUGGAUUUUCGCAAUCGGCUUAAACCACCCUUGUCCGGAAGGUAUUUUGGAAAUGCUGUCUUACCUGUACCAGCAAGAGCCAUUGCAGGUGAUCUCCAAUCGAGGCCACCAAGCUAUGCUUCAAGCAAAAUUAAGGAAGCAAUAGACAAGGUUACAGAUGAAUAUGUAAGGUCAUA
rnacentral:lncRNA from 1 species